ACAGGAACAACUUCCUGUGCCCUGUCACACACUAGUUGAAGAGACGGUUCAAUAACCUCAUCAAGUCUCCACCAUUCCCCCACUCAAUUCUUUCGAGAGAAACUUUUCCUCAAGAAAGGACCCGAUUCUUGAAACAAUCCCUUAUUGCUUUUGGAUCUGAGACAGGAGGUAUACCAAACUAUUUUGGGUGUCCUAUGAAGAUGCAUUUAUCCGCUUUGGGUUCGAGCUUAUCAGCCUGAAACUUUUUCACAUAAGCGUCGCAGCCCCAAACUUUUAAGAAAUGACAGCUUAGGUUUCUCUAAACCAUAGUUCAUACGGUGUCAUCUCAUCGGAAUUACGUGGUGCCCUAUUUAAAGUGAAUGUGGUUGUAUCUAAUGAUUAACCCAUAAACUAUCAUGGUAAUUCGAUAAGAGACAUCAUGGUAUGCAUCAUAUCCAAUAGGGUGCAGUUAUGAUGUUCGGACACACCAUCACACUAUGGUGUUCCAGGCUGUGUUAGUUGUGAAACGAUUUCCACAAUGUCUUAAUUCUGUGCCAAACUCGUAAUUCAGAUAUUCAUCUCUAUGAUCAUAUCAUAGAUCUUUUAUCCUCUUGUCAUGAUGAUCUUUCAACUUCACCCUGAAAUUACUUGAACCUUUCAAUAAUUCAGACUCGUGAUUCAUCAAGUAAAUAUACUCAACAUCUACUCAAAUCAUCUGUGAAGUAAGAACAUAACGAUAUCCAUUACAUGCCUCAGCACUCAUUGGACUGCACACAUCAAAAUGUAUUACUUCCAACAAGUUGCUUUAUAGUUCCAUUUUACUGAAAAAUGAGGCUUUCAGUCAUCUUGCCCAUGUGGUAUGAUUUGCAUGUCUCAAGUGAUUCAAAAUCAAGUGAGUCCAAACGGUCCAUUUGCAUGGAGUUUCUUCAUGCAUAUACACCAAUAGACAUGGUUCGCAUGUCUCAAACUUUUCAAAAAUGAGUGAGCCCAAAGAUCCAUCAACAUGGAGCUUCUUCAUGCGUUUUAUACCGAUAUGACUUAAGUGGCAGUGCCACAAGUAGGUGGUACUAUCAUUACUACGAACAUGUGUAUCACUACGAUCGAGAUUCAAUAAACCAUUCAUUUUAGGUGCAAGACCAUUGAAGGUAUUAUUCAAAUAAACAGAGUAACCAUUAUUCUCCUUAAAUGAAUAACUGUAUCGCGAUAGACAUAAUCCAGUCAUGUCUAUGCUCAACGCAAACACCAAAUAACAAUUAUUUAGGUUUAACACCAAUCUCGAUGGUAGAGGGAGCGUGCGAUGCUUGAUCAUAUCAACAUUGGAAACACUCCCAACACAUAUCGUCAGCUCACCUUUAGCUAGUCUCCGUUUAUUCCGUAGCUUUUAUUUCGAGCUACUAGCACUUAGCAACUGAACCCGUAUCUAAUACCCUGGUGCUACUAGGAGUACUAGUAAAGUACACAUCAACACAAUGUAUAUCCAAUAUACUUCUAUCGACUUUGCCAGCCUUCUAAUCUACCAAGUAUCUAGGGUAAUUCUGCUCCAGUGGCUGUUCCCCUUAUUACAGAAGCCCUUAGUCUCGGGUUUGGGUUCAACCUUGGGUUUCUUCACUAGAGCAGCAGCUAAAUUGCCGUUUCAUGAAGCAUCCCUUCGUGCCCUUGCCCUUCUUCAAACUAGUGGUUUCACCAACCAUCAACAAUUGAUGCUCCUUCUUGAUUUCUACUUUUGUGGUGUCAAACAUCGCGAAUAUCUCAAGGAUCAUCAUACAUGUCCCUGAUAUAUUAUAGUUCAUCACGAAGCUCUAGCAGCUUGGUGGUAAUGACUUCGGAGAAACAUCACUAUCUGAUCUGGAAGAUCAACUCCCACUCGAUUCAAAUGAUUGUUGUACUCAGACAAUCUCAGCACAAGCUCAACAAUUGAGCUUUUCUCCCUUAGUUUGCAGGCUAAGAAAAUCGUCAGAGGUCUUAUACCUCUUGACGUGGGUACGAGCCUGAAAUCCCAAUUUCAGCCCUCGAAACAUCUCAUAUGUUUCGCGACGUUUCAAAACGUCUUGGUGCCUCAACUCUAAACCGUUUAACUGAACUAUCACAUAGUUAUCAAAAUGUGUAUGUCAGAUGUUCGCAACAUCCACAGACGAUGUUCGAGGUUCAGCACACCGAGCGGUGCAUUAAGGACAUAAGCCUUCUAUGAAGCAAUGAGGACAAUCCUUAGUUUACGGACCUAGUCCGCAUAAUUGCUACUAUCAACUUUCAACUAAAUUUUCUCUAGGAACAUAUCUAAACAGUAGAACUGAAGCGCGAGCUACGAUAUAAUUUGCGAAGACCUUUUGACUAUGUUCAGGAUAAUUAAGUUCAUCUUAGGAACUCCCACUCAGAUAGACAUCCCUCUAGUCAUCUAAGUGAUUACAUGAUCCGAGUCAACUAGGCCGUGUCCGAUCAUCACGUGAGACGGACUAGUCAUCAUCGGUGAACAUCUUCAUGUUGAUCGUAUCUACCAUACGACUCAUGCUCGACCUUUCGGUCUCUUGUGUUCCGAGGCCAUGUCUGUACAUGCUAGGCUCGUCAAGUUAACCCUAAGUGUUUUUGCAUGUGUAAAACUGUCUUACACCCGUUGUAUGUGAACGUAAGGAUCUAUCACACCCGAUCAUCACGUGGUGCUUCGAAACGACGAACUUUAGCAAUGGUGCACAGUUAGGGGAGAACACAUUCUUGAAAUUGUAAUGAGGGAUCAUCUUAUUUACUACCGUCGUUCUAAGCAAAUAAGAUGUAUAAACAUGAUAAACAUCACAUGCAAUCAAAUAAUAGUGACAUGAUAUGGCCAAUAUCAUAUAGCUCCUUUGAUCUCCAUCUUGGGGCUCCAUGAUCAUCUUGUCACCGGCAUGACACCAUGAUCUUCAUCAUCAUGAUCUCCAUCAUCGUGUCUUCUUGAAGUUGUCUCGUCAUCUAUUACUUCUACUACUAUGGCUAACGCUUUAGCAAUAAAGUAAAGUAAUUACAUGACGUUUAAGUUGACACGCAGGUCAUAAAUAAAUAAAGACAACUCCUAUGGCUCCUGCCGGUUGUCAUACUCAUCGACAUGCAAGUCGUGAUUCCUAUUGUUUUAUGCGAGAUAAAUACUAAAUCUAUCCGCGUUGGCAUUUUAGGUGCGGGCGUGCCAGUAUACGAGUGUAUACGAAUUAAAACAAAAUAAAAUAAAGCACACAAAAUUAUGCGGAGAAAACUUGUAGUCUUUAUUGCUGAAGAUAUACAAAUCUCAUUUUACAUGCUCUUGGUAUAGCAUCUGACAUAUAAAAGACAAUUGCGUAAUUCUCAACUCCUAGAACCUCGAAGGGAUCUCUAGUUAAUUACAUUCAUAGCAUAUCUAUGAAAGACCUCCGAUUAAGCUGCCUCAAACGGUCAUCAUCAUUAUCAAACUCCUGGCUUCUGUCUCCAAGGCAAAAAGAAUAUGCAAACGCUCUGAGCAAAACAAUAAUCUCGCCAUGCCAAAAAUUUAUGGAUUCAUGCACCAAAUCAAACAAGGGAUAUAGAUCAAGUCUCAAAGAGAAAAUAAAGUGGAUCGUUCGGCCUCGUCGGUCACGAACAUGAUGUAUCCUGCCUCGUCGGCCAGGAAGUGUAUGUAAGUUCCGGCCUCGUCGGUCGCGGAAGAAAGUAUAUUGAGCAUGGACUUGAAGAUGAACCCUCAUCUGAUUGAGAAACAUGGUUCUGCAGAAUUUUGUCAAUGGCGUCUUGUUUAUUCCAGAGUGGGUAGCCAUGUCUUUAUUAAUAUUGGAUUAUCUCAUGAUGAGAAACCAUCCUUUGUAUAUCACGUGACCCCCUUGCUACCUCUGAAUAUAUGAUGUAUGCUGGACGAUGAUGUUGAUUCUUUUUGUACAGCUAUAUUGCUUUCCCUUGUGACUCCACACCAUGAAAUGUUUACGGCAACGAUUGAAGCGUCAGGUAGAGCCACGAAACAUCAUAACCUUCCCUUUUCCUUUUACUGAUCAAACCAUAAACAUCCGUGGUGACGACUUGAUCGCCAUGUAGAGCCACGGGAUGCCAUCAAACUGUUUUUUUGUAGAUCGGGUGAUAGAACGUCCGCGGCGACGAUUAGAUCGCCAUGUAGAGCCGCGGAUGCCGCCGAAUUCUUUCUAUAGAUCAAACAAGGAAACACCUGCGACGACGAUUAGAUCGCCAUGUAGAGCCGCGGGACACCGCCGAUUUUUGUUGUAGAUCAAACGAUGAGAUAUCCACGGCGACGACUAGAUCAUCAUGUAGAGCCGCGGGACACCGCCGAUUUUUGUUGUAGAUCAAACGAUGAGAUAUCCACGGCGACGACUAGAUCGUCAUGUAGAGCCGCGGGACACCGCCGAUUUUUGUUGUAGAUCAAACAAUGAGACAUCCUCGGCGACGAUUAGAUCGCCAUGUAAAGCCGCGAGAUGCCACAAAAAGAAGUGAACAAAGAGAAGAAAAAUAAAUAAAAGAGAUAAAUGAUCAUAUGCAACCUUCAUAUGAUUUACUCACCAUAUGGCUGUGCCAUCGACGCCGGCCACGGAGGGAAACGCCAGACGAGAAAUGAAGAUGUGUGUAUGUGUGAGUGCUGGGAUGGAGAUGAUACGAAGUGUGUGUGUGUGUGUGUGUUGAAUGGUGGUGAGAUGAGCGUGUAAAUGGUGCGCGCGUUGUGAGUGAGCUGAACCCCCUUUGCAGUCACUAGAGCAGCCCUUUUAUAGCAUCGUCUCCACCGGCGAAUAGAUAAAAAGAUAAGUACGAGAGAUUAGCAUCGUCGCCGCUGCCGUUAGUACUUAGUAACAAACCAUAUCUUAUCUCUAGUCUCUCGGUGUUGUUGAACCGAGAAAACAACAAACUCUUGGCCAAUACUUAUCUCUUCGUGGAUCUAGUCAAGUCCAAUUGAUUUAGCUUUUUUUAUCUCCAGCCGCUACACACCUUGCUUUGUACCAGUUUAAAUAUAUACGCGUCCAACUAGCCGGUGGCAUCGUACAAGAUUUCAUUCACGUUAUACGCACCAGACGUUUUUGCUGGGAUAGCUGCUGAUCAGUGGGUCCGUGCAUGCACAUAUGGUUCAUUCUAUUGGCAAACUGGCUGAUCCAAUAAACGAUUUGACCCAUACAAGUGAAUAUGCGUCAACGUGACUAGACCAGAUAAUUAUUAAAUAUAUAUAUUUGCCUCGCAUGAUGAGAGAAAAAAAAAUGGAGUCAAACAAAUGCCCCUCGCCAAGUUGAGUUCAAAUGCGAAGCAAUUUGGACUUAACUUGGCGAAAUAUUUCCAUACCUCAUCUGGAAAAGCCAAUCUCAACUGUCCGAGAUAACUGAGACACCCAAACCAUCGUAGAGACUCAAAGCCUCCUUUAGAUCCGCAACAACUCAGCCAACCUGCAGAUUCUAUAUCAACAACCAUCAUUAUCUUAAACUGACUGUACUAUAAAUACCCAUGCACUCCUCGGCUCAGCCCUUAAAACUUUUCUCCCAAGUUCCUGGUAUACGCAGCCGCACCCCAAUCCACGCAGCAGAACAAGGCUUCCUCCAUCGUAACUCUCAGGUAAAGCUGAAUAUCUUGUUUUUGCAAUUGCUUUCUCUCUCCUUUUAAUAGAUUAUAUAUGGGUGCUAGCAUUGUCAGCUAGCAAUCUUCUGUAAAACGAUCUAUACUAGAUUUCAGCCAAACUGCAGUUGAAGGCGGAAAAAAAGUAGAGUUGACAAUGCAAACUUCUUGAUUGGUUAAAGGCCACGGUUGCUCACUAGGCGGCUUUGCAUAGAGCGAUCAAGCUAAAACAGAUCUUACGCCAAGUACAGCCACAGCUGUAAUUCGCCCGUGGACAGGGGCGUCGUCUGCUGUACUUUGUAUGUAGUAGUCUUCGUUAGGCUGAGUCGAAGGGACAGUUGACAAGAGAUAGCAACCUGAAGCACAACGAUUUCAUCUGCUGCACUUGCAUCACGGAUUUCCACCAGAUUGUUCUGAAACCAAAGGAAGUUGCUGGAACUAGCGCAUGUAUUCGCAUCAUCAUAGCUUGCCACUGGAUGUCGUCCUUCUUAUUGAUUGCAUAGUCUUCGUCAGGUUCAGUUUCACUCAGUUGAAUAUCUUUGAGAAAUAUUGCGCUGUGUCAUGACAGAUUCACACCUUGAUAAAGUGUCCCAGUAGAUGGCAAAGGUGGCAUAUUGUCGCUUCAGAAACUUAUCGAGUACGAUGCCUAAAUAUUGAAACUGAAUUAUAUGACUGCCUUUUUUUUAUCCGUUUGACAGUACCACCAUCUACCCACAUGUAACCAUUUUUUUUACUCUUAUGCAGUUAAGAAAUCUUCCUUGUUCUUGUUGAAUGCAUAAUAAUUUCUUUCGGCGCCAUGGGAGCAGGCCCUUUGCAGAUCGGGAAGGGCCUAGGGAAGAAUACGACGGGCAUAUCAUCGCUGGGGAGCGACUGCAAAGGAACAGAGACGACCACCACAGUUUCGGUCGUGGGAAGGGUGGUUAUAAUCCUCUGUUUUACCGCCACAAUUUCAGUCAUGGAAGGAGAGGCUAUAAUCAUCGGCACUACCGCCACAAUUUCAGUCGUGGUAGGGUAAACCACAAUUCUUUGCCUUACCGUCACACUGUUACUCGGGAUUUUAGAACAGAACAUUCUUCUGAUUACGAUCGUCAGCACAAGUCUGAACUUGACAUCUCUGAUAUGAGUGAUAAACGCACGAAAAGCACUACAGAGGGUGGAUCCUUGGCUCAAAGAGAAAAACAGAAGGCAAAUGCAAACCUACUUCUCCACCAGUCUGUAUAUUUUAUAUGCUAUUCCCUUUCUUACUUAAACUCCCCUUUUUUUAAAAAAAGAAGGCUCGUCAGUGCUUCCUCUCAAACUGAAACUAGCCACAUCAGUGAUGGUGGCACAGAUAUCGACAAAAGCGCAGGCGACGAUGGUGAGGGCGUCAUUUGGGAAGAAUCGCAUGAGGUUUAUAAUGAUGACGCACUGAAGUUACUUGAUGUUGACAAAGAUAUUGAGGAUGAUGAUAUUGAGCCUUACAUUACUGAAGCCGCUAACUUAUUGGGCUUUGAGCGCACACAUAGGUUGAAGAUCCAAGCCGUGCCCCUUGACAAAUGCAAAGUCCCCACACCUCCUCAACAGUUAACGAACAAAGUCCUCCGUUUUGAAGGAUUUCAGUAUAAAAAUGAACUUGUUACAGCAGAUCAGGACACAACUUUUGUUGUUUUAGAGCCAAUUUCAAAAGAGGCGCCAUCGAUCAUUAUUAAUACCCUGGCACAGGAGUUCAUACGCAAUCCUGCGAAGCAGUGGCAUAACGAUUCUUCCCUUCAACUUUGUACUGCAAUCCCCUAUAACCAUAAACUGUUGCUUUGGGCUCGGAUGAUGCUCAUAUCAGAGGAAGACAAGGAAAUGUUGCUCAAGGCUGAUAUCUUCCGUGGUGUAUUGGCAUCUCUUUAUCAUGUUCCGAUCAAUCCUUCACUAGUUGCUGCCUUUCUUACAUUUUGGAACACUGACGGACAUACCUUGAUUACUUCUCAAGGGGAGAUGGGCUAUCCCCUUAUAGCUAUGUAUGAUGCUAUGGGCAUUCCAAUUUCUGGGCACCUUUAUGAGGAAUAUUUCCCAUUGCCGUCUGAAGUUUCAGAGAUUGUAAAAGUCCUUCACUCGGCCUAUGCUGAUAUCUGGGUGUUGCAUCAGAAUGGAAGCUCUUGUAAAGUCACUCUUCAAAAUUGGUUGGAUUAUUUUAUAGGUAUGAAAAUAAUAUAUAUAUUUUACAUAUACUUCUAUUCGACCAUAGUGUCUUAACCUGGACGGCAUAUAUCAUUGUAGGAGAAGAUCUCGGAGCUGUUGGCAAAACUGAAGCAAGGGUGCCAAGUCAUUUCUAUGCUGAUCCUGAAGAUCCCUUGCUCUCUCAUCUAGAGUUUCGCACGUUGUCUUUGCAGAAACGCUGGUCGGCUAGAUUUGGCAACCAUGUAAUUUUUUACAAGCAGACAUAUGAACGAGAAAUAUACUGUGCCGCCUUCAACGCAGCUUGGCUAUGCACAUACUGUGUUCCUAUCAAUAUGGGGUCCUUUAUUCGGCCGGAGGUCUUCUGUGCUGCAGCUAGACUUGCUCAAGGGAUCCGUCUUGCGAUUGGUACGGCAAGCAUGGCCUAUCUUUACCAAAGUCUUGAUAAUGUUUGUCAAGAGAUUAUAGCCGGAUCAAAGUCAGCAAGUGAGUGCCAACUGCCAUUACCUGCACAUUUUAUUAUGGGCUGGUUCUCCUCUUAUUGGAAAAUGACACCUUCACAACCAGCGGUGAAUCCAAAAAUUACUCACUUCCCGCCGUUCGUGACGGACGCAUGGAGAAUCACAUCUACAGCAAUUGAUCUGUUCAAAGCCCAUCAGUUGUUCCUUGACUCAGCUGCAGAUAGCAAAUCUCUGCUUUCCUUAUCUUUCUUGGGGAAAUCUCGCAUACGUUUCCCUCAGUCAGAGUCUGAAUUUUUGAUAAGUGAUGCACGAGAAGCCACAGAUGGUGGACGCCGUACUAUCCGUAUUACAACUAUCGACAUGCUAAUCAGUUGUGGUGUGGGUGCUGUUACACAUACUCAAUGUCAACUCCAUCACAACUUGGUAUAUUCCCCUCAUCGUUUUGCUCGGAUGCAUGGGUGUGAUCAAGAUGUCCCUGACUUCCUGAUGGAAGGACCCAAUGGAGAAUAUCUUCUGCAGUUUUCUAGUUAUUUGAAAGGCACCCGUGAGGAAACAACUGAGCACCUUCAGCGACGACACCUGGCUUACUACUUUCCAACCGGUCAUCAGCUUCAUUUACAGCCCUUGUCACGGCGAACCAAGCGCUCUAUUGAGUAUGUGACGUGGUGUACAUCAGCACUUGGUUUCCUCACUAAAGCUGAUAUGAUCUGUUCAGGUCAAGAACCAUCAUCUGCUCUCCAGAAAGGGGAGAUUGAAAUGCCUUCUAACACAGGUACAUAUUCCUCUUGUAGCAUUUUCUUUAAGUCUAGCUAACAAAAAAUAUAUUUGGCUGUAGCAAUUUCACGUACAUUGAAGAUCCAGAAGAAAAAUUCAACAAAGAUGAAUCUUGCCUCCACUAGUGACGAAGGAAAUAAGGCAGCCCCUAAUUCAGGUAACUGCAGAAUUUCAUUGUUCAUACUAAUGUCAUGCUGCUGUUCUCUUGUCUUUUCAGGUGAUAACAUUUUUUUUAAUACAGGUGCGCCUAUCAUCGGCGGCGUCACCAAACAGAAGAGGACUCGAGCUAGUUGCCGUAACAAGAAAAAUAAAAUGGCCCCUGAAUGUAAAAGAUAUUCCUCUUCACUGAAAACUAACUGUUCUUUAUUGAACUAUUGCAAGUCGAGCAGUGUACUGAUCAUAAAAAUUGUAUCCCCUUUGUAGCUUCACUCGAGCCUGCCACUGUCCAUUCAUCGAUAGAAAUUCCUCAGGUUUCAGAUAUCAAGACAAAUAUGACUUCGCCCGGAUUAGGUAAUGAGAAUUGUUUCUUAGCAUUAAAUGACUGUCUUUUGUAUGUUCUAAACUUGCUCCUGUUACAACCAUGUAUAUCUAUGAACAGAACAAAUAGCUGCCAAACAGUCUGACACACUGCUUACUGGAAAGAGAAACAAAUCCAAAGCGACGGCUGCUCGAUUCCUCAGAAUUUCACAUGCUCUCAUAACUGAUCACGGCAUAAAGAAGGAUGUGGUUACUACUGACUCUCAUGAUCCUAUAUCCGCUGACAGCGGAAUGUCACCACCCCAAGAGACCAACAUUCUUCAGACAGUUGGAGAAAAACGUUCCUCCCCUCACCGUGUAGCUGAAGUAGAGAAAUGUAGCUUGGAGAACCUCAACACUGAAGACAAACAUCUGGAUGUGACACUUGAACAUGCAGACCAACAGCAUGAUAGCCCCCCGAAGAAACCGCGUUUGGAUCGUCCAGGUAACUAGACCAAAGUUUGUUGUUUUGGUAGUACUGACAUAUAAUGUAAGCACGCAAAAUCUGCCCCGCUCACUGAACUUUUCUCAUUUCUCAUUCCAGGUGGAGGACAUGACUUGGAGAUGGCUUUGUCCAAAGCCGCAACACUGAAGUCCAGUAUGGACCAGACCAUAAAACGCUAUUUGGAGAACGUUGGUGAUGAAUUCAUCAGCCUUAAACGCAAUUCCGAGCGGAAGGAGCUCAACAAAUAUGAGGGACGUAGCAGGAUUGUGGUGCCCCAGUAUGCUGACCCUAGUCUGAGAGAUAUGAUGGUCUAUGUUCAGUCUGACCUUAAGAAGAUUCAGAAGUGGAUCGCUGCACCGAUAUUGGACAAAGUUGCUUUGAGUACACGGAUUGCAACAAUCUUGAACCGGUGGAGAACCAUGUUACAAACCAAAAUCCCGCAGGAGGUACAGGAACUCAUGAAUGAGUUAGAGUGCUUAAAGAUGAAUCUUGAUAGCAAGUCAGAUCAUGCUGUUCCCUUUAGUAUUUCCAAUCUGCGAGCAGAUGAAGAGCAUAUCAAAGAGCAGUUAAAAAUGGGUAAGAAGUCUCGUGAGUCCAUCAUGGUGGGAUACGACUCUCUUAAGGAUUACGGCAACGUAUGGGGCAGCCUCGAGGAUGAAGUGAAGAAAAGGAAAGAGGAAUAUCUCGAAAAGAUCAAGGAGCUGAACAAUGCCAUAAGAAUCGCGAGAUCCAAGCUCUCCCUGGAAAAGGAGUAUGAAACUAGGCUCAUUCAGCUUCACAACCAGUAUGACGAAAUAAUGAGCGAAGCACACACUUCCGUCUCUCGUUUGGAAGAAACCCUGGCACAAGGAAGUUCCUGCUUGGAGAGCAUUCAUAAGGCUAUUGGGGAAGCUGGGAGCCAAGGUGACUCUGAACUUCCUUCUGGUCUGCGUGAGCAACUCAAGUUCAUGGAAUCCUGCGCAGUGGAAGGUGUCGAACAGGAUGACGAGUAAAACCAUAUACAGCGUGUUCCUUUUACUUCAAAAUCAUUCAUGCUUUUUUUUCUUUUUUCUUUUUAAGAAAGCUCGCGUCGUAGUUUGCUUUUGUCAGCUGCUGGAUUUAUCACUGUAAUCCGCCUUAUUAUUUAUCAAUAAAGGAACACAUUCCUCUCUGCUAUCGCUGUUAUACUUGUACACUUUUUUUUACUAUAUGCUUUAUAUGACUGAAUUCCUUUGUGGGACUCCUUAUUCUUGAGCAUGAAACGGCAAAACCAGGCUAAAAUCUUGGUCAACGGAAACAUGUCUUUUGAGAAACGCGCAAGAAUGGCUUUCUUGUGCUGUAUGUCCAUCCUAACCUUCUGUACUAGUAAUUGUGAAGUAUCAUAUUAUCGACUUUAUUCAACAAAAUUAUUGCUUGAUUGCCAUCAUGUAAAUAGAAAUAAUAUUGGGUGAGAACACAGCGAAAUUCCCUGCCGUGCUGCAAUGUCGAUCGUGGCUCAUAGCGUAAAACCAUACUAUAAGCUGACAGUAUACAUAUUAUUCAGGCUGAAUCAGUAGCAGGUGAGGCCAUAGCGAAAAUCCAUGCCGCGACCACGCCAUGAAAAAAGUUAAUAUCCAAUUGAGACCACGAUGGUGCCAGCCAAAAGGAUGAUUGUAUUUAAUGACUGUCAUGGUAUGUAUAAUCCGGAUUCUGGCGAAGUACCAUGCCAUUAUCGUGAACUUCUCUGCGACCAUGCUACUGCUUUGGUGCCAACCAGAGAAUUCCAUGCCUAAUCAUUAAAAGCAAAAUAAUCUUGAGUUGGGGCGAAAGAACCUGCCCUAAUUCAAGGGAAAUUAUCAAUUCUACUGCGACUAUUACAUGCUCAUAGUGCCAGCCAGUGGAAUCGAAUAGUUGCUGGGUUACGGCGAACACCAUGCCACUCCCAAUUUUUUAAAAAAAUCAUCAUAGCGAAGAAGGUUUAGAACCAAAUAAAGUAUGAUUACCUCAAAUCACAAUUUAAAAUACAUACAUGUCUUGCACCACUAAAUGCCAUAAGACUGAAAAAAGAGAUAAAAGGCAGGAAAAAAAACAUAGUGAUGGCAAACAGAGUUAUACGAACACCUUGUUUUUUUUGUUGGUUGGUUUGUGGGCUCCACCUUCAAUUGUUAGACUAUGAGGUGACCCAUGAGUAAAGUUGCAAGGGAUUCAUAUGCCUUUCAUAUGCCCAAGUGAUCAUCGGCCCGGACCUCGUGGUCGACGUAUAGAAGUGUGGAUUCAGACUUCUCAUGGCUGUCAUUGCUUUGUAUAACUCCUAUUGUUAUUUAUCACCCUUCAUGAAUGCUCUCCUCAGAUGCAGUUCUCAUGAACAUGUCUCUUGGACUUUAAACUCCACACCCAAAAUUGUUGCUCUGCCUGACCUCACUCAGGCGAUCAAAUCCACAUGCAACUAAAACUCAUGUGCCACAGUCUGAACAUUGGGAAGGAGAGUCCUUUAUUUUAUUUUAGGGCGAACUGUGGCCCUUUUUGUUUUAUUUAAAAAAUUUAGAUGAAAAAAUUAAUCCAUGAUCAGCAAUGAGGAUGCUGUAUGGACACCAAGAGAAAAAACUUUCUUUUUAUUACAUUCUCCUGAACUUGCCCUUGGGCUGCUAGGCAAAAUACUUCUUGAGGAACUUGCCAUUGAUAGGAGGCAUUGGACGCACACCCUCUUGAUCAAUGAGUUGAUAAGCGCCACCAUCAUAAACCUGUUCAAUAACAUAUGGCCCCUCCCAUUUGGGCUCAAAUUUUCCUUUACCUUUUCCUAUGAGCACAAUAGGACGCCGAAGAACCAGCACCAGUUCUCCUUUUCUAAAAACUCGCGGCUUGACGAGUUUAUCGUAGGCUCGUACCAUAUUCUUACGAUAAAGCUCAAGAUUUUGAAGUACACGUAGGCGCCCCUCUUCAAUAGCGUCUAACUCCUGGUACCGUAAUUUGACUUGUUCAUCUUCUGUCAGCUCAUCACGUAUCGCCACACGGAGCGACGGUAUUUCAACCUCAAGUGGUAAGACAGCCUCGCUUCCGAAAACAAGAGCAUAUGGCGUACUCUGUGUUGGUGUGCGAACAGUAACACGGUAUGCCCAUAAAGCUUCAAAAAGACGAUCAUGCCAAUCUUUUCUAUGUUUUGUCACUGUCUUCUUUAAUAUCUUUCCAAGAGUUUUAUUGAAUGCCUCAAUCAACCCAUUGGCUUGUGCAUAGUAUCCCGUAGUAUAAUUCCAAUGAAUUUUGUACUUCUCAAUAAACUUGUACAUCUUAUGUGAUUUGAAGGCCUGGCCGUUAUCAGAAGUAAUACGACGAGGAACUCCAAAACGAUAAAUGAUAUUUCGCUCGAUAAAAUUGAUGACAUUACUAGUUUUCACCUCACGUAAUGGUACUGCUUCGGCCCACCUUGAGAAGUAAUCUGUGGCUGCCAAGAUGAAACGAUGACCUUCAGCAGAUGGCGGAUCAAAGGGACCAAUUACAUCGAUGCCCCAAGCAUCGAAUGGCCAAGAAGGGACGGUCGGGUGUAGUGGAACAGGUGGCCGGUGCUUGAAGUCUCCAUGUAUUUGACACAUGUGACAUGCUUUGGCAGCAUCUAAGCAGUCAGUCAUGAUCUUUGGCCAAUAGUACCCAGCUAGCCUGAUGCUAUGAUACAUCUUAGCUCCGCUCUGAUGUCCACCACAUACUCCAGAGUGCACUUCCUUCAAUAUACUAUUUGCCUCAUCCCGCGACACGCAGCGGAGCGUCAAAAGAUCUUCUAAACAGAAUACCGGCUUUCAACAAAUAGGAGGGAGCUCGACGCAAUAGUUGUCGCCUUGCCACUGGAUCAUUAGGAUGGAUGCCAUGAUUGAAGUAAUCAAAAAAAGAUUUACGCCAAUCAUCUUCUUCAACAUUAGCAACAACGACAACAUUUACUUCAUGUUCCUCUUGUACAAGUUCAAGAACAGCAGGAAGGAGCCAUCGCUCCUCUACUCUGACAUGAGCGGACUCAUUAUUAGGAAAAAUUAGUGCAGCUGCGAGUUUUGCCAAUGCAUCCGCCGAUGCAUUUUCACCUCGUGGAAUGUGAUCAACCUGGAUAAAUUCAAAUUUUUUUAUUAGUCCCUGGGCAGCAAGACAGUAAGGUACCAACUCUUGCUUGCGUACUUCAUAAAUACCAUUAAUCUGCCUAACAAUUAACUGCGAGUCACCAUAAACAUGGAGAGUCUGAAUAUUCAUUGAGAGUGCUAAAAGCAAACCAAAUAUAAGCGCUUCAUACUCUGCUUCAUUAUUCGAACAUUCCUCUUUGAGAAGGGCAAAUGAAUGGUAGAAUGUCUCACCCAUAGGGCCUUUAAACACCACGCCUGCUCCUGCUCUCCUUCUAGGUGCUCCGUCAAGAUCUUUCUCUGUGCGGGCAGCCCCAUCAAAAUACAACUCCCAUGUACUUGAGGUGACGUUGAAUAUUUCCUCGUCGGGAAGAUCAGUCACCAAUGGUGAAUCAUUAGGCACAGGAUGUGCUGCAAGGAAUCUGCCAGCACUUGACCCUUGACCGCUUUUUGUGGUACGUAAGUGAUGUCGAACUCCAUCAUUGGAACUGCCCAUUUGCCAAGUCUUCCUAAAAGUGCAGGUUGACUGAGAACAUACUUCACAGGAUCAGCUCUAGCAACCAGUUGAAUUUCAUGAGCUAGCGUGUAAUGUCUUACUUUCUUCAAGGCAAAAAUUAAAGCAAGGCAUACCUGUGUAAUUUUGCUCUGCUCCCACCAUGGUACGACUGAGGUAGUAGCAUGCUGCCUCCUUCCCUUCAUCAUUGUGUUGUGCGAGGAGGGCACCUACAGAAGAAUCUUGAGCUGCGAUGUAAAGUAUAAGCGGCCGUCCUUUAACAGGUGCUGCUAGAAUAGGGGGAUUCAGUAAAUACCGUUUAAUGCUUUCAAAGGCAUUUUGACACUGCUCGUCCCAGUUGAAUGGUGCACCCUUCUUCAUGAGUUUGGAGAAUGGCUGGAUUCGCCCCGAGAGAUUCGAUAUGAAACGCCGAAUAUAUGCCAGCUUUCCCUGCAAAGAUUUCAACUCCUUUAAAUUUUGUGGAGGUGGCAUUUGGACAAUUGCUUUAAUUCUUUUUGGCUGAAUCUCUAUACCACGAUGGUGGACAAUAAAACCAAGAAACACACCUGACUGAACAGCGAAAGCACAUUUGAGAGGGUUCAUCUUCAAUUGAUGCGUCCUCAAUCUUUCAAACACGACCUGAAGAUCCUCCAUGUGUCUUCCUUGUUCUCUACUCUUCACUACCAUAUCAUCAAUGUAACACUCAACAGACCGAUGUAUGAGAUCACCAAGCACGUGAGUCAUGGCCGUCUGGUAGGUAGAACCAGCAUUUUUUAAACCAAACGGCAUUACUGUAUAAUAGAAGUUGCCCCUGGGCGUUCUAAAAGCUGUGUCGAUGGCAUCAUGUUCAUCCAUCUUAAUCUGAUUAUAUCCAGAAAAUCCAUCCAUGAAUGAAAGAGCACCAUAUCCUUUAGUUGAAUCAAUCACCAUCUCCGUCAUUGGGAUGGGGAAGUCAUCCUUAGGGCAAGCCCGAUUGAGAUCACGAAAAUCGACACAGAUUCAUAUUUGCCCAUUCUUCUUCUCUACUGGCACAAUAUUGGCCAGCCAUCGAGGAUAUCGUACUUCUUUUAUGAAACCCGCGGCAAUCAGUUUAUCCACUUCAUCUACUAUUUGAUCCUGCAACUCAGGACGAAAGCGCCUUGGUAAUUGCUUUACUGGACGAAAUUGUGGAUCGAUUGCUAAUUUGUGUGUAGCAACUUGAGGGUCAAGUCCAGGCAUUUCCUUAUAUGACCAAGCAAAACAAUCCCGAUAUUCCAUCAGGAAUGCCCUGUACAUUUCUCGCUCUUCAUAGGUAAGGGAUGCACUGACAUAUGUAGGUCUGGGGUCUUCCUCGGUACCUAAAUUGAUUUCAACUAACUCAUCAAUAGUAAGCUGAAUAUCAUCUUCGAGUUGCUGGGGAGCAGGAGCGGCAUCGAGAACCUCUCCAUGAGCCACCGGCAUGGCCUCAUGCAUCUUGGAGAGGAGAUAUUGUUUAUUUCUCAAACCUUCACAAGCAUUUGCCGCGGCUUCAAAGGAACGUGGUUGAUACGGACAUGAAUAUAUUGGCAUAAGCUCGUCGUCAUCUGAAGAUGCUUCAUCUAAACCAAGAUAAUCUUUAUUUCUAACCGAAGAGGUCACGCAACUAUUAACUCGUUGUACCAUACAUAAAUCUUCAUCGUCAUCUGAAGAAGCGGCCUCAUUAUAACCAAGACCAUACUUUGGUUGAACUGUACUUCUCUUCCUAAUUAAACUCUCCGCUUGUUCCCACCAUUCUUCACAAACAACUGGUGGUGGUGGUAGCCUGCUAUUUGGUUGUACCAAAAUUCCUGCCUUUUUUAAUAAUGGAAUCAUCCUGUCCUCAACUUUCAUAGUCAUGAGUGCUUCUUCAAUGGCAAGAACCCGAUCAGACUGCUUAUAUAUGUCAUCACAUGGUCGCUUUUCUGGGACCUUAUAAAAAAUAGUAGGCAAGGUGUUCUCACUUUCUUUUUGAACAGACAAAACAUCCAAUGGUGUGGUAACUGAAACAUAUAGUGAGGGGGGUUGCAUAAGCAAAUCUGGAACCCUCAACGUUGUGCCUGAAGGUUCCUCAUCCAAUUUCGUUGUGAGAACCACAGGAAUAGCAGUCGUUGGAGCAUGUGCCUUUAACAAAAUAGGAGCAGUGACUGAUAAAGCGUGCCCUCUUGUGACCCCUACCUCCAUUGAUGAGCUAGUAGAUGAAGCAGUGUCUGUUGUUAACAAGAUUGGCGUAGUCGCAGACAAAACCCGUCCUGUAGGCCUAGAUGAUGAACCUUCUGCUCUCAUAUUUGCAUUACCACAUUGCUGAUCUCGUGACUUCCUUAUCAAAGCAGUCUCUCUUGAGUGGGCUGAGCAAGGUGUGAUUAGAAAUUUCAUUUCCGUGGGGGAUGGUGUAGCAUCCGGCGUGACUAACACAUCAGCAUUAGAUGUUGUUCGUCCCUGCUGUUUCCCUGACUCGAUACUCGGGAAAUAAUAUUUAGCAUCGGCAUGGUGAACUUCUUGAAUUGUAUAAGGAGCAGUAUUCCCAGCGAUACAUUGUUGUUCUCCAUUGCCAUCCAUGAACUUUAGGCAUUGAUGCAGUGUUGAAGGGACUACACGAUAUUUAUGUAUCCAUGGUCGCCCCAAAAGUGCAGAGUAUGAAGCAUUGGCCUCUAUAACGAAGAACUUAACUUUGAAACUGUAAGACGCCAUCUGCAACUUAAGAGUGAUAACACCUAAGGCAGGCUUGGCAUGAUUAUCAUACCCACAAAUUACUACCUCGGUGGGGCUUAGAUCAUCCAUUAUGUACCCUGCUCGAGUUAAACUUCGUACAGGCAGGAUGUUCACAGCAGAGCCAGGAUCGAUCAAUAUUCUUCGAAGAUGUGCAGCUCCAAUAUUUCCCUCAAUAUAGAGGGGGCGAUUGUGAUCACCAUACUCCAUUAUUUGGUCCUCAUCAGAAAAGGUUAUCUGAUUAGCAUAGAGUAGAUUGUCAAAGAGUCUGUGCUUGGCCAUUGCCGCUUGAUAAUGUUCAGGCUUUUGCAAAGCUUUAAUAAGAGCCUCUCUAAGUUCCGGUAGAAGCACUAAUGCAUCAUAAACGCUUAGUAGUGCUGGAAUCCGCUUCAAAUGAGCAAUGACAUUAUAUUCGACAUCAUGCUCUUUUGCCUCCUCGUCCCUCGACUUCUCUUGUUGAUUGUUCGAGACAGUUGCCUCCCUACUUGUGGCUGGUUUAUCUUUCUUUGUUCGGUACUGCUUACUUCUCAUGGGCUCCGAUAGUACCUUUCCUGCCCGCAAGUUCAUAUGUACCUCCAUUUCUUGUUUCUCCAGUGACGUAUCAGUUUGCAAUGCCUCACAUUCUUCCUUUGUGAACACUACUUCAGUCUCUGAGUCAUUUGUACUUCCACUAGAGGCAACCAUGUUGCAUGUAGCAUUCUCAGUACUUAAUUGUGGUCCAUCCGGCAAAUCAUUUUUUACGUCAUGGUGUGACUGGUCCCAGCUUUGCGGGAAAAACUGGGCUAAAGUGGGAUGUACACGCCUUGUCCGAGGAAAAGAUUCAUUCCCUUCAGACCUGGGAAUAAAUCUUGGCGGCAUACGGCGAUGACUCGGGUUGGGACUCCGUCUAUUUGCUGACGUAUAUUGUAAGAUGGACGGAGAGCUCAUGGUUCCCUGAUGCACCUUUGUUUGAUUACGUCUAUGAUGAACUCUGCUCCAAGGGUGUGAGCUAUCUUCUGAAACUAUAGGUGUAAGCCGAAGUCCCUGAAACUGAUGUUGAACUUCAGAAAAUGGCAUCCAAUAUGCCUCUUCUGAACCAUGUUUCUGUAGUACCUCUGCUUUAUUAGUGGACACCAUGUUUACUUGAUGAUAAUCAGGAUUCACGGCUUGCGGAUCAAGAUUCAACUUCUUCUCAUCGAUUGCCCUUUGCAACCAUUCUUUAAAAGCGACCCAAUCUUCUACUACAUGACCAACGUAUCGAUGAUACGGGCAAUAUAACGGAUUGUCUGUCAUUCCCGCCUGGUCGGGCCGCCGCGGUUCAGGCAAGUUCAAAGCCCCUUGUUGUGAUAGCUGAUUAAAGAAAUUUUUAACAAACUCUCUCCUGAAUAUAUAUUGCUUUUUAAGCAAUUCUUGAAUACUAGGGCGGGUUCUCUGCCCCUGUUCAUUCCUUACUCCAAGAGCCUGCAUAUUUUGGCGAGGUGCUACAGCCAUCGUAGAUAGCCUGGUAGUAUUACUUUCUGCUUGUAUUUUAGGCUUAUUCCCAUUAUUAAAUGGUUUUGCCGUUGACUGAAACUUCUUCGAGUAAUCUGAAGUGCCUGCAUUUUUGUAUAACUCCAUAAUAUGUGGAGCCUUCUCAAAUUCUAAUUUGGUGGCAGCAACAGCGUUACCAAGUGCACUGAAAGUUUUAGGCUCGCGCCUAGAAACCUCUAACGACCAAUGUUGCUGCAUUCCGUGCACACACAUGUCGACAGCAUCUUCUGGGUGCAUCUCUCUAGUCAAGCGCACAUAACUGUUACGAAAUCGGACGAUAUAGUCAUCUAUCUUUUCAUCUCUUCUUUGUUUAAGCUGUGACAACUCCAAAAGGGAUGUAUCUUUGCUCAUGCUAAUGAAAUGAGAUUUAAAAAGAUCCUUCAUUGUUUGCCAACUGCGUACUGAACCAGUAGGUAAGCGACUAUACCAAUGAAAGGCCGGACCUGUCAAUGAUGAUGAAAACUGACGAAGUAAAAGUGAGGGCGAAUUGGCUGUGUCACCACACGCUGCUUCAAAAUAGACGAGGUGUUCCCUUGCAUCACCAUUACCAUCAAACUGCCUGAAUUUUGGUGGACGCCAUCCAGCAGGAAAAGCUACCUUGUCAUGCCACGCCUCAUAUGGCUUCUCCAACUCACUUUCAAGGGUUCUAGGUGUUUGUUCUUCUGCAAUUUGCUUCAUUUUUCUGUUGAUCAACUCUUCAGCGAUGUCAUGAUAAUCUCUUAGUGUCCCUAAUGCAGGAGCUGCUGAUAUAGGAUGUGUAGGUGCAAUUGGCAUAUUUAGAUGCACCCCUCCUGUGAAUUGAGGCUGCUCAACUCCACCUGUUGCACGAGGCGUAUGCUGGUGUUGUGCCAUAGCUUCCAACUCGGCAAUUUGUGGAUCCACCACUUGUGGUAGAGGAUUAGCAGAUUGCGUCCCAUUUACAGCAAGUUUUGCAAUCAUAUUAAAUAGUUGAUCGAUCUUUGUAUCAAUAGCAUCCAUCCUUCUACGUGUUUCCCCGUUUAGAGCACCUGAAGUUCCUUCUUGAUGGUGUAAAGAUCGAGCCUUCUCUUCUUCAGUCACAACUGGUCCUGGUGGCAAGUCGUGUUGUUUCCCUGCAUCAUCUUGUGCAAUGGCUGCCAGACCUAGCUCGUCCUGAUUAGUAUGGACAUGAACUGACGCAAGAUUAAUUGCCCGUGCAACAUCCUCAUUAUCCAAAGGCUCUGAGGCGUCAACCUUUGGCAGUGACGAGGAUGACUCCGCGUUUGAUCUUUCAUCACUAGUUUGUUCAUCCGUGGGAUCAAAAUCUGCAUUUAUAGUUUGUCGAGCCACUUUUCUCAACCGUGUAAGUGCCCCAUAGCGUUCUGCAAUUUGUUGGACCUGAUUCUGAUCAGCAGGAAGACGAGAACUAAUACUGGCAUAAGGUCUGCUAUACUCACUUGCGCGUAACAAAAUUUUAUCUUCUGGAGUUUUAUCACCCCUUGAUGUCAGCGGAAGACAUGAUGCUGUUAUCAUCGCACCACUCCUCUGUUUUAUCACAGCAUGCUUUCUUACAUGUUCUUUUGCACAGGGUGAAUUUCUCAUGAAUGAUGGAGUAGGAUUAGGCAGGAUUUCCUCGUCUGACGAGUAAGAGAACUCAUGACGAACAAGUGGCGGCUCCCACUCUGAAUCUGAAUUUUGCACCGACCGGACUGUCGCCAUACGACAUGCCACAUUAUUAAUCAUGUUGCCAGAUCGCCUUCUUCCAUUCCCAUCAUUCUUGAACCUAGUAGUGUUUGAUCCGUUAUCUCGAGGGAUCAACGCAUUAUUUGAUCCUUGUGGAGCUGAAUGAGAACCACCUCUUGGCCUUUCUGUACUGAGGUUCCUUUGCUCAACCCUUAGUGGUUUGGGAGCCAGAUGCUCUAUCAAUGCAUUAUAUCUCUCAUUUCUUUUCAAAUUUGGAGAAAUCUGAAGUGUUACACUUUCAUUAUCCUUAUAAAUUCGGCCAUCAGCCCUCACACGGACCUGCACGUGUCUUAGCACCAAAUCUUGCAAUUCUUGAUACAUCGCUUCACGAGUCCUCCUCCUCUCACGUUUACGCUGAUUAACUGUCAAUGCAUAAGGGGCCCUUGGGGUUGCAUCAAAGGUCGGUGCCCCCCGUGAAUACCUUGCAUGUUUCCAAGGUGCUGCCGUCAUGGGGUCAUGUUGCCUUGGUAGAGCAAACUGCUGCGGAACCCGGUUUGAGGACUCAAUGUUUUGCGAAGAUGCUUUCACUCGCCACUGAGGCUUAUAUCUUCUUGUUUCAGGCAGAGGGUGGCAACGAUCUCGACGAUUCCCAUGUGGCCAGGGAGUGUUUUCACGAUAAUGAGCAUAUGUGGAUAAUGGUCUGUUCCUAGGUGGAAGAUGCUGAUGUUCAUUUUGAAGUCUGCUUUGCAUUGCUCUAAUCUGAUGUUGCAUCUGUUCUAACUGAAGUCGGAGUUCCUCUGCUCUGGGCGCUGGUGUUUCAUUGGUUAAAAUAGCAAACCUGUUAUUGUUCUGCGAAGUAGAGUGAUGUCUCUCUGAGGUCUGGAAACAAGGUACCCGUACUUGUUGAUCCCGACUGAUAGAACUUCGUUGAGAACACAAUCUUGGCCAUGUUCGCUCCUUACUGAUGCGUCUCCAAAAUUCAUUCAUUAUGGUUUCUUUGACCAGCUCGCAACUGGCCCCUCGUUCAGGAGAAAGAACAAGAAACUCAUCGCUCAUAUCAGUGUACUGUUGAUCCUGACGCCUACUCACAUCUGAACUCUUAGACGGUGCAUCACGCCCGGCAACGCGAGCCCUUAAAUGUGACUGCAACUUCUUCACUUGUUGCCUCUUCCUUCUGUAAUUGCGGUGUGCGUUCUUUUUGUUCAGAGUUCGAGCACGUGCAAUACUAGAAUUCAGGUGUUGCUUGACGUUUUCCAGUUCUUGAAGGAGUUCAGCUUCGGUAGUAUGUGUAGUUUUGGUUUUGAACACUGAGAGGCGUUGCUUAUAGCCGGCGUUCAGAACGGCUCCUGGGAAUUUCAGUAACUUCCUAGCAUCCGUCAUUAAUGCUUGACACUCUCCCCUAGCCCUUGCAUCCACGUACUUCUGAACUUUCUUGGCGUCAUCUAAGUCUGAGGAGUGGUCUGCCUGGUACACAUACAUGUUGGAGCCAAAGCUUGAAACUACAACUGGUGGUAAUGAACCAAACCAAAAAACAAAAGGCUCCAUUUGGUUUGCGUCAGCCUUCGGUCCAUAGUUGGUGAAGCCCCCAUCUGCACGAGAUGUACACUGGUUAGCACUUCACCACACCACAUUAUCAGCCAAAAAAAGUGCCAAGGAGACAGAUCAUGAGUAGAUUCUGACGACUGAUGACGAGCAGCGAAGAUGGGAGGAGAGUCGAGUCCCACCGGGCGUGCCAUUUGUUUUAUGCGAGAUAAAUACUAAAUCUAUCCGCGUUGGCAUUUUAGGUGCGGGCGUGCCAGUAUACGAGUGUAUACGAAUUAAAACAAAAUAAAAUAAAGCACACAAAAUUAUGCGGAGAAAACUUGUAGUCUUUAUUGCUGAAGAUAUACAAAUCUCAUUUUACAUGCUCUUGGUAUAGCAUCUGACAUAUAAAAGACAAUUGCGUAAUUCUCAACUCCUAGAACCUCGAAGUGAUCUCUAGUUAAUUACAUUCAUAGCAUAUCUAUGAAAGACCUCCGAUUAAGCUGCCUCAAACGGUCAUCAUCAUUAUCAAACUCCUGGCUUCUGUCUCCAAGGCAAAAAGAAUAUGCAAACGCUAUGAGCAAAACAAUAAUCUCGCCAUGCCAAAAAUUUAUGGAUUCAUGCACCAAAUCAAACAAGGGAUAUAGAUCAAGUCUCAAAGAGAAAAUAAAGUGGAUCGUUCGGCCUCGUCGGUCACGAACAUGAUGUAUCCUGCCUCGUCGGCCAGGAAGUGUAUGUAAGUUCCGGCCUCGUCGGUCGCGGAAGAAAGUAUAUUGAGCAUGGACUUGAAGAUGAACCCUCAUCUGAUUGAGAAACAUGGUUCUGCAGAAUUUUGUCAAUGGCGUCUUGUUUAUUCCAGAGUGGGUAGCCAUGUCUUUAUUAAUAUUGGAUUAUCUCAUGAUGAGAAACCAUCCUUUGUAUAUCACGUGACCCCCUUGCUACCUCUGAAUAUAUGAUGUAUGCUGGACGAUGAUGUUGAUUCUUUUUGUACAGCUAUAUUGCUUUCCCUUGUGACUCCACACCAUGAAAUGUUUACGGCGACGAUUGAAGCGUCAGGUAGAGCCAUGAAACAUCAUAACCUUCCCUUUUCCUUUUACUGAUCAAACCAUAAACAUCCGUGGCGACGACUUGAUCGCCAUGUAGAGCCAUGGGAUGCCAUCAAACUGUUUUUUUGUAGAUCGGGUGAUAGAACGUCCGCGGCGACGAUUAGAUCGCCAUGUAGAGCCGCGGAUGCCGCCGAAUUCUUUCUAUAGAUCAAACAAGGAAACACCCGCGACGACGAUUAGAUCGCCAUGUAGAGCCGCGGGACACCGCCAAUUUUUGUUGUAGAUCAAAAGAUGAGAUAUCCACGGCGACGACUAGAUCAUCAUGUAGAGCCGCGGGACACCGCCGAUUUUUGUUGUAGAUCAAACGAUGAGAUAUCCACGGCGACGACUAGAUCGUCAUGUAGAGCCGCGGGACACCGCCGAUUUUUGUUGUAGAUCAAACAAUGAGACAUCCACGGCGACGAUUAGAUCGCCAUGUAGAGCCGCGAGAUUCCACAAAAAGAAGUGAACAAAGAGAAGAAAAAUAAAUAAAAGAGAUAAAUGAUCAUAUGCAACCUUCAUAUGAUUUACUCACCAUAUGGUUGUGCCAUCGACGCCGGCCACGGAGGGAAACGCCAGACGAGAAAUGAAGAUGUGUGUAUGUGUGAGUGCUGGGAUGGAGAUGAUACGAAGUGUGUGUGUGUGUGUUGAAUGGUGGUGAGAUGAGCGUGUAAAUGGUGCGCGCGUUGUGAGUGAGCUGAACCCCCUUUGCAGUCACUAGAGCAGCCCUUUUAUAGCAUCGUCUCCACCGGCGAAUAGAUAAAAAGAUAAGUACGAGAGAUUAGCAUCGUCGCCGCUGCCGUUAGUACUUAGUAACAAACCAUAUCUUAUCUCUAGUCUCUCGGUGUUGUUGAACCGAGAAAACAACAAACUCUUGGCCAAUACUUAUCUCUUCGUGGAUCUAGUCAAGUCCAAUUGAUUUAGCUUUUUUUAUCUCCAGCCGCUACACACCUUGCUUUGUACCAGUUUAAAUAUAUGCGCGUCCAACUAGCCGGUGGCAUCGUACAAGAUUUCAUUCACGUUAUACGCAUCAGACGUUUUUGCUGGGAUAGCUGCUGAUCAGUGGGUCCGUGCAUGCACAUGUGGUUCAUUCUAUUGGCAAACUGGCUGAUCCAAUAAACGAUUUGACCCAUACAAGUGAAUAUGCGUCAACGUGACUAGACCAGAUAAUUAUUAAAUAUAUAUAUUUGCCUCGCAUGAUGAGAGAAAAAAAAUGGAGUCAAACACCUAUUACAAGAACAUGAUCAAUCUCAUACAUCACAUACAUCAUUCAUCACAUCCUUUUGGUCAUAUCACAUCACAUAGCAUACCCUGCAAAAACAAGUUAGACGUCCUCUAAUUGUUGUUUGCAUGUUUUACGUGGCUGCUAUGGGUUUCUAGCAAGAACGUUUCUUACCUACGCAAAACCACAACGUGAUAUGCCAAUUGCUAUUUACCCUUCAUAAGGACCCUUUUCAUCGAAUCCGACCCGACUAAAGUGGGAGAGACAGACACCCACCAGUCACCUUAUGCAACUAGUGCAUGUUUGUCGGUGGAAUCGGUCUCACGUAAGCAUACGUGUAAGGUUGGUCCGGGCCGCUUCAUCCCACAAUACCGUCGAAUCAAGAUAAGACUAGUAACGGCAAGCAUAUUGAACAAAAUCAACGCCCACAACUUCUUUGUGUUCUACUCGUGCAUAGAAUCUACGCAUAGACCUAGCUCAUGAUGCCACUGUUGGGGAACGUAGCAGAAAUUCAAAAUUUUCCUACGUGUCACCAAGAUCUAUCUAUGGAGAGACUAGCAACGAGGGGAAGGAGAGUGCAUCUACAUACCCUUGUAGAUUGCUAAGCGGAAGCGUUCAAGUGAACGGGGUUGAUGGAGUCGUACUCGUCGUGAUCCAAAUCACCAAUGAUCCUAGUGCCGAACGGACGGCACCUCCGCGUUCAACACACGUACAGCCCGGUGACGUCUCCCAUGCGUUGAUCCAGCAAGGAGAGAGGGAGAGGUUGAGGAAGACUCCAUCCAGCAGCAGCACAACGGCGUGGUGGUGGUGGAGGAGCGUGGCAAUCCUGCAGGGCUUCGCCAAGCACUACGGGAGAGGAGAAAGAGAGGGAGGGCUGCACCAACGAGAGAGAUCAAAUCACGUGUGAUGGGCAGCCCCAAGCCUCACUAUAUAUAGGGGACAGGGAGGAGGGUGCGCCCCCUCUAGGGUGCCCACCCCUAGGGGGGGCGGCAGUCCUAGAUGGGAAAGGAGAGGCGGCCAAGAGGGGGAGAGAGGAGGGCGCCCCUAGGGUGGGCCUUAGGCCCAUCUAAGCCUAGGGUUUCCCCUCUCUCCUCCUUUGCUGCGCCUUGGGCCUUGUGGGAGGCGCACCAGCCCACUUAGGGGCUGGUCCCUCACCACCCUUGGCCCAUGCAAGCCUCCGGGGCAGGUGGCCCCACUUGGUGGACCCCCGGGACCCUCCCGGUGGUCCCGGUACGUUACCGAUAAACCCCGAAACUCUUCCGGUGACCAAAACAGGACUUCCCAUAUAUAAAUCUUUACCUCCGGACCAUUCCGAAACUCCUCGUGACGUCCGGGAUCUCAUCCGGGACUCCGAACAACAUUCGGUAACCACAUACAAACUUCCUUUAUAACCCUAGCGUUAUCGAACCUUAAGUGUGUAGACCCUACGGGUUCGGGAACCAUGCAGACAUGACCGAGACACCUCUCCGGCCAAUAACCAACAGCGGGAUCUGGAUACCCAUGUUGGCUCCCACAUGUUCCACGAUGAUCUCAUCGGAUGAACCACGAUGUCAAGGACUUAAUCAAUCCCGUAUACAAUUCCCUUUGUCUAGCGGUAUUGUACUUGCCCGAGAUUCGAUCGUCGGUAUCCCUAUACCUUGUUCAAUCUCGUUACCGGCAAGUCUCUUUACUCGUUCCGUAACACAUCAUCCCGUGAUCAACUCCUUGAUCACAUUGUGCACAUUAUGAUGAUGUCCUACCGAGUGGGCCCAGAGAUACCUCUCCGCUUACACGGAGUGACAAAUCCCAGUCUCGAUUCGUGCCAACCCAACAGACACUUUCGGAGAUACCUGUAGUGCACCUUUAUAGUCACCCAGUUACGUUGUGACGUUUGGUACACCCAAAGCAUUCCUACGGUAUCCGGGAGUUGCACAAUCUCAUGGUCUAAGGAAAUGAUACUUGACAUUAGAAAAUCUUUAGCAUACGAACUACACGAUCUUUGUGCUAGGCUUAGGAUUGGGUCUUGUCCAUCACAUCAUUCUCCUAAUGAUGUGAUCCCGUUAUCAAUGACAUCCAAUGUCCAGGGUCAGGAAACCGUAACCAUCUAUUGAUCAACGAGCUAGUCAACUAGAGGCUUACUAGGGACAUGGUGUUUUCUAUGUAUCCACACAUGUAUCUGAGUUUCCUAUCAAUACAAUUAUAGCAUGGAUAAUAAACGAUUAUCAUGAACAAGGAAAUAUAAUAAUAACUAAUUUAUUAUUUCCUCUAGGGCAUAUUUCCAACAAUGAUCAACAUAAUGAUGUUCACCAUUGAAGACUAAUCCAUUUCAUGUGAUGCUCGGUUAUGGUUUAGUUGAUUUGGAUCACGUGAUCACUUAGAAGAUUAGAGGGAUAUCUAUCUAAGUGGGAGUUCUUAAGUAAUAUGAUUAAUUGAACUUAAAUUUAUCAUGAACUUAGUCCCUGAUAGUAUGUUGCUUAUUUAUGUUGAUUGUAGAUAGACGGCCCGUGCUGUUGUUCCGUUGAAUUUUAAUGCGUUCCUUGAGAAAGCAAAGUUGAAAGAUGAUGGUAGCAAUUACAUGGACUGGGUCCGUAACUUGAGGAUUAUCCUCAUUGCUGCACAGAAGAAUUACAUCCUGGAAGCACCGCUGGGUGCCAGGCCUGCUGCUGGAGCAACACCAGAUGUUAUGAACGUCUGGCAGAGCAAAGCUGAUGACUACUCGAUAGUUCAGUGUGCCAUGCUUUAGGCUUAGAAUCGGGACUUCAACGACGUUUUGAACGUCAUGGAGCAUAUGAGAUGUUCCAGGAGUUGAAGUUAAUAUUUCAAGCAAAUGCCCGGAUUGAGAGAUAUGAAGUCUCCAAUAAGUUCUAUAGCUGCAAGAUGGAGGAGAACAGUUCUGUCAGUGAGCAUAUACUCAAAAUGUCUGGGUAUAAUAAUCACUUGAUUCAAUUGGGAGUUAAUCUUCCAGAUGAUUGCGUCAUUGACAGAAUUCUCCAAUCACUGCCACCAAGCUACAAGAGCUUCGUGAUGAACUAUAAUAUGCAAGGGAUGAAUAAGACUAUUCCCGAGCUCUUCGCAAUGCUGAAAGCUGCGGAGGUAGAAAUCAAGAAGGAGCAUCAAGUGUUGAUGGUCAACAAGACCACUAGUUUCAAGAAAAAGGGCAAAGGGAAAAAGAAGGGGAACUUCAAGAAGAACAACAAGCAAGUUGCUGCUCAGGAGAAGAAACCUAAGUCUGGACCAAAGCCUGAAACUGAGUGCUUCUACUGCAAGCAGACUAGUCACUGGAAGCGGAACUGCCCCAAGUAUUUGGCGGAUAAGAAGGAUGGCAAGGUGAACAAAGGUAUAUGUGAUAUACAUGUUAUUGAUGUGUACCUUACUAGAGCUCGCAGUAGCACCUGGGUAUUUGAUACUGGUUCUGUUGCUAAUAUUUGCAACUCGAAACAUGGACUACGGAUUAAGCGAACACUGGCAAAGGACGAGGUGACGAUGCGCGUGGGAAAUGGUUCCAAAAGUCGAUGUGAUUGCGGUCGGCACGCUACCUCUACAUCUACCUUCGGGAUUAGUAUUAGACCUAAAUAAUUGUUAUUUGGUGCCAGCGUUGAGCAUGAACAUUAUAUCUGGAUCUUGUUUGAUGCGAGAUGGUUAUUCAUUUAAAUCAGAGAAUAAUGGUUGUUCUAUUUAUAUGAGUAAUAUCUUUUAUGGUCAUGCACCUUUGAAGAGUGGUCUAUUUUUGAUGAAUCUCGAUAGUAGUGAUACACAUAUUCAUAAUGUUGAAGCCAAAAGAUGCAGAGUUGAUAAUGAUAGUGCAACUUAUUUGUGGCACUGCCGUUUAGGUCAUAUCGGUGUAAAGCGCAUGAAGAAAAUCCAUACUGAUGGACUUUUGGAACCACUUGAUUAUGAAUCACUUGGUACUUGCGAACUGUGCCUCAUGGGCAAGAUGACUAAAACGCCGUUCUCCGGUACUAUGGAGAGUGUAAGUGCAUCUAGUGCCACCCCUAGUUGGUUUUGGAGUAUUGACGACAAACCUAGUUGAGGGACUAAUGUGUUUGUGAGAAUUGCAGGAAAACACAGGUAGAAGUCCCUUAUUGAUUCGGUUUUACUACCAGAGAUGACCCCUAAAAAUGUACGAAGACAUUGAAGACAAUGGUGGUUUAUGAAGAUAUUCAUAUUGAAGACAAUGACAUGAGAAGACUCCCUAUGAAGCUUAUGGAACUCGAAGACUUAGAUCCUUCGUAGUUUGAUUUCAUUUAUGUUGUGUCGUAGGAACCACCGUACUGUUAAGUGGGGUCCAAGAGAACCGGUCAGAAUGACUGAAGUGAUGCCUAAUUCAAAUCCUAUGUCUUCGAGCGAAGACUAUGAGAGCAAAUCUUGUCCAGAGUCAGACAAGUCAGCUUUACUUGUAGCCCAAGAAAAGUUGCCGUGUGAGUUCAAAAUUCGACCGUUGGUACACGUGUCAGUUCCUUAGUGACCCAGGGUCAUUUCGGACAAAUCAGGUUGGGUUGCCAAGUGGCUAUAAAUAGCCCACCCCCACAACCAUAAACGGUUGGCUGCUCAGAUUUCAGUGCACGGCUUUUGUCGUUUCAGAGCAACCCACCUCGAAGCCUUUGAAAGAAAAAUUCCUAGUGAGGAGAAAAGCCCUAACCACCCAGAGCCAGAGUAAAUUGGGCAUCACUUAAGUCUUCUUAUCUGUGUGAUCUGAAGACUUAUUACACUUGAGGACUGUGCAUCCUCCAGACGGUUAGGCGUCGCGUUCUGAGCAUCCAAGAGACAUUGUGGAUUGCCAGUGAACAAAGUCUGUGAAGGUUUGGGAGUCUACCUUGAAGACUUACCAGAGUGAUUGGGCGAGGUCUGUGUGACCUUAGCUCAAGGAGAAAACGGUGAGGACUGGGUGUCUUGGACUAAGUGUCCUUGACUGGGUGUCCGGGACUGUGUGUCCUUUGGUUUAAAUACCUAGCCGCUCCAACCAGACGUACAGUUGUCACAGCAACUGGAACUGGUCCAACAUAUCAUUGUCUUCAACGAGUCACUGGUUUCAUCUUCACUUCCUUUGACUUACUGUUAUUCAUUGUGAAGCCAUUGCAUGCUUGCUUUAUCUUUUGUCUUCACAACGUGAAUGUAUGAUCUGUUUGGCUUCAUAACUUCUUCCUACCUGAUCCUUAUUACACUGAAGCUGUUUGUCAUUGUGCUUUCACUCUAUUGAAUACCUGACCAUGCCUGGCCUAGUGUAAUCUAACUUCCGCUGCAUAGUAAUAGGCAUAAUCUUCACUGUUUGUCUUCAUAACUCCCACGUUUUGAAGACUUUCAUAAAAAUCGCCUAUUCACCCCCCCUCUAGUCGAUAUAACGCACUUUCAAUUGGUAUCAGAGCAAGGUGCUCCCUUGUUCUGUGUGAUUUGGUUUAACCACCUGGAGUUUUAGCUAUGUCGACUGCAGGGAUAAUCAAAGUCUCCGCUGCGUGCUCCGUCUUCGAUGGAACUGAAUAUCCCUACUGGAAGAAUAAGAUGCGCAUGCAUCUUGAAGCCAUUGACGUCGACCUAUGGUAUGUCGUCGAAAACAGCGUUCCCAAGGCUGGAGAAGGUGUCACUGCUGCUGAUGUCAAGAAGUUCACUCAACUGGACUCUACUGCUAAGAAUAUCAUCUGUGGUCAUCUGACCAAAGGACUGUAUGGCCGUGUGAGUGCCUUGAAGACAUCCAAGCUAGUCUGGGACUGGCUCUCCAAGGUCAAUGAAGGCAUCUCAACCCAGAGAGAUCAGAGAAUCAGUGUUCUUCGCAACCUCUUCAACCGCUUCAAGCGAAAUGACAAUGAGAAUGUUCAGCACACCUUUGAUCGGCUCACUGACAUCACAAAUGAGCUUCAAGCCCUCGGCGCCAUUGAGAUCACCAAACAUGAAAUCGUCAAGACGCUGCUGAGAUCACUUGAUAGUUCGUUUGACAUUCUGGCCCUGAUGAUUCAAGAACGUCCUGAUUUCAAGACACUCGAUCCGUAUGACAUACUUGAGAGGCUCAACACACAUGAGUUUCAGCUUUCUGAGAAAAGAGAUAUCUACGGUCCAAACUAUGGGCGAACUCGUGCUUUGAAGGCAAAAGUUGUCUCCUCAUCUGAAGAAGAAUCUGACUGCAGUUCUGAUGAUCCUGAAGACAUUGGAAGAGAACUUGCAAUGCUAGUGAAGAAGUUCCAAAAAUUCACCAAGAAGAAAGGCUUCAGAAAAUCUUCACGAUCAAGCUCAAGGAAUGAUGAAGCUUCUGUUCAUGACUACAAGAAGAAAACAUGUCACAAGUGCAAGAAAACUGGACACUUCAUCUCUGAGUGUCCACAGUGGGAAAAUGAGAACAGAAGGAAGAAGAUGAGCAAGGAAUAUGAUUCUGACGACAAGAAGAAGAAGAAAUACUCAAAGUCUUCUUCCAAGUCUUCAUCAAAAUCUUCAUCACACAAGAAGAGCUCAUCUGGCAAGGCACGUGCGUUUGUUGGAAAGGAGAUGGAUUCAGAGGAGGAGUCCGCAUCUGAGGAGGCAGAGGUGGAGUCUGAGGAGGAGUCUGAUUCUGGCAUUGCGAGUCUGGCUACAGCAUACGUCGCCAAGUCCAUCUUCAACACUGAAGACAAUGACUGCAUCACCGACACCGACGCAAAUGACAAGAACAACUCCACUCCUACCUACUGCUUCAUGGCACGCGGUGCCAAGGUAAACACACGCACUACUCGCUAUGAAACAUCUAGUGACGAUGACUCUGAAUGUGAUUCAAAACCUAGCUACAAAACGCUUGCUAAAAUUGCAACUGAACAACAGAAAGCUAUGGAACAUAUUCAAAAACUGCUAGACAGAAGCGAUGAUCUGUUGGGUGCUGAAAUGACUCGAUCUGAAUCCUUAAUUGAAGACAUAAAAAACCUUCACGUUAAGUAUCAGGAACUUGAAGAUCGUCAUGAUACUCUCUCAACUACCCAUGAAAAGCUUUCCUAUGAUUAUCUUCAAAGGAAGCAAGAACUUGAGAAAUUGAGGGUGGCUCAUGAAGAUCUUCAAAAGGAAAACGAGUCACUUCGCUCCGAACAGAUCAGUCCCGCUCAGGAAGGAUUUGAACCACCAUGUCUUAAAUGCAUUGAGCGUGAUAAUGCUACUUCUGUUGCUGAAUGUUCCACUGCUACUGCUGUUCCAAUAUCUUCAACUGUUGAUGUGGUAACUAACCCCUCUGCUGAGGAUACCACUGUUAUUGCUGAUGAGAAUGCUAGGUUGAAGACAUUGCUUGAAAUAGGGAUGUACAAAAGUCUGAAAGGGCAUCAGACAUUAUGUGAUGUCCUUAAGAAGCAGAUUCUGAACCGAAACCCUAGGAAAGAGGGUGUUGGGUUCGAGAGGAGAAUUAAUGCAGAUGGCUCUUACUGGAAACCUGAGCAGUACCCCAAAACCACAUGGGUUGCUGCAAAGGAAUCCUCAGCAGAUCCAUCCAAUCUAUCUGGCUUCACUUGUGCUAACCCCAUUAUCAUUGAUGAAUCCUUUGAUGCAAACUAUAAACUGUUUAAGAAUCAGAAUGGUGAAGUGUUUGCCAGGUACAUUGGUACUAACUGCAGGAAUGGACCGCCUAUGAAGAAGAUCUGGGUUCCGAAAAAGUGUUUGGAAAAUCUUCCUGUGAAUGUCUUCAUGACACCUCACUUGAAGAAGACAAACCUCAGACCAAAGGCUUCAUACGGUCCAAUGGCUUCAUACAAACAGAGGACUCGCCUGAGUCACACUAACGCAAAUGUUUUGCAGGGAAACCAUACUCAGGCAUAUGAAUAUGAGAGCGGUUCAUCGAACCGUCAUGUUCAUAUGACCAAAAAUUAUUCUGCUUAUUCCUAUGAGUAUUAUUGUCCCCCUGCUAGACUGUUUGCUAGGGAUCCAAAGCCAAAAUUCUCAGAUGCUGCACUUAGACUUAUUGCUGGGAAAGGUCUCCAGCAGAAAAACAAAAUCUUCUGAUGCUAUUGCUGGGGACCUUAAAAAUCUUGUAGGGCGCAAGAUAAAAUGCCCGAAUGGCAUCAUUAUGUACUUUGCUCCUGAAUCGCAUGCUACUCUCCCUAUUAGUCCUAAUCUGGAUCUAAGUUUUCAUAACCCACUGGUUCGUCAAAUGUUUAUGCUUCACAACUCUCUUCGUGAAGCCUAUCCCCCUAACUGCACUGUAGGGUACGACACCAGCGACUUCAAAGUCUUCAGAAUGGAUUAUUGACAGUGGGUGUACAAAUCACAUGACCGGCAGAAGAAGCCUUCUUAUGGACUCAACUUUACGUCCAUCCGACAAGAGUCACAUCACAUUUACUGACACUGGUAAAAGUAAGGUAUUGGGUCUAGGUAGAGUUGCAAUCUCAAAGGAUCAACACAUGGAUAAAGUCAUGCUUGUUGAAUCCCUUGGCUUCAACUUAAUGUCUGUCUCAAUGCUUUGCGAUUUGAAUAUGAUUGUAAUGUUUGGAAAAUAUCGUUGCCUGGUGCUAAUGGAAUCUGACAAAUCUCUAGUGUUUGAAGGGUAUCGGAAAGGUGAUUUGUACGUGGUAGAUUUCUCAGCAGGACCACAACUUGCAGUAUGUCUUCUUGCAAAAGUUUCAGAAUGCUGGCUUUGGCAUCGAAGGCUUGGGCAUGCUGGCAUGAGGAACCUCCACACCCUUGCGAAGAAAAAGCACGUCAUAGGCAUCGAGGGCGUCAAGUUCAAGAAAGAUCAUUUAUGCGGUGCCUGUGAAGCAGGGAAAAUGACAAGGGCAAAACAUCCUUCAAAGACAAUCAUGACUACUACACAACCCUUCGAACUGCUUCACAUGGAUCUUUUCGGUCCCACUCACUACUCAACUUUUACUACUUCUGCUUGCCUCUAUGGCUUCGUCAUUGUUGAUGAUUACUCUAGAUAUACUUGGGUACACAUAAUCCUUUACAAGACUGAAGUGCAGGAUGUCUUCAGACGCUUCGCCAAUCGAGCCAUGAACAAUUUUGGCGCCAAGAUAAAGCACAUCAGAAGUGACAAUGGCACUGAAUUCAAGAACACUGGCCUUGAUACAUAUCUGGAUACCUUGGGCAUCACACAUGAAUUCUCAGCUCCAUACACGCCACAGCAGAAUGGCGUCGUCGAACGCAAGAACAGAACACUCAUUGAGAUGGCCAGAACAAUGCUAGAUGAAUACAAGACUCCAAGAAAAUUCUGGACUGAAGCCAUUGAUACUGCAUGCCAUACAAUCAAUCGUGUUUAUCUUCACAAGCUUCUGAACAAGACAUCUUAUGAACUCCUAACUGGCAAGAAGCCAAAUGUCAGUUACUUCAGAGUAUUUGGCGCAAAAUGCUGGAUCAAGGACCCACACCACACCUCAAAGUUUGCACCAAAAGCACAUGAGGGAUUCAUGCUUGGAUAUGGAAAGGAUUCGCACUCCUAUAGAGUCUUCAAUCUCUUCCACUACAAAGUGGUUGAAACCGUGGAUGUGCGGUUCGAUGAAACCAAUGGAUCACAAAGAGAGCAAUUGCCAAAUGUGCUAGAUGAAGUUCCAGCUAGUGAAUUAAUCAAGCUUAUGGGAACUGGAGAGAUUAUGCCUACUGAAGCUCAUCCUGAAGAAGAACUUAUCAUCUCAACACCUGAUCCACAUGAAGACAAUGCUCAGCCUGAAGAUAUACCUCCAAAUGACAACGCAGAUCAGCAAGAGCAAAGUCUUCGCCUAUACAUCCUCGUGUUGCAAAUGAAGUACAGAUUGACAGAAUACUUGAUAGCAUCAAUGCACCUGGUCCACUCACUCGUUCAAGGGCAACUCAGCUAGCAAACUUCUGUGGGCAUUUCGCACUCGUCUCAAUAUCAGAACCCAAGAAAGUUGAAGAAGCCUUCAUGGAACCUGAAUGGAUUCAAGCUAUGCAAGAAGAGCUUCAACAGUUUGAGCUGAAUAAUGUAUGGGAACUGGUUAAGCGUCCUGAUCCACGGAAGCACAACAUAAUAGGCACCAAAUGGAUAUACCGCAACAAGCAAGAUGAGCAUGGUCAAGUUGUCAGAAACAAAGCUCGUCUCGUUGCUCAAGGAUAUACUCAAGUGGAGGGCAUUGACUUCGAUGAAACAUUUGCUCCUGUGGCUAGGCUUGAAGCCAUACGCAUACUGCUGGCCUAUGCAAAUCAUCAUAACAUACUUCUAUAUCAAAUGGAUGUGAAAAGUGCCUUUCUCAAUGGCAAGAUUGAAGAAGAAGUGUAUGUUGCACAACCACCUGGCUUUGAAAAUCCAAAACAUCCUGAUAUGGUAUACAAGCUCAACAAGGCACUGUAUGGCCUCAAACAAGCCCCUAGGGCCUGGUAUGAUACACUCAAGUACUUUCUGAAGAGCAAAGGCUUCAUACCUGGUUCCCUGGAUCCCACUCUUUUCAUGAAGACAUACGAUGGUGAACUGUUUGUGUGCCAAAUAUAUGUGGAUGACAUUAUCUUCGGCUGCACCAAUCAGAAGUACAGUGAAGAGUUUGGAUACAUGAUGCAAGAGCAAUAUCAGAUGUCCAUGAUGGGGGAGCUGAAGUUCUUCCUCGGUCUUCAGAUACGGCAACAACGCAAUGGCAUCUUCAUAUCUCAAGAGAAAUAUCUUAAAGAGUGCCUGAAGAAGUUCGGUAUGCAAGAUUGCAAAGGCUUCACAACACCAAUGCCAGCCAAACAUCAUCUAGGUCCUGACGACAAUGGUAAAGAGUUCGAUCAAAAGGUAUACCGCUCCAUGAUUGGGUCUUUGCUUUAUUUAUGUGCAUCUAGGCCAGAUAUCAUGCUUAGUGUUUGCAUGUGUGCUCGAUUUCAAGCGGCACCAAAGGAGUCGCUUCACUUAGCUGUGAAGCGAAUUCUUAGAUAUUUGGCUCACACCCCAACUCUAGGAUUAUGGUAUCCAAAGGGCUCAGAGUUUGAUUUGGUUGGAUUUUUGGAUGCUGAUUAUGCUGGUGACAAAGUUGAUCGCAAGUCUACAUCAGGCACAUGUCACUUUCUGGGACGAUCACUUGUAUGUUGGUCUUCAAAGAAGCAGAACUGUGUAUCUCUCUCCACUGCUGAAUCUGAAUACAUUGCUGCUGGAUCUUGCUGCGCUCAGCUUCUGUGGAUGAAGCAAACACUCAAGGAUUAUGGCAUUCAUCUGAAGCAAGUGCCACUUUACUGCGACAACGAAAGCGCCAUCAAGAUUGCCAACACCCCAGUUCAGCACUCGAAGACAAAGCACAUUGAAAUUCGUCAUCACUUUCUCAGAGAUCAUGUUGUGAAGGAAGACAUUGAUAUCAUACACGUCAACACUGAAGAGCAAUUGGCAGAUAUCUUCACCAAGCCCUUGGAUGAGAAGAGGUUUUGCAAGUUACGGUGUGAGCUAAAUAUCUUGGAAUCCUCAAAUGUCCUGUGAUCAGGCACACAUCCUAACACUUAUGCAUAUUAAUGACUUAGAUGUGCAACACACAAAGUAAAGUAUAUCUUCAAUCAAUGAAGACAUACAUUCUAAGUGUGAAUACAUUAAUGUGGAAUUUGACUUCAGAGCGCCACGAUAAUUGUGCGCCGUGUCUGGGUCUAAUACUUCCUAUACGGUGGGUAACGCCACCACCAAACGUUCCAUUUUGAAGUGUUUCACUCAUGGCGUUACCAUGCAAUUUCUUCACAUUUGGUUUGGCUUCGAACUCAACAUGUCUUCAUGAUUAUCUUCACUGCAUUGAUUAUAUAGAUAUAUAUAUAUAUAUAUAUAUAUAUAUAUGUACUGGUGUUCUGUCCUCUACAGCAUUCACUUAUAGCUAUGUCUUCUUGUUUGAAUCUUUUGAACUAAGUGAAUGUGAUCGAACCCUAACCUCUCCAUGCUUUCUACCUCAAACUCUAUCUCUCCAAGUCAUAUGCAUUCUAUUGAAACUGUCGAAUGCCUUCACUGAGUCCUUGUCAGCUGAAGACAUAGAGACAACCAUAAAAGUCCGUUUUUAAUGCUCAUUCCUCCACAUAAGAUCCAGAGAAGCAGGAAUGACCGCCCGACAAUUUAGGCGUGCGUGGGACGUGGAACAACCCCCAAAAUACCGCAUGAUGGCCACGUGCUGUUCAGAUGCGAAUUGCCAGGGGCACCUGAGUAAUAGCGCAGUGCCGCCACUAUCCCUAUAAAUACACGAUUCACUGCGGUCAUUAUCUCUUCUUCCACCCUCGCACGAACCCUAGCGCCGCCGCUAGCUCUCGACGAUGUCGGCGACGAAGCGCUUCACUGCCGCAACCUCUCCGACGCUGUUUUCACGCCGACCGCGGACAUCAUCCUCUCCGCCGUCGCCGUAGGUGUUUUCCGUCGCCAAGUCAGGGCACGGAGGACUGAACUGCUUGGCAUCAACUUCCUACCGUCUAGCAGUUCCAGUGUGGUAAAUAAAGCUUCUUUUUACAGCCUCUUUUGAUCUCUUGGUUCUGUCACUUUCUACCAUAAGAAGUUUCUCUUCACACCAGUUAGAUCUCUCGCUGCAUCUCAUAACAUGCCUAGUAUAUUCACUUGUGCUUCAUAAAGUAGUUAGAUUCCUUACUUGUACUGAUCAAUGGGUUCGUACAAAUCUGGAACCAACUUCUUAUCUAUAAGUGAAUGUCUUCGCACAAUGAGGUCAAUGUCUUCUAAACCAAUUUAUCUUCAAAAUCUUCUGAGAAUGCAUAUGACCUCUUCCCCUUCCCUCGCACCUUAAUGCUGUCACAGGUACAUGUCCGUGGGAGAAUCCUUUGGUUCUCAUAGUCUGCAUUCAUUUGCAGAGUACUUGCAGCAUCACAUCAACUCUCCUGAAGCCAGUUCUUGUUGGUCAAGCAAAAGGAAGCCUUUGAAGCCUUUUAACAUCUUGAAGCCUUCCAAGUUAAGAUUCAUGGCUUCAGAAACAGCAGCAAGGAAGGGAGGCAGACAGAGACGUGGUGGAACGUCUAAAGAUCUGCCUGAUGAAUUGGCAGAGAUGUACAAAACUGAUCCUGAAGAAAGCUAUGGUCAGCGCAAGACAUGAAUCCAAUGGAUUCGAAGAUAUUGGGCAGAGCAAUGGUUUCAAUACCGCUUCGUCACUUAGGAAUAUGCAGAGAAGUGCGCCAUCAAGAGACCAUGGGGAGACGUAUUAUACAAAAAUCUCGUACCUAGGUCCAGAGACGAAGCCAUUGCUCAAGGCUUCUAUCCAUGCAUGGUGAGAGGACCACAGCCAGCUGAAGCACAUCCGUCAUCACUUCUCUGGUGUCGCGAUGACAAUCUGUUCAAGCGCAACUUCCAAUUUGCUCAGAACUCUGCAAAGCAAAACAAGAAGAAAUUUGGGCUUGACUUCAACCCUGGUCCCUCCUCACCAAGGGCAAAUGGCACAUGCGACGCCGAUCCCAAUAUCAUCGGGCCGUAUGCCAAUCUUGCAGGCCUCAUCACCCGCAUCCUAGUCCAAGGGACUGCCGUGAAUGACCCUCCAGCAGAUACUGAGUUUGAUGACGCCCCUGCUGCGCCGAAGCCAAAACAGAAGAAGCCAAAAGCUUCAAAGCCAGCCGCUUCUCACAAAAUCUCAAGAGCGAAGCCAUUGGCAACUGCACCUCCUGAAGCCAGUGUGCAGUCUGAAGACUUAUCACGAGUCUCCAAGCCCCAAGAAGCCAAGAAGCCUCAGCCACACACAGGCAAAGAGCUCACAGCUGCUGCCAUUCUGCGGUGCAAAACCAUUGAUCUCUCAAGCGAUGAAGAUCUUGGAGAUGAUGCUCUUGAGCAGCUCAUCAAGAGCAAGGAGGAGGCUGAAAUCUUCAAUAAUCUGCCUCUGUUUGAUGUCGCCAUCAUCCACAACUUCAUCGAUGAAUGGUUGCCUCACCGGACAUCAGCUCCAAUGAUCUGCAGCUGCCCAUAGGCCUCAGCGUUGCCUUUCAAGGCGCAAUUGCUUCAGAACUUGCAAUAGCCCAGCGCAUUGUUGAACUGAAGCAGAAAAUUGAUUUUGAAAAGGCUCAGUUCAAGAAGCACGUGGCCAAGCUCAGCGUGCAAGAAGUGAAAAACUUCAAGAUCAUGUUGCACGAUCUGAAAGAGAACUUUCUGAAGACGCGUGCCGAAGCUCAAGGCUCGCGAGAGCGCAUGAAGACUCUAGCUAAUCGCUGCGUGCAGGCCUACAAUGAGGCCGAGAAGCGCAAGGCACUUGGGCGUCCCGGCAUUGACCCCAGGGUGGCCGCGAAGAAGAAGAAGAAGCCUGCUGUGCCUGAACCAGAGGCGCCAAGGUCAGAAACUGCUCCGAUUGUCUUCCCCACUGCAACAACUGGCUCGAAGCCAAAGAGUCGAUCAACCGCCUCAGAGCUCAAGAAGACACGGACUACAGAGGCUGAAGCUAGGAAGAGGAAACACUCUGAAGCCUCUCCUUCUGACCCCACCAUCAAGAAGCGCAAGACCAAGAAAUAUCGGGCUGCUCCCACAGAGCCCUUGAUAGUUGAACCCCUCUCUGUCCGCUAUCCUGACGCAGAUCAUCAAUUGACAGUGCAUGAGCCUGCUUUCAUAGAGGCUCUGCACGCUGAAGACAUUCCAGCAGCCGACCCAAUAGCUGUUGAAGACAUUGGUCAUCGGGACAAUGUGCAAGGUGAUGCAGCCCUUCCUCAGCUUGAGACAAGCGAACUGAUCAGCAUUGGUCAUCCAUUGACGCCAAUCACACAAGAUGCAUCAUGGGCAGAUCGCCCACAGGAGGAAGAUAAUGAGCCCCAACCCACUGCAACUCCACCGGCGCCUACAUUCCAUAGGCUUCACAAAGGGCCAAAGGCUCAGGCUGCUGAGGACAUUCCGGCUGCAUCAGCCGAAGAGCAUGCAGAAAUACCACAAGCUCCAACUCCCCCGCACCAACAAGAAGCAGUUCUCCAGGAGAAUGUGCCUGAAGAUGUCCCUCCCAAUACACGUGUGGAGGCUGCAAAUGUUGAGGCUGCCACAAACAACGCCGAAGCAAAUGUGGAGCCCUCCCCAACAACAGCUUCAGAAGACAAUGAAGCUACUGCUCCUGAACCUUCUGUGCCUAAGUCUGCUGCGGGUCCCCAAUUCAACUAUCAUGUUGCGCACAGGCCCCAGGUCCAGAAGCCGAUCCCACGACUGCCAAGGUUCCCAGGUCCUGCAUCAGCUCCUGGCUCCUUCAACAUCAAUGGCUUCAGGACAGACAACACGUUUUUCAACAGCUCCAAGAACCCUUAUUCAAGGGAACGGAUUGUAUCCGAUAGGUUCUGGAGCUAUCAACAGUGCAGCUAUUAUUCAUGCAUCCUAUACAACCAAGGCCGCAUCUUUCCUCACAAGCGCCUUGAGGUUGAAGCUGUUGCUGGUCUGCUUGGUCUGGAAGAAGCACUGGAUUGCUUCAAGCAAGUGGGUCUGCUGCCGUUUAUCACCGAUGAAGAGCACUGGAACGAAGAGCUUCUGCUCCAGUUCUAUGCCACCCUGCAUAUCAAAGGCUAUAACAGAGAUCCGAAGACAUGGAUCCUGGAGUGGAUGACCGGCAAUGUCCAUCAUGAAGCCAAUGCUUUCGACAUAAUUGAGCUUACCGGCCUUCCCACUCCUGGCGAAUUCUUUGAAGAAGGCUGCCAACUCCAUGCUGAAGCAAUUGAGAGCAUAUUUCAGCGUCCUGAGCCAGAUAUGAGUCAGAUGCUCUCAAUGAUGAAGCCAUUGCCUCCUAAUGCACCCUAUCCAACUCGGUUCUUCGUUGAAGACUUAGAGUACCUGCCCAGAACAAUAUAUCACAUCAUAAGGCGGACUCUCUGGCCCGUUAAGGGACACUCUCGAUAUGCAACGAUUGAAGGUGCAAUGAAGACUCUCAUCUUCUGCAUUCUUCAUGGCAAAUGCUUCAACGCACAGGAUCUCUUCAUCCGUCAACUCGCAGCGUCUGCCUCAGAAUUGUAGCUCUAUGCUCCUUGGGUUAUGAGGCUGAUCAAGCUUCACUCUGCAAUCUCCUAUCAACCCUCAGCCCGCAACCAUAGGAUAUUUUUGCCAGAUGUGGACACAUCUGCUGAAGCAAUAUAUCCAGAGCCUGCCAAGCAACCAUUAAGUCUUCAGAAUGCAGAACACCAGAGCUUCACUCAAAAUAUUGAAGGUGUUGAAGCUCUCUCCCGAGUGUAUCCAAUGGCUGGCACCACACGUGCCCCUGCAUCAACUGAAGCCACUAACAGCACAGCUGCAAAGAGACCCAAGAAGCGCGCUCGUGCACUCAAUGACCGAGAGCUUCUUGUGGCUCUUCACCAAAAGCAUGAUAGGCAUCACGACUGGCUCAAGAGGCAGAUGAGAAGCAUCAUGCAAGACGUCAAUCGCAUCAGAAAUCUGGCAACCAAGAAUGCAUUUGUCGCACACGAGACCUGUCGCCGCACUUGGAAAGGCCUCACCAUGAUGUGCACUGAAGCUGACCUGCAUGAGGAUGGCUUCAAAGAGAGAUUCAAAUUUGACUCCACGCCUCCAAGAAAAGCUGUGAUGCGAAGCACACCAUCACUUGAAGAGUCAGAGUUCUCUUCUUCUGCUGCCACCGUGUCUGCCCGGAUUAUUGAAGAAGAAGACGACGCGACAUCAUCUCCACCUGCUUCAACACGCGUUGAAUCUGCACCAAGCUCGUCUGCACCGCCACCAAACAACUCCACCGACCCUGCUGCGCCUGGGAACACGUAGAAACCUCUAUGUCUUCAAACCUUUUUGGUCAUCACUGACAAAAGGGGGAGAAGCAUAUGAUGUUUAUAGUCUUCAAGCGGGUCACUAUGGGCGGGUGCCUUCAUAUUUUGCUACAUUUUGCUUCGUGCUUACAACUCCCGUUUUUGCUACAUUUGCUUCAUUGAGUUGUAACACUUAGCCUUGAUGGUCGUCUGCUACCUGUUUGUCACUCCGUUUUGCGAAGAUAAAUUCCGCAUGUGCGACGAUAAAUUCCGCACUCAUCUCAUUCUGCAGACGUCCAUUUUCCAUUAUGCAUGUCAUUAUCUUCAUAUACUUUCACAUGCAUAGUGGAUUGUCAUCAUAAGUUGAAGUGGAUCUCCACAAGUACAACCUGCCAUGUGCGUUUGCAUUCAAGAAGCAAAUUACUUAUAUGCACAUCUUCAGGGGGAGCCCUUGCAACUUAUGAAGACAAUUCCUUUACAAUUUCAAAAAUUAUGUUCCCCGUUGAAAACUUCAACUAGUUUGUCAUCAAUCACCAAAAAGGGGGAGAUUGUAAGUGCAUCUAGUGCCACCCCUAGUUGGUUUUGGAGUAUUGACGACAAACCUAGUUGAGGGACUAAUGUGUUUGUGAGAAUUGCAGGAAAACACAGGUAGAAGUCCCUUAUUGAUUCGGUUUUACUACCAGAGAUGACCCCUAAAAAUGUACGAAGACAUUGAAGACAAUGGUGGUUUAUGAAGAUAUUCAUAUUGAAGACAAUGACAUGAGAAGACUCCCUAUGAAGCUUAUGGAACUCGAAGACUUAGAUCCUUCAUAGUUUGAUUUCAUUUAUGUUGUGUCGUAGGAACCACCGUACUGUUAAGUGGGGUCCAAGAGAACCGGUCAGAAUGACUGAAGUGAUGCCUAAUUCAAAUCCUAUGUCUUCGAGCGAAGACUAUGAGAGCAAAUCUUGUCCAGAGUCAGACAAGUCAGCUUUACUUGUAGCCCAAGAAAAGUUGCCGUGUGAGUUCAAAAUUCGACCGUUGGUACACGUGUCAGUUCCUUAGUGACCCAGGGUCAUUUCGGACAAAUCAGGUCGGGUUGCCAAGUGGCUAUAAAUAGCCCACCCCCACAACCAUAAAUGGUUGGCUGCUCAGAUUUCAGUGCACGGCUUUUGUCGUUUGAGAGCAACCCACCUCGAAGCCUUUGAAAGAAAAAUUCCUAGUGAGGAGAAAAGCCCUAACCACCCAGAGCCAGAGUAAAUUGGGCAUCACUUAAGUCUUCUUGUCUGUGUGAUCUGAAGACUUAUUACACUUGAGGACUGUGCAUCCUCCAGACGGUUAGGCGUCGCGUUCUGAGAAUCCAAGAGACAUUGUGGAUUGCCAAUGAACAAAGUCUGUGAAGGUUUGGGAGUCUACCUUGAAGACUUACCAAAGUGAUUGGGCGAGGUCUGUGUGACCUUAGCUCAAGGAGAAAACGGUGAGGACUGGGUGUCUUGGACUAAGUGUCCUUGACUGGGUGUCCGGGACUGUGUGUCCUUUGGUUUAAAUACCUAGCCGCUCCAACCAGACGUACAGUUGUCACAGCAACUGGAACUGGUCCAACAUAUCAUUGUCUUCAACGAGUCACUGGUUUCAUCUUCACUUCCUUUGACUUACUGUUAUUCAUUGUGAAGCCAUUGCAUGCUUGCUUUAUCUUUUGUCUUCACAACGUGAAUGUAUGAUCUGUUUGGCUUCAUAACUUCUUCCUACCUGAUCCUUAUUACACUGAAGCUGUUUGUCAUUGUGCUUUCACUCUAUUGAAUACCUGACCAUGCCUGGCCUAGUGUAAUCUAACUUCCGCUGCAUAGUAAUAGGCAUAAUAUUCACUGUUUGUCUUCAUAACUCCCACGUUUUGAAGACUUUCAUAAAAAUCGCCUAUUCAAACCCCCUCUAGUCGAUAUAACGCACUUUCAGAGAGAGCAACAGAUUUAUUGGAAAUCAUACAUACAGAUGUAUGUGGUCCAAUGAACGUUGAAGCUCGUGGCGGAUAUCGUUAUUUUCUCACCUUCACAGAUGAUUUAAGCAGAUAUGGGUAUAUCUACUUAAUGAAACAUAAGUCUGAAAAAUUUGAAAAGUUCAAAGAAUUUCAGAGUGAAGUUGAAAAUCAUUGUAACAAGAAAAUAAAGUUUCUACGAUCUGAUCGUGGAGGAGAAUAUUUGAGUUACGAGUUUGGUGUACAUUUGAAACAACGCGGAAUAGUUUCGCAACUCACACCACCCGGAACACCACAGCGUAAUGGUGUGUCCAAAUGUCGUAAUCAUACUUUACUAGAUAUGGUGCGAUCUAUGAUGUCUCUUACUGAUUUACCGCUAUCGUUUUGGGGUUAUGCUUUAGAGACGGCCGCAUUCACGUUAAAUAGGGCACCAUCGAAAUCCGUUGAGAUGGCACCUUAUGAACUAUGGUUUCGCAAGAAACCAAAGUUGUCGUUUCUUUAAGUUUGGGGUUGCGAUGCUUAUGUGAAAAACCUUCAACCUGAUAAGCUCGAACCCAAAUCGGAGAAAUGUGUCUUCAUAGGAUACCCAAAGGAGACUGUUGGGUACACCUUCUAUCACAGAUCCGAAGGCAAGAUAUUCAUUGCUAAAAAUGGAUCCUUUCUAGAGAAGGAGUUUCUCUCGAAAGAAGUGAGUGGGAGGAAAGUAGAACUUGACGAGGUAACUGUACCUACUCCCUUAUUGGAAAGUAGUGCAUCACAGAAAACUGUUUCAGUGACACCUACACCAGUUAGUGAGGAAGCUAAUGAUGAUGAUCAUGAAACUUCAGAACAAGAUACUACUGAACCUCGUAGAUCAACCAGAGUGAGAUCCGCACCAGAGUGGUACGGUAAUCCUAUUCUGGAAGUCAUGCUACUAGAUCAUGAUGAACCUGCGAACUAUGAAAAAGCGAUGGUGAGCCCAGAUUCCGCAAAAUGGCUUGAAGCCAUGAAAUCUGAGAUGGGAUCCAUGUAUGAGAACAAAGUAUGGACUUUUGUUGACUUGCCCGAUGAUCGGCAAGCAAUUGAGAAUAAAUGGAUCUUCAAGAAGAAGACUGACGCUGACGGUAAUGUUACUGUCUACAAAGCUCGACUUGUGGCAAAAGGUUUUCGACAAGUUCAAGGGAUUGACUACGAUGAGACCUUCUCACCCGUAGCGAUGCUUAAGUCUGUCCGAAUCAUGUUAGCAAUUGCCGCAUUUUAUGAUUAUGAAAUUUGGCAGAUGGAUAUCAAAACUGCAUUCCUGAAUGGAUUUCUGGAAGAAGAGUUGUAUAUGAUGCAACCAGAAGGUUUUGUCAAUCCAAAGGGAGCUAACAAAGUGUGCAAGCUCCAACGAUCCAUUUAUGGACUGGUGCAAGCCUCUCGGAGUUGGAAUAAACACUUUGAUAGUGUGAUCAAAGCAUUUGGUUUUAUACAGACUUUUGGAGAAGCCUGUAUUUACAAGAAAGUGAGUGGGAGCUCUGUAGCAUUUCUGAUAUUAUAUGUUGAUGACAUAUUACUAAUCGGAAAUGAUAUAGAAUUUCUGGAUAGCAUAAAAGGAUACUUGAAUAAGAGUUUUUCAAUGAAAGACCUCGGUGAAGCUGCUUACAUAUUGGGCAUUAAGAUCUAUAGAGAUAGAUCAAGACGCUUAAUUGGACUUUCACAAAGCACAUACCUUGACAAAAUUUUGAAGAAGUUCAAAAUGGAUCAAGCAAAGAAAGGAUUCUUGCCUGUGUUACAAGGUGUGAAGUUGAGUAAGACUCAAUGCCCGACCACUGCAGAAGAUAGAGAGAAAAUGAAAGAUGUUCCCUAUGCUUCAGCCAUAGGCUCUAUCAUGUAUGCAAUGCUGUGUACCAGACCUGAUGUGUGCCUUGCUAUAAGUUUAGCAGGGAGGUACCAAAGUAAUCCAGGAGUGGAUCACUGGACAGCGGUCAAGAACAUCCUGAAGUACCUGAAAAGGACUAAGGAUAUGAUUCUCAUAUAUGGAGGUGACAAAGAGCUCAUCGUAAACGGUUACAUUGAUGCAAGCUUUGACACUGAUCCGGACGAUUCUAAAUCGCAAACUGGAUACGUGUUUACAUUAAACGGUGGAGAUGUCAGUUGGUGCAGUUCUAAACAAAGUGUCGUGGCAGGAUCUACAUGUGAAGCGGAGUACAUAGCUGCUUCGGAAGCAGCAAACGAAGGAGUCUGGAUGAAGGAGUUCAUAUCCGAUCUAGGUGUCAUACCUAGUACAUCGGGUCCAAUGAAAAUCUUUUGUGACAAUACUGGUGCAAUUGCCUUGGCAAAGGAAUCCAGAUUUCACAAAAGAACCAAACACAUCAAGAGACGCUUCAAUUCCAUCCGGGAUCUAGUCCAGGUGGGAGACAUAGAGAUUUGUAAGAUACAUACGGAUCUGAAUGUUGCAGACCCGUUGACUAAGCCUCUUCCACGAGCAAAACAUGAUCAGCACCAAAGCUCCAUGGGUGUUAGAAUCAUUACUGUGUAAUCUAGAUUAUUGACUCUAGUGCAAGUGGGAGACUGAAGGAAAUAUGCCCUAGAGGCAAUAAUAAAGUUAUUAUUUAUUUCCUUAUAUCAUGAUAAAUGUUUAUUAUUCAUGCUAGAAUUGUAUUAACCGGAAACAUAAUACAUGUGUGAAUACAUAGACAAACAGAGGGUCACUAGUAUGCCUCUACUUGACUAGCUCAUUAAUCAAAGAUGGUUAUGUUUCCUAACCAUAGACAAAGAAGUUAUCAUUUGAUUAACGAGAUCACAUCAUUAGUUGAAUGAUCUGAUUGACAUGACCCAUUCCAUUAGCUUAGCACCCGAUCGUUUAGUAUGUUGCUAUUGCUUUCUUCAUGACUUAUACAUGUUCCUAUGACUAUGAGAUUAUGCAACUCCCGUUUGCCGGAGGAACACUUUGUGUGCUACCAAACGUCACAACGUAACUGGGUGAUUAUAAAAGAGCUCUACAGGUGUCUCCAAAGGUACAUGUUGGGUUGGCGUAUUUCGAGAUUAGGAUUUGUCACUCUGAUUGUCGGAGAGGUAUGUCUAGGCCCUCUCGGUAAUGCACAUCACAUAAGCCUUGCAAGCAUUACAACUAAUAUGUUAGUUGUGAGAUGAUGUAUUACGGAACGAGUAAAGAGACUUGCCGGUAACGAGAUUGAACUAGGUAUUGGAUACCGAGGAUCGAAUCUCGGGCAAGUAACAUACCGAUGACAAAGGGAACAACGUAUGUUGUUAUGCGGUCUGACCGAUAAAGAUCUUCGUAGAAUAUGUAGGAGCCAAUAUGGGCAUCUAGGUCCCGCUAUUGGUUAUUGACCGAAGACGUGUCUCGGUCAUGUCUACAUUGUUCUCGAACCGUAGGGUCCGCACGCUUAAAGUUACGAUGACAGUUAUUAUGAGUUUAUGUAUUCUUGAUGUACCAAAGUUUGUUUGGAGUCCCGGAUGUGAUCACGGACAUGACGAGGAGUCUCGAAAUGGUCGAGACAUAAAGAUUGAUAUAUUGGACAGCUAUAUUCGGACACCGGAAUUGUUCCGGGUGAUUUCGGAGAAAACCGGAGUGCCGGAGGGGUUACCGGAACCCCCCCGGGGAAGUAUUGGGCCUUAGUGGGCCUGAGGGGAGAGAGAGGGCUGAAGCCUAGGAGGUGGCGCCCCCCCCAUGGGGAGUCCGAAUUGGACUAGGAGGGGGGCGCAGCCCCCCUUUCCCUUUCCCUUUCCCUUUCCCUUUCCCUUUCCCUUUCCCUUUCCCUUUCCCUUUCCCUUUCCCUUUCCCUUUCCCUUUCCCUCUCCCUCUCCCUCUCCCUCUCCCUCUCUUUCCUUCCCCCUCUCUUUUCCUAGUUGGACUAGGAAAGGGGAGUCCUACUCCCACUAGGAGAAGGACUCCCCCCUCCCUUGGCGCACCCCAUAGGGCUGGCCGGCCUCCCCCGUGCUCCUUUAUAUACGGGGGCAGGGGAGCACACCUAGACACACAAGUUGAUCUUCGUGAUCAUUCCUUAGCCGUGUGCGGUGCCCCUCUCCACCAUAUUCCACCUCGGUCAUAUCGUUGCAGUGCUUAGGCGAAGCCCUGCGCCGGUUGAACAUCAUCACCGUCACCACGCCGUCGUGCUGACGGAACUCUUCCCCGACGCUUUGCUGGAUCGGAGCCCGGGGAACGUCAUCGAGCUGUGCGUGUGCUAAGAACUCGAAGGUGCCGGAGUAACGGUGCUUGGAUCGGUCGGAUCGGGAAGACGUACGACUACUUCCUCUACGUUGUGUCAACGCUUCCGUUGUCGAUCUACAAGGGUACGUAGAUCAUACUCUCCCCUCUCGUUGCUAUGCAUCACCAUGAUAUUGCGUGUGCGUAGGAUUUUUUUUGAAAUUACUACGUUUCCCAACAGGAACACCACAGCGUAAUGGUGUGUCCGAACGUUGUAAUCGUACUUUACUAGAUAUGGUGCGAUCUAUGAUGUCUCUUACUGAUUUACCGCUAUCGUUUUGGGGUUAUGCUUUAGAGAUGGCCGCAUUCACGUUAAAUAAGGCACCAUUGAAAUCCGUUGAGACGACACCUUAUGAACUAUGGUUUGGCAAGAAACCAAAGUUGUCGUUUCUUUAAGUUUGGGGCUGCGAUGCUUAUGUGAAAAACCUUCAACCUGAUAAGCUCAAACCCAAAUCGGAGAAAUGUGUCUUCAUAGGAUACCCAAAGGAGACUGUUGGGUACACCUUCUAUCACAGAUCCGAAGGCAAGAUAUUCGUUGCUAAAAAUGGAUCCUUUCUAGAGAAGGAGUUUCUCUCGAAAGAAGUGAGUGGGAGGAAAGUAGAACUUGACGAGGUAACUGUACCUACUCCCUUAUUGGAAAGUAGUGCAUCACAGAAAACUGUUUCAGUGACACCUACACUAGUUAGUGAGGAAGCUAAUGAUGAUGAUCAUGAAACUUCAGAACAAGAUACUACUGAACCUCGUAGAUCAACCAGAGUGAGAUCCGCACCAGAGUGGUACGGUAAUCCUGUUCUGGAAGUCAUGCUACUAGAUCAUGAUGAACCUGCGAACUAUGAAAAAGCAAUGGUGAGCCCAGAUUCCACAAAAUGGCUUGAAGCCAUGAAAUCUGAGAUGGGAUCCAUGUAUGAGAACAAAGUAUGGACUUUGGUUGACUUGCCCGAUGAUCGGCAAGCAAUUGAGAAUAAAUGGAUCUUCAAGAAGAAGACUGACGCUGACGGUAAUGUUACUGUCUACAAAGCUCGACUUGUCGCAAAAGGUUUUCGACAAGUUCAAGGGAUUGACUACGAUGAGACCUUCUCACCAGUAGCGAUGCUUAAGUCUGUCUGAAUCAUGUUAGCAAUUGCCGCAUUUUAUGAUUAUGAAAUUUGGCAGAUGGAUGUCAAAACUGCAUUCCUGAAUGGAUUUCUGGAAGAAGAAGAGUUGUAUAUGAUGCAACCGGAAGGUUUUGUCGAUCUAAAGGGAGCUAGCAAAGUGUGCAAGCUCCAGCGAUCCAUUUAUGGACUGGUGCAAGCCUCUCGGAGUUGGAAUAAACGUUUUGAUAGUGUGAUCAAAGCAUUUGGUUUUAUACAGACUUUCAGAGAAGCCUGUAUUUACAAGAAAGUGAGUGGGAGCUCUAUAGCAUUUCUGAUAUUAUAUGUGGAUGACAUAUUACUGAUUGGAAAUGAUAUAGAAUUUCUGGAUAGCAUAAAGGGAUACUUGAAUAAAAGUUUUUCAAUGAAAGACCUCGGUGAAGCUGCUUACAUAUUAGGCAUAAAAAUCUAUAGAGAUAGAUCAAGACGCUUAAUUGGACUUUCACAAAGCAUAUACCUUGACAAGAUUUUGAAGAAGUUCAAAAUGGAUCAAGCAAAGAAAGGGUUCUUGCCUGUGUUACAAGGUGUGAAGUUGAGUCAGACUCAAUGCUCGACCACUGCAGAAGAUAGAAAGAAAAUGAAAGAUGUUCCCUAUGCUUCAGCCAUAGGCUCUAUCAUGUAUGCAAUGCUGUGUACCAGACCUGAUGUGUUCCUUGCUAUAAGUCUAGCAUGGAGGUACCAAAGUAAUCCAGGAGUGGAUCACUGGACAAUGGUCAAGAACAUCCUGAAGUACCUGAAAAGGACUAAGGAUAUGUUUCUCGUAUAUGGAGCUGACAAAGAGCUCAUCGUAAACGGUUACGUUGAUGCAAGCUUUGACAUUGAUCCGGACGAUUCUAAAUCGCAAACCGGAUACGUGUUUACAUUAAACGGUGGAGCUGUCAGUUGGUGCAGUUCUAAACAAAGCGUCGUGGCGGGAUCUACAUCUGAAGCGGAAUACAUAGCUGCUUCGGAAGCAGCAAACGAAGGAGUCUGGAUGAAGGAGUUCAUAUCCGAUCUAGGUGUCAUACCUAGUGCAUCGGGUCCAAUGAAAAUCUUUUGUGACAAUACUGGUGCAAUUGCCUUGGCGAAGGAAUCCAGAUUUCACAAAAGAACCAAGCACAUCAAAAGAUGCUUCAAUUCCAUCCAGGAUCUAGUCCAGGUGGGAGACAUAGAGAUUUGCAAGAUACAUACGGAGCUGAAUGUAGCAGACCCGUUGACUAAGCCUCUUCCACGAGCAAAACAUGAUCAACACCAAAGCUCCAUGGGUGUUAGAAUCAUUACUGUAUAAUCUAGAUUAUUGACUCUAGUGCAAGUGGGAGACUGAAGGAAAUAUGCCCUAGAGGCAAUAAUAAAGUUAUUAUUUAUUUCCUUAUAUCAUGAUAAAAGUUUAUUAUUCAUACUAGAAUUGUAUUAACCGGAAACAUAAUACAUGUGUGAAUACAUAGACAAACAGAGUGUCACUAGUAUGCCUCUACUUGACUAGCUCGUUAAUCAAAGAUGGUUAUGUUUCCUAACCAUAGACAAAGAGUUGUCAUUUGAUUAACGGGAUCACAUCAUUAGUUGAAUGAUCUGAUUGACAUGACCCAUUCCAUUAGCUUAGCACCCGAUCGUUUAGUAUGUUGCUAUUGCUUUCUUCAUGACUUAUACAUGUUCCUAUGACUAUGAGAUUAUGUAACUCCCGUGUACCGGAGGAACACUUUGUGUGCUACCAAACGUCACAAGUAACUGGGUGAUUAUAAAGGUGCUCUACAGGUGUCUCCAAAGGUACAUGUUGGGUUGACGUAUUUCGAGAUUAGGAUUUGUCACUCCGAUCGUCGGAGAAGUAUCUCUGGGCCCUCUCGAUAAUGCACAUCACUUAAAGCCUUGCAAGCAUUGCAACUAAUGAGUUAGUUGCGGGAUGAUGUAUUACGGAACGAGUAAAGAGACUUGCCGGUAACGAGAUUGAACUAGGUAUUGGAUACCGACGAUCGAAUCUCGGGCAAGUAACAUACCGAUGACAAAGGGAACAACGUAUGUUGUUAUGCGGUCUGACCGAUAAAAGAUCUCCGUAGAAUAUGUAGGAACCAAUAUGGGCAUCCAGGUCCCGCUAUUGGUUAUUGACCGGAGACGUGUCUCGGUCAUGUCUACAUUGUUCUCGAACCCAUAGGGUCCGCACGCUUAAGGUUUCGAUGACAGUUAUAUUAUGAGUUUAUACGUUUUGAUGUACCGAAGGUUGUUCGGAGUCCCGGAUGUGAUCACGGACAUGACGAGGAGUCUCGAAAUGGUCAAGACAUAAAGAUUGAUAUAUUGGAAGCCUAUUUUUGGAUAUCGGAAGUGUUCCGGCUGAAAUCGUGAUUUUACCGGAGUACCGGGAGGUUACCGGAACGCCCCGGGAGGUACAUGGGCCUUAAUGGGCCUUAGUGGAAGAAGAGGAGAGGCGGUCAGGGCUGGGUCGCAUGCCCCUCCCCCCUAGUCCGAAUAGGACAAGGACAGAGGGGGUCGGCGCCCCUUCCUUCUCUCUCUCUCUCUUUUCCCACCUCGCGAAUCCUAUUCCAACUAGGAUUGGGGGAGAAGUCCUACUCCCGGAGGGAGUAGGAAUCCUCCUGGCGCGCCCUAUGGUGGCCGGCCGGCCUCCCCCUUUUGAACCUUUAUAUACGGAGGCAGGGGCACCCCAAGAGAUAGAAGUUGAUCCACGUGAUCAUAUUCUUAGCCGUGUGCGGUGCCCCCUUCCAUCAUAGUCCUCGAUAAUAUUGUAGUGGUGCUUAGGCGAAGCCCUGCGACAGUAGUACAUCAAGAUCGUCACCACGCCGUCGUGCUGAUGGAACUCUUCCCCGACACUUUGCUGGAUCGGAGUCCGGGGAUCGUCAUCGAGCUGAAGUGUGCUAGAACUCGGAGGUGCCGUAGUUUCGGUGCUUGAUCGGUCGGGCCGUGAAGACGUACGACUACAUCAACCAAACGCUUCCGUUGUCGAUCUACAAGGGUACGUAGAUCACACUCUCCCCUCUUGUUGCUAUGCAUCACCAUGAUCUUGCGUGUGCGUAGGAUUUUUUUUGAAAUUACUACGUUCCCCAACAGGCAUGUACGCACCCCGGGAUUGGGAGAGUGUGGAGCCACCAGGGGCUAUUUAGUAGCCCCACUGUCAAACUCCUAUGGCUAAGUGAAAGUGCUAAAGCAUUAUAGUCCGGUUGCCUCGCUCGCUCCGCUAUCACCUCCUUAAUAGGACCAAGACAUUGGGUUAAGUGUGAACGCAUGUUUUUUGCGAGCACCUCCGCAUUAUAUGCGUGGGGGUUGAAGCUGACGGCUGCAAUCUUUCAGGUUAUACACAUGUAUACAUAAACGACCGCCCAAGAGGCAUCAUAUUACUUUCAGGCAAAAUUAUAAAAAUAGCCUUACAAAAAUUUAUAAAAGCAUUUCGCUUACCAUGAGAUUACAUAAACAUAAUAUCUUUUGAGCACUGAGUCUCUAUCAAACGAGCACCCUCAAGAACUUCUUCAAAGUAGUGCUCAGCAGCCAUUCGACCUAUGGCCGAAUCCCACGCUGCAACAGUGGUAGCAUCCAUCUCCGCCCAGUAUGCUUUAACACGGGCAAAGGCCAUCCGUGCACCCUCUAUGCACGCCGACCUCUUCAUCGCAUUAAUGCGCGGCACCACGUCAAGGAACUGCUGCACCAAGUUGAAAUAGAUGUUCGGUUUUGACCUUUCCGGCCGUAGCUGAUCCACAACAGACCUCAUGGCGCGUCCGGACAACCUAUUCAGUUCGGCCCAUUCGGCUAAUUGGUCAGUCAAUGAAAGCGGACGCUCAAGAGAAUGGAAUUGUCUCCAAAACAGCUGGUCUAAUUCACGGUCCGUCUGACCCUGGAAGUACUUGGCCGCAUCGGCAGCGCUCGCCGCCAAAUCCAUAUACACAUCCUCCAAACUCCAUAGCCGAUCUAGAGGGGCAUAUCGUGGAACUCAAAAUUUCAGCUUGAUCCGACCGUCCAAACUCCGGUAACCUUCCGAUUAGUGCAUCACUUUUCGGAUCUGUUUUCUGCGCGAAAACGAAUCCGACCCGAGUUCAUCUUUUUUAUGAACGGGGUUUUGGACAUCCCUUUUGAAGGAAGUUUUGUAUGGGGUAUUGUGUUUUGUUGCCGAACACAUCCCACUAACUUUAAGAUCUUUUGAACAUGAUCUUCAACAUCAUGCUGGUGUCAAACCAGUCCGGCAAUAUUACUCCACGGCUGCCGACCUGUGCUAGACACGGCGUCACUUUGUUGAGCCGAGCUCAACUUCUUUGGAUCAUCAUCUCGGCAAGCCGAACAAGAGUCCGGCAUCGCGAAGGGUAAAUCAUCACCAACAGCGUCGCCCCACGGAUUACACGGAGCGGGCAUCCCGGCAUCGCCGCACGGUCGCUUCAUCAAGCCGGCAUCGACCACGUCACGACUUGCAUCGACAGGGCCGCACUAUUGCUUCUUUAAGCUGGUGUCCAUCACGCCGACCUACUUCGACUCAUCGGCUGACAUCGAGGCUUCGACAUCUCGGCUGGACCGGGGGCUUCGCCAUCUCUUCAUCAACCUACUCCAGACACUUCGACGUCACUAGCCAACCAGCUCCAUCACGUUAGAUGGGCCGAGGGCUUUGCCUCGGCGAGCCAACCUUUACCAGCAUUGCCAUGCCGUCGUUUUAUCGCCCAUCAGACAAUGGGUGUGCGGAGCGAGUCCCAAUUUUGGGAAUCACCUUCCUUCGGAUUGCUACAACAAAUAAACCAGGUGCUAUUAAUCUUAGUAUUUUUUGCUUGUUUGGGUUCAUUUUUCCCAAGGAAUUAUUAAAGGAAAUAUGCCCUAGAGGCAAUAAUAAAGUUAUUAUUUAUUUCCUUAUAAUCAUGAUAAAUGUUUAUUAUUCAUGCUAGAAUUGUAUUAACCGGAAACAUAAUACAUGUGUGAAUACAUAGACAAACAAAGUGUCACUAGUAUGCCUCUACUUGACUAGCUCGUUAAUCAAAGAUGGUCAUGUUUCCUGACCAUGAACAAAGAGUUGUUAUUUGAUUAACGAGGUCACAUCAUUAGUUGAAUGAUCUGAUUGACAUGACCCAUUCCAUUAGCUUAGCACCCGAUCGUUUAGUAUGUUGCUAUUGCUUUCUUCAUGACUUAUACAUGUUCCUAUGACUAUGAGAUUAUGCAACUCCCGUUUACCGGAGGAACACUUUGGGUGCUACCAAACGUCACAACGUUACUGGGUGAUUAUAAAGGAGCAUUACAGGUGUCUCCAAAGGUAGAUGUUGGGUUGGCGUAUUUCAAGAUUAGGAUUUGUCACUCCGAUUGUCGGAGAGGUAUCUCUGGGCCCUCUCGGUAAUGCACAUCACAUAAGCCUUGCAAGCAUUACAACUAAUGAGUUAGUUGCGAGAUGAUGUAUUACGGAACGAGUAAAGAGACUUGCCGGUAACGAGAUUGAACUAGGUAUUGGAUGACGAUGAUCGAAUCUCGGGCAAGUAACAUACCGAUGACAAAGGGAACAACGUAUGUUGUUAUGCGGUCUGACCGAUAAAGAUCUUCGUAGAAUAUGUAGGAGCCAAUAUGGGCAUCCAGGUCCCGCUAUUGGUUAUUGACCGGAGACAUGUCUCGGUCAUGUCUACAUUGUUCUCGAACCCGUAGGGUCCGCACGCUUAAGGUUACGAUGAUAGUUAUAUUAUGAGUUUAUGCAUUUUGAUGUACCGAAGGUUGUUCGGAGUCCCGGAUGUGAUCACGGACAUGACGAGGAGUCUCGAAAUGGUCGAGACGUAAAGAUUGAUAUAUUGGAAGCCUAUGUUUGGACAUCGAAAGUGUUCCGGGUGAAAUCGGGAUUUUACCGGGUUACCGGGAGGUUACCGGAACCCCCCGGGAGCCAUAUGGGCCUUCAUGGGCCUUAGUGGAAAGGAGAAAGGGGCAGCCCAAGGGGGCUGCGCACCUCCCCCCUCCCCUAGUCCUAUUAGGACUAGGAGAGGUGGCCGGCCACCCCUCUCCCUCUUUCCCCCUUGGGAAUCCUAGUUGGAAUAGGAUUGGGGGGGGGGAGUCCUACUCCCGGAAGGAGUAGGACUCCUCCUGCGCCCUCUCCCUGGCCGGCGCCCCCUCUCCCCCUUGGCUCCUUUAUAUACUGAGGCAGGGGGCACCCCAUAGACACACAAGUUGAUCCUCGUGAUCGUUCCUUAACCGUGUGCGGUGCCCCCUGCCACCAUAUACCUCGAUAAUACUGUAGCGGAGUUUAGGCGAAGCCCUGCUGCUGUAGUUCAUCAAGAUCGUCACCACGCCGUCGUGCUGAUGAAACUCUACCCCGACACUUUGCUGGAUCGGAGUCCGGGAAUCGUCAUCGAGCUGAACGUGUGCUCGAACUCGGAGGUGCCGUAGUUUCGGUGCUUGAUCGGUUGGAUCGUGAAGACGUACGACUACUUCCUCUACGUCGUGACAUCGCUUCCGCAGUCGGUCUGCGUUGGGUACGUAGACAACACUCUACCCCCUCGUUGCUAUGCAUCACAUGAUCUUGCGUGUGCGUAGGAAAUUUUUUGAAAUUACUACGAAACCCAACAAUUAUUACUCUGGUUUGCCCAUCAUAUGUACACAGGUCUAUCAAAUGAUGGCCUCAUUAACGACGGGCGCGUGGUGGUUCGGUCAGUCUUCGUACAUAGUCCGGCGAACGUCGCAUCCGGAACUCGGACCGACUUGUGAAUUCAGGCUUUGCCACGCCUUUACCGCAUCACGCCGACGCCCUGCAUCGACAUUGGUGCUUUGACUUCGGCGCCAGGCCAUAUUUCUUUUAUUACUCACUUUGCAUAAAUUAUUUAUUAUGCAACGAUUUUUUUUAAUUAUCAUCAUCACUAUUAUCUCCCGUUUGCACUAUUUUUGUGCACAGGAAAAUGAUCCGGGGACUUCGGCGUCACUCUGCCGGUCUACAUCGACCGUGCUAUGUCACCACUUCGGCGUGUCGAGCUCUCCGCUCCGCCACCUCGGGACUGGCUUGGGGGAUGGAACCUUGUCCCGCAUCAAGCUCGGACCGCGUCAUCAAUACCGAACACAUUAACCAGCUAAGUCGCUUUCAUGCUCAAAGCUUUAAUUUCUAACUUGCGUUCGGUUCGACCAAGCGUUAUACUUUUUUGGAAAAAAGUUGCUUGUAAAAAAUUUCCUUGUCCAAACUUUGUUUGUGACCCAUAAAUUCAAAUACCCAAUUCAUUUGGGGGCUUCCUUUAUGAAGCUUUUCCUGUUGCAUAUGAUUAUACUUGUACGGCUUUGUUCCUUGUUCGUGUAUUACGCCACAAUAUGCAUCAUAUUGACUUAAGCGAUUUGCAAGCUGGGUUGCCUUGCUCCUGUGUUUACCCCUACGUUCCCGAUUGUUUGGCUAGGGAGUAAAGGGAGCACCUCUGCGAUUGUCACGAUCGGGUCGCCCGAGCCGGACCUCAGACUGGGUGAAGCCGAAAGCUAGCGCUCUUAUAGUUUUCAAUGAUGGUCGGCACACAACAGAACUCAUGAGUAUAAAAAAUCUAUUGCACAAGUCUCAUAAUAACAAUGAGCACCAAAGAAAGGUAUCGGUGGGGGUACUAUUUUCUUCGAAGAUGCUUCUUACACUUCACAGUAAUAUAGCAUAAGUUCCCUGAGCGUGCUUUGCCUGUUACAGCCUUAUGGCCUGAUUGCCUGGUUAUUGGAAACACCGUCGAUAUUCUCGACCGAUGGAGUACAUAACACUUUUCGGUCCUUGACCGAAGAGGGAGAAGCCGACGAUCGGUUAAGACGCGUUUAAAGUUCAGUUGAACAUAGAUAUGAUAUAAGUACUUCGGUACAUGCAAUCAUUCUUCUACCCAAGUCACUUGGGGGCUCUUAAGUUUAUUUGAGCCGUUUUAUAAUAAGUGUUCUUCUUCUUAAUCGUUGCAAAGUUUUAUUAUUAUUAUUUAUCACUCCUUUUUUCGACACGAGUGUGCGGUCACUAGCCGGUGAGCCUAAUUUCUCUCUCAAAGCCGCUAGAGUUUAGUUUGCUAAACUGGCCUGAUGAGAAGUACUCCACCCUCGGGAUAGGAGGUUGAAGCCGUAGGCUGACCCGCUCGAAGUCUUGAGAUAGGAUAUAUCACGUUAAAGCACGACAGAAUCACUUCUUUUUUCUAAGACCAAUUUUCGGAUUGGCACCGAACACUUGAUCUUGUUCGGACGUCAUGUUUUUACUGACGUUUCUUGGUUUUCCAAGCUUUUUGGCACUUUUAAACUAUUUGUGCUUUUCCAGCAUUAGUCUCGCAGUGCAACGCCGGACACCUUUAGGGAUUCGGCAAAAACAUUCUCGGAUAUUGCUAUAUAUGCAUCGGUUUCGAAAUGUGUCUUCGGUCAAUAGUUGGGUUGCCCGGCUCCUGUGCUUUCAUCCUACGUUCCGCUUUGUUCGGCUAGAUGUGCAAAGGGAGAACCACUGCGAUUGUGCUUCCAGCUCGCAUGGUCAAGCACCUUAGUGGAGAAAGCCGAAAACUGACUGUCACAAUAAGCGUAAACUGGUCAGUGAUCCGAUGACUAUGACGGGCCGUUCAUAACAUUGGCCGAAGUGUUUACGGCUUGACCUCGACUGUCGCCGAACACUACCGGGGGCUAUUAACUGGCCUCCCAAACUAAAUCCUCGAUAUUUUGCUCUUACAUUCGAGCUGAGGUUUCAUGAUCAUGCUUAGCAUGACAACCCAAAGAAAGGAACCGAUAGCGGGACUAUUUUCUUUGGAAGACAUUUCUUCUGUUAAACAGUAAUAUAACAUAUCUCUCUGCGUACCUUUGUUUAUAAAACCGUAUGGCCAGAUUGCCUUGUUUGUUGUAAAUCUUUGCCCUCAUAAAGACUUUAUAAAGUAGGACAAACACUCCUCGGCUACUGGCCGAGGAGGUGGAAGCCGAUGGUCGGUCAACAAAGUUUUGUACAAUGCGGAUCUGAGCAUUAAUGACAUAAAGUACUUGGAUACAUAGAGUCAUUACACAUAAUUUGUGAUUUUACUAUGGAUAUUGAUCCUUAAUUCGGCCACCCGUGCCCGCAUUAAGGCUCGGGGGCUACUGGGCUUCGGGCUUAUUAUUUACAAAUAUUAAAGGGGCACAUCGAUCCCCUGAUCUGGUGUUGCCACCCGACCAGUGUCUCGGGGGCUACUGCAUUGCUUGUCCAAUACAGAAAAUUUUAUGUGCAAUAUAGUUUCCGAGGAGAUUUUGAUCCUCAUGUUGGUCGGCCGCACCCAACCUGAGUCCCGAGGACUGAGCACGCCGCUUUUAGUGUCCCGAAGUAUUCUGCCGAGCUUGGACUCGAUCCUUAGACCGAUUUUGCAAAUCAACCUGAGUCUCAGCGGCUACUGGGAUCAGCGGUCUUACAUCAUCCUUCAGGUGCAUCUCGGGUUUCAGACCGAUACCCACCUUGAGGGCUACUGGCUAUAUAUCUCGGUAGAGAAUAAAUUGCACCAAUAAAAAAUAUUCACAAAAAUCGGCCCACAUUCAGGGUGGUGCACCACCUCGGAAGCAGCCCGACAUAAAGCUCGGGCGCUAGUGGCUGGCUCCAUAGAGGGCAUUUCCGGCAUUAAGCUCGGCUAAACUCCUUCAAACUUCUUUGAACCAAGGUGAUUUACGACACCUCGGAUAUAGUCCGGCGUUGGAGCUCGGAUACAGUCCGGCGUUGGAGCUCGGAUAUACAGUCCGGCGUUGGAUCUCGGAUACAUAGUCCGGCGUUGGAGCUCGGAUACAUUCCGGCAUUAGAGCUGGGAAGCGGUCCGGCGUUGGUGCUCGGUUGCAAAAGAUACCUCGAAUACAGUCCGGCGUUGGAGCUCGGACGCAAGAGGACGCUGCCGCCUGGGAACAACUUCAAACCCGAGGUGUGGCAUAAAAAUAACAAGGCAUUGAUAAAGGCCGGAAACUUAAAGGGGCUCCUUGGAUACCCGAGGUGUAAACUCGUCGAAUGCAUUUCGGCGAUCCUCAAGAUCGAAGAUGAGAAGAUUUGUUAAACCAGUUUUCAAGACCGGCGACCGAAGAUGAAGAACGGUUCGGAAGAAUCGAGGAGCGUCCCUAACUCGAAGACCGGUUCAGGGGGCUACUGACGGUGUCCUGGACUAGGGGGUACUCACCACGUCGUCUCCCGAUCUAUUAGAUUGGGCCGAGGACCCCCAUGGCCGUAUACUCAUGGGCCAGUUCGGACAGCUGCCGCAUACAAGGAAGAUUACACAAGACUUGGCGAUCAAGACAAGGACUUCUCCCCACCGGCGUAUUCGGCUAGGACUCUUGUUAACCUAGGCCUCUGGUGCAUUAUAUAAACCAGGGCCGGGCUAGUCGAUAGAAUAUACACAUCAACAAUCAUACCACAGGCUAGCUUCUAGGGUUUAGCCUCUCUGAUCUCGUGGUAGAUCUACUCUUGUACUACCCAUAUCAUCAAUAUUAAUCAAGCAGGACGUAGGAUUUUACCUCCAUCGAGAGGGCCCAAACCUGGGUAAAACUUUGUGUCCCUUGACUCCUGUAACCAUCCAGCCUAGACGCACAGUUCGGGACCCCUACCCGAGAUCCGCCGGUUUUGACACCGACAAUAUCCCUUAGUUUCCAAUAGGACCCCGCUGCCACGGGAGGGUAGGACAAAAGAUGUCAUGCAAGUUCUUUUCCAUAAGCACGUAUGACUAUAUACGGAAUACAUGCCUACAUUACAUUGAUGAAUUGGAGCUAGUUCUGUAUCACCCUAUGUUAUGACUGUUACAUGAUGAAUCGCAUCUGGCAUAAUUAUCCAUCACUGAUUCGGUGCCUACGAGUUUUCCAUAUACUGGUUUACGCUUAUUUACUUUCCCGCUGCUACGGUUACAAUCACUACAAAAUACCAAAAACAUUACUUUUGCUGUCUUUACUUUUGUUGCCACUACCACCACUAUCAUAUUACUUUGGUACUAAACACUUUGCUGCAGAUACUAAGUUUCCAGGUGUGGUUGAAUUGACAGCUCAACCGCUAAUACUUGAGAAUAUUCUUUGGCUCCCCUUGUGUCGAAUCAAUAAAUUUGGGUUGAAUACUCUACCCUCGAAAGCUGUUGCGAUCCCCUAUACUUGUGGGUUAUCAGUAGGGUCUCCCUCCCUUCGCCGAGUACAGUAGAAGGCCGUUCCUGACGGAUGACCUCAGCACAGGCAUCCUGCAGCUCGCGGAGGACCACUACAUUGUUGCCGACCUCAAUGUCUACCCCAAAAGAAAGGGCAAUGGCAUGCGUGUCGUACUCCGCGUCUUCAACUCCGAGACUGGAAAGUGGAAAAUCAUCCCCAAAUUGGACCCGGGCAAUGGCGGCCAGUUCCCCGAACUCUGGUCAACCGACAAUGUGCUCGCUUUCGACGGCUGUUUCCUGUGCUGGGUCGACUACUUCGCGGUGUCCUGCUAUGUGACUUCUCCGAAAACAUAGACUCCCUGUCGCUCUGCUUCGUGCCUUUCCCUGGAGGAAAAGAGUACCGUGGUAAGGUACGGGUUGAAAGGUACUUCCCGGAGAGAUUCCGAAGUGUGUCCAUCAACCAAGGCAAGAUCUGCUUCGUCCACAUUGACAAUGACUUCCAGACAGAGUCCCUGGUCGCUGCCGCCGAUGCCUUGAGCUUCGUGAUAGAAAAAGGCAAGGGCAGCAGCAGCAGACUCCGAAGAAAAUCACCAGUUGGACUUUGAACUCCGAGUUUGAGUGGAAGCUACAUCGUGUGAUCAACCUGGACUCUCUCUGGGCGCAAGCUGGUUACAGGGAUCUGCACAUAGAUCAGCGAAAAUAAUUAUUAAAACAUGUUCCAACGUGUAUCUGAAAAACGUUUAGCAUGUAUUUGAAUGUUUUUCAAACAUGUUUUUGUAAAAGUUGUAAUAAUGCAUUUGAAAAAUAUUAAACAUGCAUAAAAAUGUUUUAGAUGCAUACAAAAGAUAUAGAACUUGUAUGAAAAGGUAGACAUCAAAACAUAUACUCGAAAAAAUGUUAAUAAUAUAUAUUUGAAAAUGUUUAACAUGUAUAAAAAAAUAUGAUGUAUAUUUAUUUACAAGGCGUAUGAAAAAUGUAGAUGUUUGUUGAGAAAAAAGAAAAUGAAGAAACAAAGAUAAGCGAAUAAAACCAGUGAAAUGUUCUUAUAUUUAUUUAUAAGAACAUUUUUUACACUAGUGUAGUGUCAAAAACGUUCUUAUAUUAUGGGACAGAGGGAGUAGGAAAGAAACAAAGAAAACCGAGGAGACAAAAGGAAAAAAAAUAAAAUGAAAAAAGAAGGAAAAAGAGGAAAACCGAAAAAAAACCAAAGAAAACCUAGCAAAAAGUGGAGACGAAAAAACCUAGCUACAGGAAAAGGCCAGCCCAGUAGAGUGCCAGUCAGAGGCGAGACGGACUCCGCUUCGGACUUGUUUCCGGUUGCUGGCCUAACCGUCUCGUGGCCGGCCCAGUGAGAUUUUUAGUAACUUAUAGCCUGUGGCCCUUCUUUCCCGUCCACCAAAGACCAAACCAGUUCCUCCCCACCAGAAACAUGGUUAGGGUUAGGGUUAGGGAGGAGGCGGAGGCGGCUGCUUUAUUCCCGAUCCCGAUCUCAAUCCCGAUGCCGAUCCCCAUGACCACCGGAGGAAAAAAGAUUAGGGAGGAGGCGGAGGCGGAGGCGGAGGCGGCUGCUUUAUUCCCGACGCGGAUCCCGAUCGGCAUGGCCAGCAGAGGCGGAGGAGCGCCAUGGGCGGACGGUGCCUUCCCCGAUUGGGUGAUGCUGGACCGCCUCGGCCGCACCAAGUCCUACGACGGCAUAUGCGCUGUUCGUGAGGCCGUCAACCAGAACAAGACCGCCGCUGCAGUUCACAUGGCCAGCGGCCGCUCCUGCUACGUGUCCUUCGCCCUCGCCGAUCCUCCAGAAGGGGUCUCCUACUUCGACCUCCACUGGCCGGAGAAAGAAGCCUCAGCCACCCGGCCCGCCUGUCCCUACGUCCGGGCAACUGACGAGGACCUCGUCCUCUUCCACAUCUCCAUCCCGAGCCAGACUCGCUACGACAACAUCGCGUCAGAUCUGUUCGUCUACACGGCCGCCGGUCCUUCCCCCUCGGUGCAGCAGCUCCCUCGGUACACCAAGGACAGGAAAAGGCCGUUCCUGAUGGAUAAAUUCGCCACAGGCAUCCUGCAGCUCGCGCCGGACUGCUACAUUGUUGCCGACCUUAAUGUCUACCCCAAAAAAAGCGACACUGGCAAUCAUCCCAUGCUUGUUGAACUCUGCAUCUUCAACUCCGAGAAAGGACAUUGGGGAACCAUCUGCAACAGGCCUGCCCCGCGGCCGCAUGACCAGAGCAAUGUCCGGUUCCCCUUCCUGUGGUCAACUGACGAUGUGCUCGCUCUUGAUGGUCGUUUUCUGUGCUGGGUAGACUACUUCAGCGGUGUCCUAAUAUCUGACUUCUCCGAUACAUGCUCCCCUGUGCUUCACUUCGUGCCUUUCCCCGGGGGAAAAGAGUACCGUAAUGACGUACGGGUUGAAAGAUACUUCCCCGGGAGAUUCCAAAGUGUGUCCGUCAGCCAAGGCAUGCUGCGCUUUGUCCACAUUGACAAUGACUUCCAUGAGAGAAUCCAUGGUGGCCAUCGUCACCUUCUUGAGAGAAGACUAGGGCAGCACCCUCGCCAAAAGAUCACCAUUUGGAAUUUGAACAUGAUGUCCAAGUUCAAGUGGGAGCUCCAUCGUGUGAUCUACCUGGAUUCUGUCUGGGGUAGCUCUGGUUACCAGGAGCUGCACAUACCUUGCCGUCUUCCUGAGUUCCCAAUCAUCAGUGCGGAUGACCCGGAUGUUGUAUGCUGCCUUUUAAGGGAGGAGGAAUUUCACGGUGAGGCGUGGAUGAUCAUGGUUGACAUGAAACAGGCACAUGUUCAGUCAUGUACUCCAUAUAUCAAUCAACAGUCCUGCUAUGCUAAGUCUGUGGGUGUGGAUGUGCAAGCUCGCAAAAGCCGUUUUGCUAAUGUGCCCCUACUUCCAGCUGUCUUCUCCAGACACCUUGAAAGGCCAACAGGUAACUAGAAGAAGUUCUCUUAGUGUUUAAAUGACGCUCUUUUAUGUACGUUAUCACAUAUUACCUAACAUGGUUGCCUUUGAUUAGCUUUCUGUUGGAUAUGGUAGUGUAACGCUGCUUUUUUUCUUACUACUAUUUAUCUUGCCUAUGAUGCAAAUACAUAUGCUGCCUGGUUGCGUGUGCGAUUCUCAUAGGUAAUUGAAUUGUGACUUUGGUGCACGCUUAUUACCCCCCUCCAUUAGCGGCAUUGGUUCUACUGAUCAGGGUUGUUUGCCCGGCAUUAUUCUCUGUAGCUUUGGUCCUGCUUCAAAUUUUCUAAUUUGCCGCUUUCCGACACUGCAUCGCUGUGUUAUCGUAAUAUAUACUCCUGUUAAUAAUAGCUUUAACUAAUUGAAGCAUUUGAUAUAUUGUUACCAUGAAUCUUCUGUUAGGCUGUUCAAGCGUUUGAGUUUUAGCCACUCUAGCUGUGUAGGGCUCUACACUGUAUGACAAUAAAAGCUUUGGUCCUUAUGCCAUCAAGAUGUCCUUGAGAGAGUCCUCUAUUUCUCCUAGUAGGAUCUUUUGCUCUUUAUGGGACUGUCCAUUGCCUGUACAGGUUUAGUUCUUGAUUCAUCACACAGCCUUCUGUUGCUACUAGUAUGGUGUGCUAUUUUUAAGUGAAUUUUAGGAACAAGAAAAACACUAUUUUGAUUGCUCUUGUAAAGCAUAUUAUAUGGUCCUCUAUUUUCUAGUAGCAACCUGACAGAAGUAUAUAUAGACAUGCACACGCGCGCACAUGCAUUUAGCUUUUAACACAUAUUAUUUCUGUUGGCGAGAGUUUUAAAAUGUGUUUCGUUGGGUUGCUUUGGGUCAAUCAGGUCACAUCUUUGGCUGUUUCUGUUAGAAUCAGUUUGUUUCAGAUAGUGUGUACUUUCUGUAUCAUGUAACUGGAUACUGGGCUGGUGAAAAGCCAUUCUCCCUGCAUGAGAAUGUCAUUGGGUAAAACUCCUGUAUUUUAGCCUUGCCGGCCUUCUCAUGUGUCUGUCUUUGUCUUGAUUCUGGCGACAAACUUUCCCGCUGGUUUCUUCAUCUUCUCACGCCUCAUCCGACAUCCUUAAACCUGCCUUGUGCGACCUGAAUGCACCACCCCAUCCUCGGCCCAUCAGCAGCAUGUUCGCCAACAGUCCCCUGUUUGCCAGUUGUGGUCUUUUCAGCUGGUUGAUAAAGUCGAUACCUGCUCAUUGAGGCCACAAACGCAACGUCAUGACUAUGUGGCAGAAAUGAAAGAAAACGCUUUGAUGACAAGUUACCCGAGAGCUAACGAUGAAGAGCAUAAUGCCAUCACCUUCCGAAACAAGAUCAAUUAUAUGAUGUCAUUACAUUACAUUUAUAUUAAUUGAGGUCGUUACCAUUUUCUUUAUUAAAAAUACUCCAGUGCAAUGCCAUUACUCUUUCUAGUUUGUCUAUUUCUUUUUUUGAACUAGUAUUGUGUACAACAUUUUUGUAAAGUGGCAACUAAUCAUAUCUGUCCAUACUGCUCAUGAACAAAGUGUAUAUAGCUAAGUUAUUUUGUUUCUGUUUUUAAAGGGAUGCUAUGGAACAACGACAAGCUUGCACCUCAUCCUUCAAAGAAGAGUAAGUUUGCAAGGUAAAGACUUGGGAGUAUGGUUCGCUCAAAUCGAAGAUGAUGUUUGUCAAAGGUGCAACUUUUGGGAUUCUCAAACCGAAGAUGAUGUUUGGUGCGGUGCAGACAGAAAUGUGGGAAAAUAUCAUAUUUAUGUGAUGAAGAUGAUGUACUAAUGAAUAUCCAUUAGAGUAAACGAUACAUAUUAUGGAUCCUGUAAUCGUAUGUUUGAAAGCCAGCCUGUUAUAUGUUUGGGAUUGAACAUUGCUGGGUGUUAAUUAUGUUUGCCGUCGUCUUUUAGACCAGUACAUUUUUGCCCUCGAUAGCAAAUGGUUUAGGCCCUGCCUGGGAGCUCAGAUUCAUUUCCGAGCUGUAACAUUUUACAGCUGUAACCUGACGGUGAUGGGCCGAGGUGGUGGUGUCGUCUCUGGUCGACAUGUCGCCCACGGUGGGGAGAAGAAAUGGUGGCGGCCGCCGCCCAUUCUUGCGUGUCGAGCUGCUGCAGCACUUGUACCGCCGCCGCCCAUUCUUGCGUGCCGGCUGCCAUUGAUUUUUGAGUCACCCUCCCCCUAGUUUUGCUAAGAGUAUUUCAAUCGGGGUAUUUUGGCUGAAUUUUUUAUAUUUUUGAGUCACCGUCCCCCUAGUUUUACUAAGGGUAUUUCAAUGGCAAACGUUUUACGCCGGGGCGCCGGCCGAGUUUUCGGCCGGUCGCUCGCGACACGCGGUCUGACUCGUGGCCCCGCACCGCUCCCUUUCCCCACCACACCUUUUCCCCACCUUAUCCUCAGCCACACCACGCCGUUAUCUUUUCCCCACCUUAUCCUGAGCCACACCAGCAUCUAUCUUCAUCAAAUCCCUCUCAUCAUGGAAGUCCUCAUCCGUGUCGGCAGUGACGAGGAGGACAGCGGCAGCGACGACGAGGGUAGUAGGCGGCAGGAUGACGGGUCCGACUAGGUGUCGGGUGCCGCUCCGUGCGGCACCGGCGACCCCAUCAUCCGUGUCGCCGGCUCCUUGAACUUCUCGGGGUUGUCUCCUUGGGCGGCUGGCGUUGGGAGGCUGCGGAAGAGGAAGAGGGCGGGCGGCAAGGCCGUCAAGUCGGAGUACGCGGGCACCGACGCCUUCGACGCGUGCUGACGUCCUGCCGCCUCGUCUUCGAGCUCUGCUUCCGGCGCCGCCAUCACCAUCCAGCCUUUGGACGGCCACCAAGAUGUUCUCUUGGUGUCUUCUGCCACCCGUAGCUCGCCUAGGCGCUCCUUUUGUCCCUUCCGCCUCCUUGACAUGCCUCCUGAGGAGAGGGACAAGAAAGGGAUUACGGGCACCUUAUCUCUUUUUAGUUUGUAAGCCUUCGGGCCUUUGUUGAAUUUAAAACUUGUUAUCCCAUCAUUCAUGUUUUCCAUUCCCUAUGGACUAUACCUGAGUGGAAUGUUUUUUUAAUGAAAAAGGGAUGCUUGCCGGGUCAUUUGUUUGCGGGUGGAACCCACAACAAGGAGUAAAUCCUUGAUAUCUUCAAGAUAAACAUUUCCUUGCCCGGCAACAGGCCUUGCCGUCUCCCCACUUCGCUCGACCUUCCUCACGCUUUCGGCGGAGGCAGGGAUGAGGCGGGUUCAGGCUCCUUGUUUCAUCCUUUCGCUGCCGCGACUACGACCAAACUUGGCCCCAGGAACGAGCCCUAGGGCCUAGAGUUAUGGGAGCACGGUAGCUUAGGGGAAAACGAGGUUUCACAUACCUCAGUCCAUAAUGGAAUGCAUGAUAAGGGAUGAAGGGGUCCCGAACUGUGUGUCUAAGGCGGAUGGUAACACGAGGCAGGGGACACGAUGUUUUACCCAGGCUCGGGCCCUCUUGAUGGAGGUAAAACCCUACGUCCUGCUUGAUUUUCUUGAUAAUAUGAGUAGUAUAAGAGUUGAUCUACCACGAGAUCAGAGAGGCUAAACCCUAGAAGCUAGCCUAUGGUAUGAUUGUAUGUUGUCCUACGGACUAAACACCUUCGGUUUAUAUAGACACCGGAGGGGGCUAGGGUUACAAAAAGUUGGUUACAAAGGAGGAGAUACACAUAUCCGUAUUGCCUAGCUUGCCUUCCAUGCCAAGUAGAGUCCCAUCCGGACACGAGACGAAGUCUUCAAUCUCGUAUCUUCAUAGUCCAACAGUCCAAGGAUAUAGUCCGGCUGCCCGGAGACCCCCUAAUCCAGGACUCCCUCAGUAGCCCCUGAACCAGGCUUCAAUGACGAUGAGUCCGGCGCGCAGUGUUGUCUUCGGCAUUGCAAGGUGGGUUCCUCCUCCGAAUACACCACGGAAGAGUUUGAAUACAAGGAUAGUGUCCGAUCCUGCAAAAUAAGUUCCACAUACCACCGUAGAGAGAACAAUAUUUCCACAAAUCUAAUCUGCUGACACGUUUUGGCAGCAUGACAUCACGCCACGGUCCGGUAAUUAUUUGAACCGUUUUUCCUAAACCAGCCCCGCACAUAACGCAAGGCGGUUUAUUGACACGUCUUGUCAAAGCAGAGAUCGUGUUCCCCUUAUUGCGGGAUUCUCAUCAAUACGGACAUGGGUAACCCAACCGCGCCAUCAAUUACGGCGCUUGGGGGAUAAGCGAGUUUUACCAGACUAGUCGGGGUGCAUAGUUUAGUCUGCCCUUAUAAAGGGAUAAGAUCUCACCUUUUUCUACCCACGCCUUGUUCCUCCUUGCUCAUCCAUUCUCGCGCACCCGAGCUCCAGCGCCCAAGUCCGCAUCCUUCUCCUCAACUCUCUCCAAACAUGUCCGGAGCGGGAGGCAAGUGGAUGGCCUCCUCCGUCAUGGAGGGACACAUCAAAAAGCUACGUGGAGCCAGAUACUUAGCCGCGGAUAUCGCGCACCAGCUGCCAGCCGCGGGGCAGAUCGUCCCUACCCCGGAACCUCACGAAAGGGUGGUUUUCCUCCCCCAUUUCGUCCGUGGACUGGGGUUUCCCCUCCAUCCAUUCGUCCGCGGCCUCAUGUUCUAUUACGGGCUGGACUUUCAUGAUCUGGCGCCGAAUUUCAUCCUCAACAUCUCGGCGUUCAUCGUCGUGUGCGAGGCUUUCCUCCGCAUCCGGCCCCACUUUGGCCUAUGGCUGAAGACCUUCAAUAUCAAGCCGAAGGUAGUAGGCGGCCAACAAGCGGAAUGCGGCGGAGCCAUGGUGGGAAAAAUGCCCAACAUUACAUGGCUCGAGGGCUCCUUCGUGGAGACCAUAAAGGGGUGGCAAUCGGGGUGGUUCUACAUCACCGAGCCGCGCGACACCAACUGGGUGGCGGCCCCCGAGUUUCGAUCCGAAGUCCCCACGCGACUCACUUCCUGGAAGGAGAAGGGCCUGUCUUGGGGCUCUUCGGUGGAGCUGGACGGACUCCAGAAGUGUAUCCGGAACAUGACAAGCAAGAAACUUAAGCUUACCAACAUAGUCCAAGUCAUGCUCUUCCGCCGGAUCCUCCCGUGUCAACAACGGGCUUUCAACUUAUGGGAGUUCGACCCGGCCCAGCACCAGACUCUACAUGAGCUCUUCGACACGAUGCAUAAGGACGUCUGGAAGGUGCUGUUCAAGGGCGUCGAUGUCCCUCCUUCUCUUACCGAGGACCGGGGGCUAAGCGCGAAGCGCCAUGCGAAUCCGGUAAGUUCUGUACAUCUGGUAGGGUAUUUAUUUCCCAUAGCUUAACCAUGUGCGGGGUCUGAGCUCCCAUGCCUUUGACAGGACUGGGUGGAGACAUUGGAGAAGAUCACCUGUCCGGCCCCUCUGCCCGAAGACCCUGCGGACGCUCUCUUGACGGAGAUGCGGACUCUGGCUCCUUACGAGGUGCCGGAUAAGACCAAGAAGAAGGCCAAGGGAACCCGAAAGAGUUCCCGGCUCCAGGUGGUAUCGGACUCAUCGUCCCAUAACUCCGAGACGCACUCCUCCCAUGAAAACGGGGAGAAGGAAGACGGAGAUUCUCCCCCUCCAGCUGGGGGAGACAAGAAAAGGAAGGCCGCCCCAAUCGGGGAGGCCGAAGGGUCCAAGAAGGGAAGGACUCUCCUUCCGGACUAUUCCACCACCGCCGCCGACGGCGAAGACGAGUGGCUGCUCAGGGCCAAGCCCCUGGCAAAAUCGUAAGUAUUCGGAUACCAGAGUAACUCAUAGCAUACUUUUGUUGCACUGCUUCUCCUAACGUCGAAUAUGAUUUUGCAGUCCGCCCCAAGCCCGUAUCGACGUAUCAUCGUCGGACGACUCCUUGGACUCGUCGGACAUGGAUAGUGAUACACUUCCAACCACCACCUCUGCUGGCCCUACGGANNNNNNNNNNNNNNNNNNNNNNNNNNNNNNNNNNNNNNNNNNNNNNNNNNNNNNNNNNNNNNNNNNNNNNNNNNNNNNNNNNNNNNNNNNNNNNNNNNNNNNNNNNNNNNNNNNNNNNNNNNNNNNNNNNNNNNNNNNNNNNNNNNNNNNNNNNNNNNNNNNNNNNNNNNNNNNNNNNNNNNNNNNNNNNNNNNNNNNNNNNNNNNNNNNNNNNNNNNNNNNNNNNNNNNNNNNNNNNNNNNNNNNNNNNNNNNNNNNNNNNNNNNNNNNNNNGCCUCAAGGCGACCUUCUAGACUCCAGGAGCAAAGGGAGCAAGGCUCCCAGGGGCUCCCAGUUCGGCCCAUAGCCGGACACAGUGCCGGAACCUCCAGUGGUUCCGGACUCGGGCAGGCGGCCCCCUUCCAAGAGGGGCAAGCCGUCCGCGCCGGUGACCUCUGUCCAUCCAGAGGCACCGGACGAACUGCUGGGAGCGCUUAGCGGCGCUUCCAUCGACGAAGAGCACCACACUAUUAUGAGUGCGGUGAUCAAGAAGGUUCAGUCCGCCAAGAGCGGACUGACUGAAGCCUGUACCAGCCUUCUAACAGGCUUUAAGGCAAGUAAUUAAAAUAUAGGAAAAAUGUUACCGCAUAGACAGUAGCCCCUGAUGCUCUGUUUGGUGUUCACAAAGAAAAGCCGAAUAGAGGAUCGAAUAAUAUCUGCAGGAGUCUAAUAUAAGUAUGUCUGUAUGCGUACGCAGGCUUCGCUGCUGACCUCUGCCGCACUGACUGCGGAGGUCGCCGCACUGAAGCAGGAUUUCGAGCGGUCCGAGAAAGAGCUCGGCCUUGCCAAGAGGCAGCUCGAGGAGAACAAGGGUAAGUAAUACCUUGUCUAUAUAAAAAAGAAAAUGUGGUUGCGAACUGACAGGAUCAUCAUGAAUGUGCCAGGGGCCACGACCGAAGUGGCAACCCUAAAGCAAGCAUUGUCCGAGGCCGAAAACAACGCGUCCAAGGAGCGCACCAAGCGGGAGAGACAAGAGGCACGGGUGGGCAAGGUGCAGCAAGAGCUCCAGGCUCUCAUGAAGAAACACGAUACUUUGGAGCUUGACUCGAAGACGCGAGAGUCCGAGCUUGCCGCGGCCCUCGAGAGCACCAAGCAUGCCAAGGCCGAAGCCCAAAAGGUCCUCCAGGAAAUUGAGGCGAUGAGGAAGAUAAUGGCGGGUAAGGCAUUCAAUAUGCAAAGCAAGUAUGUGAAAGUAAAUUACUUGUUACUUACCCGAGUCCGGAGCUCUCCAGGAGCAUUCGCAGAUUUGCCCCGCAGCGUGUCGGAUGCCGUGAAGUAUUACCAGGCCGAGAAGGGAAGCUCGACGGAGAAGUUGUUCUGGUCUCAGUAUACUGGGAUCGAACACCCGGUGCCUAUGAGCGACCAGCUGAAGCAACUGGUCGAGCUGCACAAGGCGGCCGAACAGGCCAUGAGGGGCUUUAUAGUCCGGAUGUGGCCUGGCGACUCCCUUCCCAACAGCUACUUCGUCUUGGUUAGGUGAUACGUCUCCAACGUAUCUAUAAUUUUUGAUUGCUCCAUGCUAUAUUAUCUACUGUUUUGGGCAAUAUUGGACUUUAUUAUCCACUUUUAUAUUACUUUCGGGACGAACCUAUUAACCGGAGGCCCAGCCCCUGAUUUGCUGUUUUUUUUGCCUAUUUCAGUGUUUCGAAGAAAAGGAAUAUCAAACAGAGUCGAAACGGAACGAAAUCAACUGGAGAAGUUAUUUUUGGAAGGAAACCUACCGUAUAGACUUGGACCCUACGUUAGAAAGUUUAUGAGUUUGAAAUUAUUAAGGUAUGAAACAAUUGCUUGGCUUGUCAUCGGGGUUGUGCAGGAUGAGAGCAUUCUUGUGUGACAAAAAUGGAGCAUGACUAAACUAUAUGAUUUUGUAGGGAUGAACUUUCUUUGGCCAUGUUAUUUUGAGAAGACAUAAUUGCUUAGUUAGUAUGCUUGAAGUAUUACUAUUUUUAUGUCAAUAUGAACUUUUGUCUUGAAUCUUUCGGAUCUGAAUAUUCAUAUCACAAGUAAGAAGAAUUACAUUGAAAUUAUGCCAACUAGCAUUCCACAUAAAAAUUAUCUUUUUUAUCAUUUACCUACUCGAGGACGAGCAGGAAUUAAGCUUGGGGAUGCUUGAUACGUCUACAACGUAUCUAUAAUUUUUUAUUGCUCCAUGCUAUAUUAUCUACUGUUUUGGGAAAUAUUGGACUUUAUUAUCCACUUUUAUAUUAAUUUUGGGACUAACCUAUUAACCGGAGGCCCAACCCAGAUUUGUUGUUUUUUGCCUAUUUCAGUGUUUCGAAGAAAAGGAAUAUCAAACGGAGUCGAAACGGAACGAAAUCAACUGGAGAAGUUAUUUUUGGAAGGAAACCUACCGGAUAGACUUGGACCCUACGUCAGAAGAUGAAGGAGGAGCUCGCGAGGGUAGGGGGCGCACACCCCGGCCUCGUGCCCCCCCUUCAGUCCACCGACGUACCUCCUGCACCCAUAUAUACCUACGUAACCUAAAACUUCCAAAACGGAGAUUAGAUCGGGAGUUCCGCCGCCGCAAGCCUCUGUAGCCACCAAAAGUCAAUCGGGACCCUAUUCCGGCACCCUACCGGAGGGGGGAUCCCUCACCGGUGGCCAUCUUCAUCACCCCGGUGCUCUCCAUGACGAGGAGGGAGUAGUUCACCCUCGGGGCUGAGGGUAUGUACCAGUAGCUAUGUGUUUGAUCUCUGUCUCUCUCUCUCUCUCUCUCUCUCUCUCGUGUUCUUGAUUUGGCACGAUCUUGAUGUAUCGCGAGAUUUGCUAUUAUAGUUGGAUCUUAUGUUCCUUCUCCCCCUCUACUCUCUUGUAAUGGAUUGAGUUUUCCCAUUGAAGUAAUCUUAUCGGAUUGAGUCUUUAAUGAUCUGAGAACACUUGACGUAUGUCUUGCCGUGCGUAUCUGUGGUGACAAUGGGAUAUCACGUGAUUCGCUUGAUGUAUGUUUUGGUGAUCAACUUGCGAGUUCCACCCAUGAACCUAUGCAUAGGGGUUGGCACACGUUUUCUUCGUGAUUCUCCGAUAGAAACUUUGGGGCACUCUUUGAGGUUCUAUGUGUUGGUUUGAAUAGAUGAAUUGAGAUUGUGUGAUGCAUAUCGUAUAAUCAUGCCCACGGAUACUUGAGGUGACAUUGGAGUAUCUAGGUGACAUUAGGGUUUUGGUUGAUUUGUAUCUUAAGGUGUUAUUCUAGUACGAACUCUAGGGUUGUUUGUGACACUUAUAGGAAUAUCCCAAUGGAUUGAUUGGAAAGAAUAACUUUGAGGUGGUUUCGUACCCUACCAUAAUCUCUUCGUUUGUUCUCCGCUAUUAGUGACUUUGGAGUGACUCUUUGUUGCAUGUUGAGGGAUAGUUAUGUGAUCCAAUUAUGUUAGUAUUGUUGAGGGAACUUACACUAGAGAAAGUAUGAACCCUAGGCCUUGUUUCCUAUCAUUGCAAUACCGUUUACGCUCACUUUUAUCAUUCGUUACCUUGCUGUUUUUAUAAUUUCAGAUUACAAAUACCUUUAUCUACUAUCCAUAUUGCACUUGUAUCACUAUCUCUUCGCCGAACUAGUGCACCUAUACAAUUUACCAUUGUAUUGGGUGUGUUGGGGACACAAGAGAAUCUUUGUUAUUUGGUUGCAGGGUUGCUUGAGAGAGACCAUCUUCAUCCUAUGCCUCCUACGGAUUGAUAAACCUUAGGUCAUCCACUUGAGGGAAAUUUGCUAAUGUCCUACAAACCUCUGCACUUGGAGGCCCAACAACGUCUACAAGAAGAAGGUUGUGUAGUAGACAUCAUUAGGCGGCUUGUAGAUGCCUGCCCACGGUUGGAGGUCAUAAAGCGGUCCGUCUGCAUCGAAGGUGCACACCGGGCCUUUGCCCGUUCGAAGGUGCACUGGGCCAAGAUGGACGCCGGGAAUCUAGUGAAGGAGGGGCCGCCGCAGGGCAAGGAGCAUCGCCACCCUGAGAUGUAUUAUGAGGGUGUACUGAAGGGUGCCCAUCUUGUGGCGGACAAGUGUGCGAAGAAUGUAAUUUUUGAAUGAACUUGCUCGUCUGAUCCUGUAUUAUGAAAACUUGUUCAUAUGCACUAUGCAACGGUUGUUUGAAUUUAAAAUAUUACCUUCUGUGCGGCUGUUUAUCAAAUCUGAGAGAUGGCCAGUCGUCGGCUUCUGCCCCCAUGCCAUGAGUGCUGGGGUGUUCGGGAUGAAUCUGAGCACUCUUUUUCCCAUUGUUGGGUCCUUCGUGGGAGGUGCUCAGCGCAACGAACAAGGCAAUCAGACUAUAAUGCUUUAUCACUCUCACUUAGCCAUAGAAGUCUACAAUUUUAAAUUUUGGCGAAGCCCCUAGUAUUCAUAAGACCGAAUUCGGGGCGCUAUACACGCCUUAAGCCGGACAAAGCCGACUCCUCGCUCUAAGCGACAUAAGUCUUUAGGAACUCGAGACCUCUCGAACAGCGACCAGCUCUCACCUUAUCAUGACAGUCAGUUUUAGCUUUCUCUACUGAGGUGCUUAGCCCAUGUCGGGGUUUGGGUGUGACAUAUGCCAAAGGAUGGCUUAUCAUGGUGGGGGCGAGUAGAACGUCGCCGGUGCCUGGAAACGGGAUAAGGCGAAGACAUGCACGCCGAUGAAUCUUACCCAGCUUCAGGGCUCUCCGGGGAGAUAAUACCCCUACUGCUGCUCUACGGGGUCUCCGCAUGAUCACUAUGGCAAAGUGUUUACACGGUUGCUCCUCGAGCUGUUUGCUGGAGGUAGGAGAAGGCAAGGCUAGCUCUCUCCUUCCUAUAUGAUCUGGUCUAGUGCUAAUGGAUUCCAACCCUUUGCAUGGAUGCCCUGGGGGGUUUAUAUAGGCCUACCCCCCAGGGGUACAAUGGUAAUCCGACUGGGCGCGGGCCCAGCCGUCAGUCUCUCUGGCUGCCGUCUUAUCCGCCAACUCCUGGGCCCCGUCGACUGGUGGGCCCCACCGACUGGCUCGGUACGGAGCCGACAGGCCGCGUCCGCCGCGGGCGGGUCUUACCGGCUGCAGAUUAUUGUAGCCGUGCCUCUAAUGAUGCAGGCUUAGUCAUGAGGUCAUGGCGACAGCUCCACCGUCUGGCAGGUGAUCACUGUGGCCACUACUUGUCGUGUCUGAUUAAUGGCGCGUGGGGCCCGUGGGAGGGUCGGCCGACUUCUGGUGGCCGACUCCCAUCCGGGCCGACUGGUGGUGCUUUCACCGUCUUUUGUAUGCCUGCCGACUGGUGGGACCCAUCAUCCCUGGGUCAUACCAGCAGGCCGUCGUGGGCACAGGGCUCCGCCCCCUGGGGCUGAUGUCAGGGCCAGCAUGGCAAUAGUGUUGCGCCAUGCGGAGAUCUCCGCGGGUACGGCAUACUGUAGCCAUGCCUGCCCUUGGAAAAGGGGUGGGAGUGGACCUUACUGUGGCCACUCCCCAUCCCGUCCCUCUUUAUAAGGGCAUGGGGGUUGUUGGCAUCGCGGGCCGAGUCCCCAAGGCCGGCUUCUCUGGAAGUCGCCAGUCAGGAGUCGGCUCAGCCUGAAGUCGUCCCUAGGACUCGGCCGCGAGUGGGCAGCCGGCCGCCUCGCCGCCAACUCUCAGAAGGCGGCUCUUCGUCCUGGGGUCUCGAGGGGCGCAGUCUGCCUCAAUGUCUUGAAAGGUUCUGGGCCUGGGUUAGCCUACCCGUGGCCCAUUACUCCGACAGUAGUCCCCAAAGCUGGUGAGGCUCCGAGGGUGACAUGUCGUGGAGCCUGAACAAUUUCUUCUCUCCCGCGGUUGGAUCUGGGCUUCGCUAGCCGUCUUCUGUCAAGCCAACUAGUUGGAGUCGGACUUGCUCAAGGCCGACUUGCCCCUAAAAAAGUAUGAACGUUGCGGCGGAGUUCAGGAGGCGUGCCUGAUAAGCUUCCGGGUUGCCGCCCGUGGUUGACCCGUCGUGAGGCGCCAUGUGGCGGAGCUAGUCUGAUCACCCACGCGCGCGACAGGACAGGCCCACAGGCAGGGCCCGCCACUACCGCGCCUUGGCAUGCGAACGGAUCCGUUGCGGCCGCGCGGACGGUUGGGGUUCCCGCGCGGUUAUUGCACGUGGUAACUUCGUGUGGUAAAUCGUGGGGGUCGUGGGGUCCCGGGCGCAGUUAAUCCCACAAUCGCCCCUCGACUUCUCAGCCCACGAGCCUACAAGUAGGCGGGGGGAGGGGGCGGCGAAGCACGCGCGCCCAUUCUCCCCACUUCCUUUCGCUCCUUCUUGCUCCUUCUUCUUCUUGCCGUUGCUGCUCCGAACCACGCCGUGCCCGCAGCGAUGAGCUCCUCCUCCGCCGCCGCGCCUCCUGCUGUUCGCUCUGGAGUGUGGGAUGGCUCCGAGGUUGACGACGACGACAUCGAGAUCCUCCGCCAGACACGGCGGCUGCCUGGGAGGGACUUAGUGCGGGUCCGCCUCGCACCGGAGGGAGAGAUAUCGCCGGCGCCGGAGGAGGGCGAGCGGGUCAUAUUCCGCUCGCACCUCAUGCGCACCCUGGGGCUGCCGGCGAGCGGCUUCUUCCGCUCCUUCUUGGAGUUCCAUGGGCUCCAGCCGCACCACCUUACUCCGAACACGGUGGUGCUGCUGGCUGCCUUCGCCAUCCUGUGCGAAGGCUUCCUCGGUGUUCUCCCCACCAUCGAGCUCUGGGGUGAGUUCUUCCAGUCCAAGCUCGGCACACACGUCGUCGGCGUGCCGGCCCAGUGCGGUGCAUUCAUCACGAUGCGGAGAUCAGUGGCCGACAAUCCGUUUCCCACCGUCGCACUGAUUAAGUCGGUGAAGAUGUGGCAGCGGUCAUAUUUUUAUGUGAAGAACGUCGCCCCAGAAGGCGACUGGGUCAACCUACCGGCUUACGAAGCCGGCACGCCGGCUGGAAGGCUCCCCAGCUGGUCACACCGAGCCAAGACGCUGUCUCCCGCUGGUGCCGCCGCUGUCGCGUGACUCCGAGUGCUGACGCAGUCGGAGGGCCUGACCGGGGCUGACUUGCUGGCCGCCUUCGUGGCGCGCCGAGUCCUCCCACUCCAAGGCCGACCUCACCUGAUCUGCCAGAUGAGCGGUCACCGGGACCCGAGUCGGAUGUGCUCCAAGGACAUGCCUCACGCGGAGGUGGCGAACACGGUGAACUACAUCGCGAACUGCGGUCUCUCGGUGGACUGGCGGUUCGGCAAGGAGCCGUAUUAGCGCGCCAACCCCCAGCCUAUUGUAAGUCGUCUUCCUUCUUCUUCUGUUUCUUUUGCUGCCGAGUCCGACUUGUCAAGUCUGACCGUUUUUGUUUUGAAUCAGAAUCCUCUCGUCCCUCCUUCGACCGGCACCGCGGGGCCGGCUCGUCAGUUUGUCCCCGAUCGAGCGGAGAGCGACGUCGACGAUCCCGACUUGGGGGCGGCGGCCAUGGAAGCCGACGCCGAGGGAGGAGGAGGAGAAGCAGGCGGCUCCAAGCCUUCGGCCACUUUUGCCGACUGGCCUGACGACGAGGCCGAGGGAGAAGUCGCCCUGCGUCGCUAGCCAAAAGCCGGCCAGCCAAGCGCGAGUUCCUCCGCCGGCUUGGACGCUCAAGGCGGUGCGAAGAAGCGCCGAGCCGGGCCGAGUACGCUUGGUGGCCGGUCGAAGAAUUUCAAGAGAGCGGCCACCGCGACCAAGCGGGAAGAGGCGGCCGCGAAAGCCAACCGCUUCCGCAAGGAGGUGAAGAAGCCGCCGCUGGUCUCUGCGUAAGCGCCUCCGUCCCUUAUCUUUAUUUUCUCUUUGUUGAUCUUGUCUGAGUUUUUCAUAUGCUUUUUUCUCGCCUCGGGGCUCCCCUCACUCUUGAGAGGGUUGCCGCCGCCUCCGUUAUGGGAUCGGUGGAGACGUCUGCCACCACUCGGCGGAUUGACCCCGCUGCCGACCUUCGGGAGGCGACGGAGCGGAACGCGCGGGAGAAGCGCGAGGAGGACGAGGCCGCCCGCCGGGAGAAAGCGGAGGCCGAGAAGGUGGAGGCCUCCGCCCUGAAGAAGCUGGAGGCGGCCGAGGCCGCCGCUGCGGCAAAGUAGCCGGCUAAGGAAGUCGCGCCCCGGCGGCCGGCGGUGUUCGCCACCCCUUUGAACUCUGCGCCGCCGCCCCCGGAGUUCACGGGGCAGUCAGGGGAAGCCGGCGGCGAGUUCCCGAUCAUGGAGAGAGGUGGCGGCGACGCCCCCAUGCCGGACGUGGUCGCGCCGCUACAGCCGCCCCCGCCGCCGUCUAGAAGCGCGCAAGGCAAACAGCCGGCGGAUCCGCCCUUGCCGCCGACUGAAGACGAGGCCGUGGCAAGGCUACUCCUUCAAGUCGGCUCACCAACGCGCCGUCGUCUUGAGAAGGCGACCUUGGCACCACGCCCCUUGGAGACCGGUACUGCCAGCUUGACGAUUACAGACGCCGAAGCGACGAGCGCCGCGCCCAUUGGGUGGGUGUGAGGAGGCGGCACGGGCCCACUGAACCAGGCGCUUCUGGAUAUCCAGAAGAAGCUGUGAGCUGAGAGCGACGCCAUCCAAAACUGCACCAAGGCACACCUAGCGUCGCGGGCCGCCAUCCGGGUAUGCUCUCUCCUUUGUCCCUGUUUUCUUGUUCCUCUGUGUGGGGGCGCGCCAGUGCACCCACUGGGUGUAGUCCCCGAGUUUUGGGCUGGUUGCUGAGUAGGCGGCCCGGAACUCCAAUUGGUAAGUUCCGGGUACUAAUCUUUGUUCUAAAAUACUUGUUGCAGGACUAUCACAACCUCCGUGUCACCGCCUUCAACCGCGACAUUGAAGAGCUGGGCAAGCGGACUGCCGACUUGUCGGAGAGCCGGAGUGAGUCCUUUUUCUUCUUUGCGGGUGCUCGCUGGCACACCCGCGGGCUGUAGUCCCCGAGAUUCGGGCCGACUGCUGAGCAGUCGGGCCGGAUCUCCCCGGCGACCUUCUUCGUUGAUGACUUAACGCCUUCUUUCUUCUUUCUCUUCAGAGGCCAACGCCACUCUUCAACAGCAGCUGAGCGAAGCCAACUCCGCGUUGCGCGCCAAGGGGGAGGAGUGCAGCAAGCUCGCCGCACAAUUGGCAGAGCAGAAGGAGCUGCUUACGAAGACGCAGAAGGAGGCGGAAGAGGCGGAAGCCACCCUCCUGGCCGAGUUCGUGAGCGAGUGCUCCUCCUGGACUGGCAAGGAGGCAAUGCUGGUCUCCGACUUCCACGAGAUCGAGGACCUCGUCGACGGUGAGCUUAUUUGCUUUCCGACUCCUGGUUUUUUUGACUUGUUCUUCAUUCUUUCUGUCUUGGCAGACUUCUUUCCCGGCCACUCGCAGGCCACCAUUCAAGCUAUCGAGGCCGACCGCGAGGAGCGGAGGGCGGGUGGUGCGGAGAUCGCCGCUGUUGCCCCUCGGACUCUUGACGAGCAUAUUCUGAGCAUUGGGGCUCGCCUGCGGCCGGCCUAUCAGAUGUUGCGCCGGCUUCAGCGUGUCGGCGCCCAAGCGAUUGCCACCCUGUGGCCAGACAUGCAGGCUCCGCGCACCCCCAGUCGGACUGCCGACUGGCUGGAGGUCACGGCUGGCCGUCUUGAGGCCUGGAAGGGUUCCUCGGCCCGGGCCGGAGCGCGCCGAGCCUUGGAAUUCGUCAAGGCGUGGUAUCCGGGGCUGGACCUAGACCGGCUGGCCAAACUCUGGUCAAAGGCCCAGCCAGAGCUGGCAGCCGCGGAAGAUGCCCUUGUCAAGCGUGCAGCGGCGAUCGCCGAGUACACCGACACCAACAUCUUUGUCCCUGAGCGGGCUGAAGACGGCGAGGAGGUGCCGCCGGAGUGGUUUGGGCUGAACCCCGACUACGGCGAGGACUCGGCAAAGGUGAUCGGCUCCAGCGUCGAGGAGGAAGACGAGGCGGAGGACGGAAGCGAGACGGAGGCACCGGAAGAUGGAGCGGACGGCCAACCUCAGCUCGACCGUGCCUCCAGCAACGAGCCAUGCCCGCCCGAGCCGACUGCUGCCGGAGGUGAUCAAGCCGAGGCCGCCCAACCGGCCGCCCCAACAUCCAACACCGCCGUCUCCUUCGAUCCUCCAAACCCGUCUGCCGCCCCCUAGGCUGCCACCUUGUCUUUGUUUUAUCUGUUCUAAUAGUUUUUGAAGAACUGGUUAAUCCGCACAAUUCCACCCGCGGGGUGUAUUUUGAAAUUCUACUUGAAGAUUCGGCCAAGGGCCUUUGUUAUGUAAAUAUUCAUCCGACUUCUAUCUUUCUUGCUCAUUGUUCUUUUGGCUUUUUCCUUUGCCAUCUUCCCUCAGUUGCCAUCUUUGUCAGUCAGACAGCCACUCCGCGGACUGCUGCUGGAUUAAAUUCUUGGUCACUUUGGGAAGGCAAGUACUUAGCCGUUUUUAGAGUUGUUUAACAAGUUGGAUAGAAGGCGGCAAGCCGACUAUUCAAGAGUCGGUUUGCGAAAAAAGGCUGGAAGCUGGUCUUAAGCUAUGUUUGUGCUUUGAGUCCUUAGCCAUUUUUCAUGUGGACGCCCAUUCUUCCUUACUCCUGCCCACCAGACAGUCGCUCUGCGAGCUGCGGCUUCUGGCAGGAGACGGUUUAGACGCCACACACUACUUGUCCGGCUGCAGGAAGCAUUUCAUAGCGCAGGUCGGCAAGUCCCCGGGCCGACUAGUCGAACCCGGUGCCAAGCGGCAUAACAAAGAGUAAUAUACUCGAAGGCAUAUUUCUUAUCAUAUAGAUAAAAGAGGGCAGUCCCCGAGCUCUUCUCGGGGGGCUCGAAGUCUUGGUACUUUUAAUACAAAAGGUAGCAUGAUACAUACUGCGUUUAACUGUAAAAUUUUCGGAGGAGAUUUGCAUUCCAUGGCCGCUCUGUCUCUUUGCCGGAGUCGUCCCUCUUGCGUGCUCGGGGCUUCUGAGCGUCGAUCAGGUAGUAGGAGUCGUUGUCCAACACUUUGCUGAUGAUGAAGGGGCCUUCCCAAGGUGCCGACAGCUUGUGCUGGCCAGCUGUUCGCUGGAUUAAUCAGAGCACGAGGUCGCCCUCCUGGAAAGAUCUCGGCCUGACCUUCCUGUUGUAGUAUCUGCGCAGGCUCUGCUGGUAGAUGCUGGACCGGCUGAGUGCCAACAGCCAGCCCUCUUCCAGCAGGUCGACACCGUCUUGUCGUGCUUCUUCUGCUUCUUCCUCGGUGUACAUGGUGACUCAUGGGGAAUCGAAUUCUAUGUCCGUUGGGAUGACGGCUUCAGCACCGUAGACGAGGAAGAAAGGCGUGAAGCCGGUUGACUUGUUUGGAGUCGUGCGCAGUCUCCAGAGGACGGCUGGCAACUCGUCGAGCCAGCAGCCAACCGAGCGCUCCAGAGGCUCGAUCAGUCGGGGCUUGAUGCCGGACAGGAUGAGGCCGUUUUCUCGCUCCACCUGGACGUUUGACUGUGGAUGGGCGACGGAUGCUAGGUCCAGUCGGAUGCCCUGUGUCGCACAGAAACGGGCCAAGGCGCCUUUGGCAAAAUUCGUGCCGUUGUCGGUGAUGAUGCUGUGUGGUAUGCCGUACCGAAUUGUGAUGUCGGAGAUGAAAGUCACGGCAGUCGGACCGUUCAGUCUCUUGAUUGGCUUCGCUUCUAUCCACUUGGUGAACUUGUCCAUCGCGACAAGUAAGUGAGUUAAGCCACCUCGUGCCAUCUUGAAUGGUCCCACCAUGUCUAGACCCCAAACUGCGAAAGGCCAGGCAAUGGGGAUGGUCUUGAGUGCAGAAGCUGGCUGAUGCGGCUUGGAGCGGAACUUUUGGCACCCUUUGCAUUUUUGGACCAAUUCCUUGGCCUCUUCUAAGGCCGUUGGCCAUAAGAAACCAUGUCGGAAAGCUUUGGCGACGAGUGCUCUUGAAGCCGCAUGGUGGCCGCACUUGCCUUGAUGGAUUUCUUUGAGAAUUGCUUAGCCUUGCUCUGGCUCUACGCAGCGCUGGUAGACACCAGUGACGCUACACCUGACCAGCUCUUUGUUGACUAUGGUGUAGGCUGCCGCUCGGUGUUGUACUUGCCGAGCUAAGGUCUCAUCAGUCGGCAGCUCUUUGCUCACCAGAAAUUUGAGGAUGGGCUGGGCCCAUGAGGGUGCUACUAUUUCUUCGACCGCCAGAACUGCGACCUGGAUGAGGAUGGCUGGGCUGGGAGGCGGCGGGCUGGAGUCAACAACCACUUGCUAGAUUAAUGAAGUCCCCGGGCCGACUGGCGCAGUUCUUGGGCCGAGUUCUGGAGUCUUCGGGCCGGCUGCCGCAGUCCCCGAGCCGGGUUCUGCAGUCCCUGGGCCGGCCUCGAUUGUGGAGGCUUUGGGGCCAUCUGCCAAAAUCCCCGUACCAUCCGUCGGGGCUCUGGAGUCGGAUCCGACUUCUUCGGGAGGAGCCGACACGAAGAUGGAGUCUGAUUCUGGUGAAGGCUUGACAGACAGCUUGAGGAGGCAUUGAAGGGCGACGCCGGAUGGUAUUGCUUGGCGGGUAGAGCCGAUUCGUGCCAAGGUGUCUGCUUGGUCGUUGUCGUUUCUUGGUACAUGGAGGAAUUUGCACCCCUCGAAAUAUCCACUGAGUUGCUGCACGAGGAAACGGUAACUCGCCAUGUUUGCAUCUUUGGCGUCCCAGUCGCCAGACGACUGCUGGACCACUAAGUCCGAGUCGCCACAACACAGGAUCCGGCGAAUGCCAAGUUAUUUGGCAAACCGGAGCCCGUGAAUGAGCGCCUCAUACUCGGCGACGUUGUUGGAGGCGGCAAAAUGGAUUUGCAGUGCGUAUUUAAGCUUGUCGCCUUUAGGAGAAGUGAGGACAACGCCGGCUCCCAAGCCGGUGCGCAUCUUGGAGCCGUCGAAAUGCAUCCGCCAAUGGGUGGAGUCGGGCGCCGGAGGUAGGUACCGCGUCUCGGCCCAGUCGACGAGAAAGUCGGCAGUGCUUGUGACUUGAUGGCGGUGCGGGGCUGGUAGUGGAUGGUGUAGGGAGCCAGCUCUGUGGCCCAUUUGGCCACUCGGCCAGAAGCAUCUCGGCUUCCGAUGACCUCGGCAAGUGGGGUCGUGCAGACCAUAGUGAUUGGAUGCUCUUGAAAGUAAGGCUUCAAUUUCUUGGCAGCAAAGUGCACGACAUAGCACAUCUUCUGGUAGUGGGGGUAGUUCUGCUUGGAGGCCGACAGUACUUCGCUGAGGUAAUAUACCAGUCGCUGGACAUGUAAUGCCUUGCCUUCCUCCUUGCGUUCCACUACAAUGACUGUGCUGACUACCCGGAUGGUGGCAGCGAUGUACAGGAGCAUAGGUUCCUUAGGAGUCGGAGCCGCCAGAAUGGGUGGAGUAGUCAGCAUCUUCUUCAACUGGAGAAAAGCUUCGUCCGCCUUGUGGUUCCACUCGAAAAAGUGGUCUUCUUCAUGAGCUGGUAUAAGGGGAGAGCUUUCUCGCCUAGCCGACUAAUGAAUCGGCUGAUGGACGCCAAGCAGCCGGUGAACUUUUGCACAUCCAGCAGUCGGCUGGGUACCUCCAUCCUCUCAAUGGCCUUGAUCUUUACAGGGUUGCACUCUAUGCCGCGUUCAGAGACCAGGAAGCCAAGGAGUUGGCCGGCUGGUACUCCAAAGACGCACUUCUCAGGGUUGAGCUUGAUCUGGAAUCGGCGCAGGUUCUCAAAGGUCUCCUUGAGGUCUUCCAGCGGUGUUCCAUGCUUUUCCGUCUUCACCACCACAUCGUCCACGUAGACGUGGGCGUUUCUGCCGAGUUGCUUGAGGAGGCACUUCUGCAUGCAACGCUGAAAGGUGGCGCCGGUAUUCCUCAAGUCGAACGUCAUGGUGAGGUAGUAGAAGGCUCCAAACGGCGUGAUGAAGGUGGUCUUCAGUCUGUCAGCCGGGUUCAACUUGAUCUGGUGAUAUCCUGAAUAUGCAUCCAAAAAGCUCAACAGCUCGCAUCCGGCUGUGGAGUCUAUCACCUGAUCAAUUCUUGGUAAAGCAAACGGAUCCUUGGGGCAAGCCUUGUUGAGGCUUGUGUAGUCAAUACACAUUCGCCACUGCUUGUUCUUCUUCAGUACCAGGACCGGGUUGGCUAGCCACUCUGGAAAGAAUACUUCCAUAAUGAAGCCAGCUGCUAGGAGUCGGGCUAUCUCUUCUCCGACAACUCUUCUCUUUUCUUCUGAUAGACGGCGCAAGGGCUGCCUGACCGGCUUUGCAUCAGAUCGGACAUGUAACUUGUGCUCGGCGAAUUCCGUCGGCACACCUGGCAUGUCUUUGGGGGACCAUGAGAAGAUGUCCUGAUUCUCACGGAGGAAAUCGACGAGCUCGCCUUCCUAUUUGCUGUCGAGGUUUGCACCUACGACAGCGUACCUCUCUGGGUGCUUCGGAUCCAUGGGUAUCUUAUUUGUCUCCUUAGCCGGCUUGAACGAACCCUCAGCCUCCGACUCCUUUGGGUUAGGCGACACCUCUAGCUGCUUGCCGGCCAUCGCCACAACCCGGUCAAGGAGCCGCUUCUCGGCCGCGAUCACCAGGGACUCGACCAGCCGACUACUCUCAGCCGCACAGGCAGACGACUUCCGGUAGUCGCCGGCUACGGUCAGAAUCCCCCUGGAACUGGGCAUCUUCAUUUUGAGGUAGGCGUAGUGGGGGACCGCCAUGAACUUGGCCAGGGUGGGUCGGCCAAGUAAUGCAUGGUAUGGGCUCUCGAGGUCCACCACCUCAAACCAAACUAACUCUCGGCAGAAGUGAUCUUUGUCUCCAAAGAGGACGUCCAUCAGGAUCUUGCCGAUUGGUGAGCAGGAAAGCCCAGGAACAAUGCCAUGGAACACAGUCCGGCUGUUCUGAAGCUGUCUUUGCUUGAUUCCUAACUUCUCCAUGGUGUCCUUGUACAGGAUGUUGAUGCUGCUGCCUCCGUCUAUCAGAACUCGCGAGAAACGAGCAACUCGUCUAUCCGUGGCAAAGGUGGCAUCCAAGACCAAGGCACAAGAGCCCGGACUCGGCAUCACCUCUGGGUGAUCAGCCCUGCUCCAGCUGAUAGGCUCCUCAGACUAGUGCAUGAACUCUGGCAUCUCUGAUGCUACUGCAUUCACCUCUUGUCGCUGCAGACGCCUACUGUGUCGAUCAUCAGCCACGCUGGUAAAUAUCACGUAGGCUCCAUGCUCUUCGGGGUACUCGUCUUGUACUGCACCGACUGGCCUGACAGCCGGCUGCUGGGGCGGAGGCGGAGGCUGCUGCCCAGCAGGCGGGGAAGGUAGGAGGCCGUCUCCUUUGGCGAUCCUGGUGAGCCAGUGGCACUUCCGAGUGGUGUGAUUCGACGGCUUCGUGCCGCUAUGGAACUUGCAAGGACCAUCUAGAGUCUGCUCGUAUGAGAAAGCCGGCAACCAGUUGGGCUUGCCAGCUUUCUGUCGCUUGGGCGGAGGCUGCCCAUCCGGCUGCUGGUCUUCAACUGUCGCCACCUGCCGGCUGCUGGAAGCCGGCUGCAGGGCCUUGCGCUUGUGGUCGUUCUGCCGUUGCCGCCGACUGACAUCUCCUGCCAGAGUUCUUGGAGCCUGAGGGGCCACUUUGCCAGUUGCGCUAACUUGAAUCUCCGCCUUCAUGGAUGAGUCGGCCGUGGCAUACUUGUCUGCUAUGAUCAGCAGCUCGUCGAGGGUUUCUGGCUCGUCGCAGAGGAGCUUGUGCUUGAGGAGGGUGCCUUCUCUGCACUCGGCGGUGAAGUACUCGAUAGCCUGCACCUCGUGCACGCCCUCGCAGGAGUUCCGAAGCUCGGCCCAACGCGUGAGGUAGUCGCGAGUCGACUUGUUGGGGCCUUGCAUGCACAAGGAAAGCUGACGAGGCUUGGGAGGACGCUUGUACGUGCUUGUGAAGUUGCGGAUGAAUGCAUCGGUGAAGUCGACCCAGCUAUUGAUGUUGCGGGGCUUCAGGCUGUUCAGCCAUGUCCAGGCCGUGCCCUGGAGCAUGAGCGGAACGUAUUUUAUGGCGACACGCUUGUUGCCGUUCUCUAUGUUGACGGCCGUGGAGUAGUCGACCAGCCAGUCCUCCGGCUUCACGGAGCUGGUGUACUUGGGUGUGUCUCUUGGGAGCGCGAACCCUUUGGGGAAGGGCUCGUCUGGAAUGCGGGGCCCGAAACAAGGCGGACCCAACUUGUCUUCUUCUUCCAGCACCAGGGAUUGGUGAAGUCGGUCGAUCCGGUGGCGGGCGUCGUUUUGUCCGACUCCCUCUCGGCGACCAAGGCGGUCGCCGAGAGUCGGAUUGUCAACAGGCGGCGGGGAGACUCGCCUUUCCUUGCAAGGAGGAGGAGGCGGACAGUCGUCCCGUUGUUCCACCGCCCGUGGGCGGCCGUCUUGGUCGCGCUCUAUGGUAAUGUGAGUCCAACUGUGGCUGACAGCCGGAUCCUUGUCUUUCCUUCCUUGGGUACCACCAGUCGGCGUCCGAGACGUCGCGCCUUGAUCUCGGCGUGGAGGCGAGUCGUCGUUUUGUCGCUGCGGCACCUCCGUGCGGCAGCCGGCCUCGUUCUGCGCGGCAGCCGCGUCGAGGAGCCGCUGGACUCGCUCCGUCAUCAGGCGGCGCUCUGCGCCCUCGAAGUUGUCCAGCUCAUCCGCCGCCGCCUUGGCGGCUCGAAUGUUCUCCGCAGGUGUGGCGUACACAUGGUGAUUUGCGCCGAACAGGUUGGCGAUGGCCACGCCGCGCUGCUGGACCGCGCCAAGGCGGCUGGGCCAGCUGGGGCCGGCGAGCCACCCACAGCGCGAUCCAUCUCACGCUGGUAGGCUUCUGACAAGCAUCUCAUGCUAGCCAGCUUCUUUGUGCCUUCGACGAGCUGAAGGCGGCGCGCCUCCAACGUCUCCGCGUCAGCGUCUUCUGGAAUGGGCGCAGUCAGGUCUUGUAGUGCCGCGCCAAGUGGGUCAUGCGCUCCUCCACCGGGAGGCUCGUCAUGACCGAUGACGAGGACCUCGGUGACGGUGCUUCUGUCACUCUCCACGCGAGGGAGAGGCUCGUCGUAGACCACCACGUUGGUGGGGAACGCGUCGAGCGACGCGGUGUCGGAGUCGACCAGCAUCGGGUCGGUGGAGCCUACAGACUCCAAGUCCACGGCAGGCUCGCCGGCAACGUGGAGUUUGUCGAGGAGGCCCGCGAGGAGGCUCUCGGGGCCGCCCGUGCCUGCGUUGGAUGCAGGUUCGUCGGAGAGGCGAACCUCGCCGACAAGAUCGGCGAGGCAGCUGGCUACGUAGGCGAUCUCAACGCAGUGCAGCGCGUCAGCGCAAACUCCGUCUUGCGUGCCGGGCUGGCUGCGCUCGCCAGGGAGGAAAAGGGUUCCCGUCCAGAGCAGGUCUCCGGACGACGGUGCACCACGCCCCAUGGUGGGCGCCAAAUGUCAGGGGUUGGGUGCGACAUAUGCCAAAGGAUGGCUUAUCAUGGUGGGGGCGAGUAGAACGUCGCCGGUGCCUGGAAACGGGAUAAGGCAAAGACAUGCACGCCGGCGAAUCUUACCCAACUUCAGGGCUCUCCGGGGAGAUAAUACCCCUGCUGCUGCUCUACGGGGUCUCUACAUGAUCACUAUGGCAAAGUGUUUACACGGUUGCUCCUCGAGCUGUUUCCUGGAGGUAGGAGAAGGCAAGGCUAGCUCUCUCCUUCCUAUAUGAUCUGGUCUAGUGCUAAUGGAUUCCAACCCUUUGCAUGGAUGCCCUGGGGGGUUUAUAUAGGCCUACCCCCAGGGGUACAAUGGUAAUCCGGCUGGGCGCGAGCCCAUCCAUCAGUCUCUCUGGCCGCCGUCUUAUCCGCCGACACUUGGGGCCCGCCGACUGGCUCGGUACGGAGCCGACAGGCCGCGUCCGCCGCGGGGGGUCUUGCCGGCUGCAGAUUACUGUAGCCGUGCCUCUAAUGACGCAGGCUCGGUCAUGAGGUCAUGGUGACAGCUCCGCCGUCUGGCGAGCGAUCACUGUGGCCACUACUUGUCGUGUCUGAUUAAUGGCGCGUGGGACCCAUGGGAGGGGCCGGCCGACUUCUGGUGGCCGACUCCCAUCCGGGCCGGCUGGUGGUGCUUUCGCCGUCUUUCGUACGCCCGCCGACUGGUGGGACCCAUCAUCCCUGGGUUGUACCAGCAGGCCAUCGUGGGCACAGGGCUCCGCCCCCUGGGGCUGAUGUCAGGGCCGACAUGGCAAUAAUGUCGCGCCGUGCAGAGAUCUCCACGGGUACGGCAUACUGUAGCCACGCCUGCCCUUGGAAAAGGGGUGGGAGUGGACCUUACUGUGGCCACUCCCCAUCCCGUCCCUCUUUAUGAGGGCAUGGGGGUUGUUGGUGUCACGGGCCGACUCCCCAAGGCCGGCUUCUUUGGAAGUCGCCAGUCAGGAGUCAGCUCAUCCUGAAGUCGUCCCUAGGACUCGGCCACGAGUGGGCAGCCAGCCGCCUCACCGCCGACUCUCAGAAGGCGGCUCUUCGUCCUGGGGUCUCGAGGGGCGCAGUCUGCCUCAAUGUCUUGAAAGGUUCUGGGCUUGGGUUAGCCUACCCGUGGCUAAUUACUCCGACAGCCCAGCUAAACCGGGGCACAAUCACAGUAGUUCUCCCAGUGCUACCUUAGCCGAUAUAGCGGAACGUAAGGUACCAAAACAUGGGAGCCGGGCAAACCCAACUAUUGACCCAAGACAUGAUUCGGAGCUGAUGCAUAUAAUGCUAUAAGUUCGGGGUGCCGCACUGUCGAAAGUGUUCGUACUUCUCACACCGUAUUAUGGGGUACGCUUAAGCCCCUGACGUAUUGGCCGUACCAGAGUGUACGGGUGCUGAAUGUCAUAAAUGAACAUAUAUAUAUAUAUAAGAAAGAAUAUAGAAUGCGGUAAUAGUGUAGUGCUAUGCAUUGUUUAUUCAAAAAGGUGCAUCGAACCAGAAUGAUACAAGUUAUGCGAUAAGCAAAAAGUAGGACUAUAUGACAUGUCCCCUCCAAGGGCAACCUGAGGAAUGGUAUUUAAAGCAGGUAUUUCACUCGUUAUUAGAGACCACCUGGGAGUUCCGUGGUGCGACAUAGCUUUCUGCCUCCUUGGUUGUUGCAUCGUGUGUCCGACCAUCGUACUGCCGGACGGGGUUUCCAGAUAUUAAAGUCCUGAAAGAGAGAAAAAUAACAAAGCGGGAAGCCCCUAGUGCGGUUGAGCCGCGUCUUGGGACAUGCCAUAGUCGUGCCCCCCUCCCCACGUGUGCCCAUGGUACUUUCAAUGCGUAAUUAUGCACGCGUGGCACAGAUUUCACCGUUUGGCUGGGACUGGGGUGGGGGCCGCGUUGCUAUGCGAGCUCGGAACGUGCUAGGCGGUCUUGUUGUCGAUUACUCCGCGCGCGCUUGAAGGUGUCUGGGUCUUUGAUCGCCGAACUGGUGGAUUGCCUUAAGAGGCUGCUUUGCGCUUCUGCUGCGAGGGCCGCAGUGUGCUCCUCCAUGCGGAGAGAGCGCUCUGUGUUUCCAUUGACUGUGAUGACCCCCCGAGGUCCUGGCAUCUUGAGCUUGAGAUGUGAAUAGUACGGUACUGCGUUGAAUCUCGUGAAUGCGGUUCGCCCGAGCAGUGCAAGAUAGCCACUGCGGAACGGGACUAUAUCGAAGAUUAACUCCUCGCUUCGGAAGUUAUCCGGGGAUCCGAAGACCACUUCCAGUGUGACUGAGCCUGUACAAUGGGCCUCUACACCUGGUAUGACGCCUUUGAAGGUCGUUUCUGUGGGUUUGAUCCUUGAGGGGUCUAUACCCAUUUUGCACAUUGUGUCCUGAUAAAGCAGGUUUAGACUGCUGCCACCGUCCGUAAGGACUCGAGUGAGGUGAAAUCCGUCGAUGAUUGGGUCUAGGACCAGUGCAGUGAAUCUGCCAUGAUGGAUACUAGUGGGGUGGUCCCUACGAUUGAAGGUGAUCGGACAGGAGGACCAUGGGUUGAACUUUGGGGCGACUGGAUCCAACGCAUAUACGUCCCUUAACGCACGCUUCCGCUCCCUCUUAGGGAUGUGGGUUGCGUAUAUCAUGUUCACCGUCCGCACUUGUGGGGGAACCUCUUCUGUCCUUCGGUGUUUGGCUGCCGGGGCUCUUCAUCGUCAUCGCUAUGUAGCCCCUUGUCUUUGUUUUUGGCGUUUAACUUGCCGGCCUGCUUGAACACCCAACAUUCCCUGUUGGUGUGGUUGGCUGGCUUGUCAGGGGUGCCAUGUAUUUGGCAUGAGCGAUCGAGUAUACGAUCCAAACUGGACGGGCCCGGAGUGCUUCUUUUGAAUGGCUUUUUCCCCUGACCGGGUUUAGAGCCUCUGAAUCCGGCAUUGACUGCCGUAUCUUCGGUAUUGUCGCUGUUGACGCGACGCUUAUGUUUGUUGCGACGUGACCUGCCAUUGCUAUCCUUGGUAUCUGAAGUACCGUGGUUCUUUGAUAUGUUAUUGCUGCGAGCCAGCCAACUGUCUUCUCCCACACAAAAGCGGGUCGUGAGUAUUGUGAGGGCUGCCAUAGAUUUUGGCUUUUCCUGGCCAAGGUGCCGGGCGAGCCACUCGUCGCGGAUGUUGUGCUUAAAAGCUGCUAGGGCCUCUGCAUCCGGACAGUCGACAACUUGAUUUUUCUUUGUCAGGAACCGUGUCCAGAAUUGCCUGGCCAAUUCCUCUGGCUGCUGAAUUAUGUGGCUCAAGUGAUCGGCAUUUGGUGGUUGCACAUAAGUGCCCUGGAUGUUGUCGAGGAAUGCGGCUUCCAGAUCUUCCCAACAGCCAAUGGAUUCUGCUGGCAGGCUGUUGAGCCAAUGCCGAGCUGGUCCUUUGAGCUUGAGUUGGACACUACUGGGAAAAGGCAUGCUAGUGGCGCACCAGUUUUGCCUACUAAUGGCGCACUACUGGUGCGCCACUAGCAUCACGCCAUUAGAAUUAAAUUCUAAUGGCGCACCAUCGGUGCGCCAUUAGUAUCUGGUGUUCUAAUGGCGCACCACGUAGUGCGCCAUUAGUAUAGCCCAUAGUGCGCCAUUAGAAUGCCUCCCGGGGGGCAUAUGUACCCAUGUGCUUUGGCAUACUAAUGGCACACCAGUGGGUGAUGCGCCAUUAGUGUGAUUAUCACAGUGCGCCAUUAGUGUCUUGUGUGGUGCGCCACUAGUAUGAAUAUUAGGGAUUUUUUUUCAUUUCUGAUAUUUACACAGGUUACAAAAUAUAUUAUUGUAUAGAAUUUAGACAACAGCACACAGCAACAACAUAUUCAUCAAAUACAAUAGAAGAUUAGCCUCCGAAUACAAUUCAUCAUAUUAGUCUCCGAAUUCAAAAGACCGAACAAAGAUAGAACAUUACAAGUCUCGAGACCGCGAGUAGCGAGUUUGUCUUCACAUUACAAGUCGAUAUCGAUCAUCUAAACCACCAUCACAUAGAAGAGAGCUGCGGUCAUCACGAUGAGUAUCAUCGCGAUGAAACUGGUCUUCAUCCGGUUCCUCCAACGCUCCCUCCUCUCUCCCGCUAGAUAGCGGCGUAUCUAGAUUCCGCCUCCGCCCUAGUGGUGUACCCUUUGUAACUGUUACCGCUGAAAUGGUGAACCUGUCUCCGACACUCAUCCCAGUUGUCGUAGACUCCAGGAACCUUACCCUUGUACACGACAUACGACGGCAUCUCUAUGCACAAGCCAAACAACAGACAAUACAUAAGCAAUAUAUAAGUAUGCAACAAAAGGAUCGGAAGAGAAAAGCAAGACAUUAAUAGCACGAUUCAUGGUCCUACUAAUAAAUAGCAUCGAUUACAUCUAAGUUGAACGACUGUCCAGACCAAAGAGACAUACAAGUUCAUUAAAGUUUAAUUACAACAUGAGCCAAUCAAUGUUUCAGAACUACACAUAGCAUCGUCGACUCGACUCAUGGGACCGGAGCGUGGAUGAAGCCGCCGUUUGUCUUGAUGGUCAUGAAAUCGCGGGCGUUGUCAGCCUGCAUUUGUAGCGUUCCGUCUAUCUCACUGUUGGACGGUUCAUAUCUGAGGUAGAACUGCCUCGAGGUAUGAAGGAUAUCUUGAUGGACGAUGUCCGCAAACUCCUACUGGAUGCGAAAGAAUUCUUGUCUGAUGUCCGCCUGGAUUGCCGACAAGCUCGCGGCCCAAUCUUUGAGAUUAUCUGGUAGCAGAAGGUGAUGAUGGUCCCUUACGAUCGCCCGCACGUGAUGGAGUGUCACACCCUAGCUAGUCAUGCAUUAGAGUGUUGCAUCAUGUUUACUCUUUCAUCAGAAACUUGAAAUGGGGAUGACAGAACCCCCAGUCCCCUCUGAUAACCAACUAGGGUUUACUAAAAUAAUUUUCAAUGAACCUGAAAUGCCCUUCUAAAAUGCCCAUCAUUUUUGCCUUGGUUCAGAACCUCUGCCAAAAAUGGUGCACACUUUUCUAGGCCAUCCUAGGGUUCUUGAGUUAAAUCAUAACUAUUUGAAUUUGGGCAUUUAAAAUAAUAUAAAAUAUUUAAAUGUUCAAAUAUCUCCAAACUAAAAUGUUUCAUGUUGGAAAUAUUCCAACUAUGGACCAGGAGUAGUUUGGUGAUUUUUGGAGUUGCCUAGGUAUUUUAUUUAAUUCAACAAAGUUGCAGAAAUAUUAAAUAAAACAGAAAACAGAAAAUAAAUAAAGGGAGAAGCUUACCUGGGCUCCUCCCUGUUCAGCCCAGCCAGCUGGCCGGCCCAGCCCAGCACUGUAGCUCCCCGUCGUCUUCCUCCCCACGCCCCGAAGCUGCUGCGUGCUCGCGCGCGCGCGGCCGCGCGGCCACCUCCUGCUUGCCGACGCCCCCCUGGCCGCGUGGACGACGCCCGCAGCCGUCCCGAUCCCCCUGCUCUCGCUCACUCUCCCCCGUUUCUCCCUCGCUCUCUCUCGCUCUCGGCCGAACACCACCGUUGCCGCCGUCCGCCGUAGCCACUGACUCCGGCCACCCCUCGCUUCCCCGAGUAGCUCAGAAGCUCCGCCUCGACUCCCUCUUCCUCCCCACCGCUCCACGAGUCCCCGGAAGCCCUGCAUUGCCGCCACGUCGCCGUUCCCCUCUUCGGACUCCGACCACCGUCGCCGACGAAUUCGCCGUCUCCAGCGCGUCCCCGAGCCCGCUUCGACGCCCACUGCAACCGCGGUGAGCCCCCGAGCCGUUUCCCCCUCUCCUUCCCCUCGUUCCCUCACCGUAGCUGCAUCCCCACCUCGGCCGAACCUCCGCCGUCGCCAAGCUCGCCGUCGACGCAGCUCCGGUGACCAUUUGGUCACCCCGGCGAGUCCAACGCGUUCACAGAACCCAGUAGAGCAUCCCUAGCGCCUCACCUUGCUCGACUUCGAGCUCCAGCACCACUCCCGUGCACGACCGAACCCCGGCGGCCGCAUCCGAGCUCGCCGCCGUCGACUCCGGCCACCCCGACCCCAACGGACUCCGCCAAGAGCCGCGGGUCGUCCUCAGCUUCACUCCGGUGGUCGCCACGUUCCAUUUGGUGGCCGAAACGACCAAAACCACUAUCGCCGCCGCACUGUUGGUCGCCGCCGGCCAGAACUCCGGCGAGCUGACGUGGCCUAGUUGAUUAACCACUAAUCCAUCACCUACUGACGCUGACAAGUGGGCCCCAGGGGUUAGUCAAAGCUAACCAGCCCGGGGUCAACGCGGGAUUAGCACCUGGUCACUGACGUGUGGACCCCACACGUCAGGUUUGACCCGAGCCAGCCCUGUUGACCUGCUGAUGUCAUCAUGAUGUCAGGCUGACGCAGUAAAUGAUAUUUCUGGAUUUAAUUAAAUCAGGAAAUUCCAGAAUAUUAUUUAAACUUCAAAAAUUCAUAACUUUUAUUCUGUAACUCCAAAUUGGACAAAUAAUAUAUGAAAAAUGAUCAGAAAAAUCCAAUCUAUCCAUCUGUACUAUUUUCAUGCAUGAUCAAACAAGUUAACUUGAUGUUUCAAUCAGAACAAGAAAAGGCACCUUAAAAGGCCAUAUUUGAAUUUGGAAUUUGAAUCUUUGAUUCAAAUUUGCUCAAACACUUCUGGCUUUAGUUGCAUUAGCCUAACACACUCAUAUUGCCAUGUUUCAUGCAUGCAUCAUAUUGUUGCACAUUGUUUGGUGAUGCCUGUGUAUCGUUAUCCUUUGCGACAGGAUCUGUCCCCGAGGAGUACCGUGAUUACCCUAACGAGGAAUCGUAUCCAUGCAACGAACCAUCAGGCAAGCAACCAACCAUUUGACCAUAUCGAUACAAUCCCAUGUUCUCGCUCCUGCUCUCUUUUACUGCAUUAAGACAACGCGAUUCAAACUGCUGUGUGCUACGGUAGUUGAACCCAUUUCCUCUGCAUGACCUGUCAUUGCCACAGUAACUAGAUGAAACCCACUAGCAUGUGUAGGAGUUGAUUGAGCCCUAUGUAUGUGUUGUUCCUACCUUGCUAUGCCUGCUAUGCUUAGAGUCGUGUCAGGUCUGGUUCAUCUGGGUGAUGGACUAGAGUGAAAUGAUUAUGUCGGUAAUGAGAGUGGCGUGGUGAACACGAUUUGGUAGAGGUAUCGAUGAGAGGCCAUGUAGGAGUACAUGGUGGGUUGUUUCAUUGAAGCCGACCUUAAGCACUGAGAUCUGUAUGUGUGAUUUAAGAAUCAGCUACUACCAUGCAUUGGGCCCGAAACCAAUGGACCCUCUCGACUUCUUAUUCACCCUAGUUCUCCGUCCAGGAGUUGCAAGUAGUUUCUGGUGUUUGUAGCCUACUGGAGGCCGUGGACAGUGCUGACCGUAGGGGUGGGCUGUGAUGCGGUAGGUACGUGGCCGGGUGUACCGAAUACCCGUUAGGUAUCUCGGGAACCCUGUUCACAUCGUUCGGGGCCGUAUGGGAAACCUCGGCCGGACUCCCUGCGGAUGGAACCUGAAUAGGCGAUAAACCUGGACUGGAAGCUUAGGUGAUUGGGUAGGUCGUGGCCGACACCCACGUUGGGCUUCCGCUUGAAGGUUGCCGAGUACAUGUCGUGUAAACGACGAUAAGUGGUGAGAGCGUGUAUGAAGAAGUACACCCCUGCAGGGUUAACAUGAUCUAUUCGAAUAGCCGCGUCCGCGGUAAAGGACUACUUGGUUGCCUAUACAGUUCAUAGACAAGUAAAUGGAAACUAUUAAAAGCCUCAAGAUAAGUGUGAGUGCCGAGGAGGGCUCUUCCGUAGGAAAACGGGAGUGGAUCCUCGGUAGUGUAUUGAAGUGGUGAGUAGUGGACUCGUGUGCGCAAAACAUUUCAAGUUGGUGUAUCGUAGGAUAGUCUAGCCAAGAGUCAAAGCUGGCUUGCUGCAAUAACUCCACCAACCCUUCUUGAUACUAUGCAUGUAUGUAGGAUCUGAUGUAAGUCUUGCUGAGUACCUUUGUACUCAUGUUGCUAUAAUCUAUAUUUUUACAGAAGACGCUGCAACCCCUUCUGAUGGGUUCUAUGUAGACGUUGACAUCAACGAGUAGGCUAAAGACCCAGGUGGUGACCCUGAGCUUGUGAAGGACCACGUAGUAUAGUUAGGCUUCCAAUGCCUCUUUUAUUUACUAGUUGUCUGUACUCAGACAAGUUACUUCCGCUGUUGGCUUGUAUGACUGUAUGACUUGUAUGUUGGGUCGUGAGACCCGUACCUUUGUGUGUAUGUUAUGUAUGGCUCACUGAGCCUUAAAUAAAGUACUUGUGUCGUAGAGUCAUGUUGUGAUGCUUCGUUGUAUUUGCACAUAUCGAGCAUAUUGUGUGUAUGAUUGAAAUGCUUGGUAUGUGUGGGAUCUGACUAUCUAGUUGUUUAUCUUUAGUAGCCUCUCUUACCGGGAAAUGUCUCCUAGUGUUACCGCUGAGCCAUGGUAGCUUGCUACUGCUCUGGAACACUUAGGCUGGCCGGCAUGUGUCCUUCUUCGUUCCUGUGUCUGUCCCUUCGGGGAAAUGUCACGCUUUGAGUACCGGAGUCCUGUUAGCCCGCUACAGCCCGGUUUACCAGAGUCCUGCUAGCCCAGUGCUACAGCCCGGACCCAUUUGCUGAUGACCGACACGUUCGGAGCUGGGUCAUGGAUGCCUGUCCCUGUAAGUCUGUGCCACUUUGGGUUUACGACUAGUCAUGUCAGCCCGGGCUCUUUAUCAUAUGGAUGCUAGCGACACUAUCAUAUACGUGAGCCAAAAGGCGCAAACGGUCCCGGGCAAAGGUAAGGCGACACCCGUGGGAAUACCGUGCGUGAGGCCGCAAAGUGAUAUGAGGUGUUACCGGCUAGAUCGAUGUGACAUCGAGUCGGGGUCCUGACAGCGUUGGCAUCAGAGCCGGACUGCCUGUAGGUUCUCCAAGCCAAACUGGUCGAUGUUGAGUCUAGAAAUUCUUUAGUUAUAUGUAGGGGAAUUGUUUGUGGGUUGGAACGUAAGGCUCUUUUUACUCCUUAUAUCUUAUGACAUUCUGAUCUGAGUCAGUCCAUUCUUCCACCGGGGGUUAAGGAAUUAGGAUCUGUUCUCUCUAUCAGGAUCACGUGUUACUGAUCAGUAGUACCUUAUAAGUUUGAUGGUUACAAGCCUAGUUCAGUUCUACUACCACAUUAUGUUGUUAGAAUGGUUCCAGAACUUGAUAUGAUGAUGUUGAGUGUGUACGAAAUCCUUUGUCAAAUGUCUCAAUAUCCUUUUUGAGCAUUUACAGCUGUUAUGCUGCCGAAAUUUUGCUAGAAAUUCUAAUGCCUUUGCAUUAUAACUGUGCUUUCAGAUGGCCACUCGCGACCUCAAUCAAGUGGUUCGCCUGACUCGAUGCCUAGAUGUACCCGGCCAUACUGCUAAGUUGGUCAGGGUAAUGACUGAGGCUGGAUACCGCUGGUAUCCUGAAUACACGGUCGAAGAGCAAUUCCGAGAUUUUAAUCAAAGCCAGUAUCUCUGCACUGUCAGGAUAUUUCCUUCUUAUCCUGGAUCCACUGAGCCUCUUCACUGCUCCUAUGGACUCGGGGUUACUAUCGAGAUGGCUGUGCAGGAUGCCGCCUACUCUAUGAUGACCAUUAUGCGAGUCAGAUCUGGGUUAUUUCGGGACUCUGACUUCCGGUAUAUGCCAGGAUCACUUCCGGGAGCACAAGGAUAUUUUCAGGCUAUAUAUGCUGACUCCACUCAGGAGGAUUCACGGACUCGCACCACUGCUGAGAUGCUCGAGGAUAAGGACCGUGAAAAUCGGGCCUUAAGGUUAGAGCUCUUCAAUACCCGUGCUGACCACUGGGCCACUUUGACUCGGUUCGCACCGGCAGUGCAAGCUGGAUAUUCAGAUAUGCGCGAUCUCUAUCCUGUGAGAUCUGCUCUGCCAGACGUGAUGGUUUGGCGUGAUGUAGGAGGCAUCACCCCAUCUCGCGGUCCCCGCAGGCCACCGUUUGCUGGUCCAAGACCUCAUCCUAGCCCCUAUGGUCCACAAGCUCCGCGAGACCGUCUGUUUCCGGAUGAUCAUGUUGAACUUCCGGGCUAUGGAGGUGACUUCUACGAGGACUACUACGGAUCGGUCUGAGUUAGUAGUAGUAUCACUAGUUCGCACUAGCUGUGUCGUCUGUCGUCCCGCGUGACUCGUGGGAUAUGACCUAGUUUGUACUCUUCUGGAGUUGUAGAAAAAUAAUGUAUAGGAGUUUGGAAUGCCUCCGAUGAGAUGUAAUCCCUUUUCACCGUAAUAGUACUUUGUUUGGUCUUGUACUAAACCUUGUAUGGUGUGUAUGACGAUGGAAUAAAGAAGCAGUUUCUGUAUCUACCAUGUCAUACGGAUGAUCAUCUUGCAUUCCGAGUUAUUCCUUGCAUUAUGUAUCCUAUGUCGGAAUUUUAUCAUUCUGACUAAAUCAUUGGCUUGUUUACCUAGGAUGGUCAACACGCGCGCCAACCCUGCUUCUCAAGAGCAGGCCGAAGGCAGUGAAGCCAGAAAUGAAAAUCUGCCUCAUCCUCCUUCACUAGCCGAGGUGAUGAUGGAAGCUGAGAGAAACAAGCGGGAGACAAACCGUUUGUUGGAGCGUAUUGAACAGAAUACAGCACACCAUCAGAGGGCUAACGUGGUGUCACUCAGUGAUUUUAUUAAAUUGCAUCCACCCACGUUCCACCACUCCGUCGAGCCUCUCGACGCCGAUGACUGGCUUCGCAGUAUCUCUCACAAGCUGCGUUCCGCGCUGGUAGCGGAGGCUGACAAGGUCACCUUUGCCGCAUAUCAUCUUGAAGGCCCCGCCAGUCUAUGGUGGGAGAAUUAUGGAGCUAUGCGCCCAGCGGGCCAUGUCACAACUUGGGCUGAAUUCAGUGAGGCUUUCCGUGAACAUCACAUUCCGGAGGGUCUCAUGGACCGUAAGCGUGAAGAAUUUUGCAAUUUCACCCAAGGCCGACUUUCUGUGGAUGUCUAUAGCAGGGAGUUUGGUAAUCUUGCACGAUAUGCAACCGAGGAAGUUUCUACUGACGCCAAGAAGCAAGCAAGGUUCCGUAAGGGCCUUAGUCCUGAGCUUCGUCGCGACCUCCGUCUGCAUGAGUGCACAUCUUUUUCGAAACUUGUCAACAAAGCCAUCAGUGCUGAAACUGGUCAGACUGAUUAUGAUGCAACACGCAAGCAUGGACGUGACAUGGGUUCCUCAUCCGGUGCUGGUCCUCAGAAGCGCCGCGUGUGGGUACCCAAUACCGCCCUGCCACCCAGGUUCACACCGAGGCCAUCUUUUCAGGCGCCUCGCCCUGUUCAACAGUCUGCACCAGCCAAGUCCUAUGGGGGUCCAACCAAUAAUGCUCCUCCACGUACCAGUUCCGUGACUUGUUUCAAGUGUGGGGAAUCUGGUCAUUAUAUGCGUGAGUGUCCCCAGACCAACCCCAAUCAAUCUGCUAAAGCUGUUGGCCGUGGCAAGCCGACAGGGAAGGUGUUCCAUGCCAAACCGGUCACCGCUUCACGUGGCCAUGUCAACUGUGUCUCUGCCGAAGAAGCUCAAGAGGAUCCCAACGUCGUUCUCGGUACGCUUCUUGUUAAUUGCCACCCGGCAUCUGUUCUUUUCGAUACAGGAGCCUCUCAUUCCUUUAUAUCUGAAAAUUAUGCUCGUUUGCAUAACGUUGCAUUCUGUGAUCUGCCGUCCACUAUGGAAAUCUCUACCCCUGGGUCUAGAUGGCAGACCUCUAGGGUAAGUUAUGGAAAUGAAAUCCAAGUCGACAGACUUGUUUUUCUCGCAUCUUUGAUAGCCCUUAAAUCUUCAGACAUUAAUAUCAUUUUGGGUAUGGACUGGAUGUCAGCUCAUCAUGCCAAAAUCGAUUGCUUCUCUAGGACCGUUCAACUCACCCAUCCUUCGGGGAAGAUAGUCAAUGUUUUGACUCGAAUAGCCAAGCAACAAUUAUAUUCUCUUAACGCCAGCCCUUUGCCAGACCUUGAGGACGUUCCGGUAGUCCGUGACUUUCCGGAUGUCUUUCUAGAGGAAUUGCCAGGUGUUCCACCUGACAGGGAUGUUGAGUUCGUAAUAGACCUCAUUCCAGGUACCGUUCCGAUUGCUAGAAGACCUUAUAAGAUGGCACCCCUAGAACUAGCCGAGCUUAAGAAACAACUCGAUGAGUCCUUGAAAAAGGGUUUCAUCCGCCCUAGUUCCUCUCCGUGGGCUUGCCCCGUCCUAUUCGUCAAGAAGAAAGAUGGAACGGACCGGAUGGUUGUAGAUUACCGACCUGUCAAUUUGGUCACAAUCAAGAACAAAUAUCCACUUCCCAGGAUCAACGAUCUAUAUGAUCAGCUCGCUGGAUCCUCAGUCUUCUCCAAGAUGGAUUUGAGGUUGGGCUACCAUCAAAUCAAAAUCAGAAACGGGGACAUUCCUAAAACGGCUUUUGUUACUCGCUAUGGUCAAUACGAGUACACCGUUAUGUCCUUCGGUUUAACCAACGCUCCAGCCACUUUUUCUCGGUUAAUGAACUCAAUCUUCAUGGAGUAUUUGGAUAAAUUCGUCGUAGUUUAUCUCGAUGAUAUACUCAUCUACUCCAAGAACGAGGAAGAACAUGCCGAACAUCUAAGGCUAGUGUUGCAGAAACUUCGAGAGCAUCGCCUUUAUGCCAAAUUUUCUAAAUGUGAAUUCUGGUUAUCAGAAGUGACCUAUCUGGGUCAUGUAAUAUCUGGUAAAGGUAUUGCUGUUAACCCUGAGCGAGUUCAAGCCGUUCUUAAUUGGACUCCACCCGAAUCGGUCAAGCAAGUUCGGAGUUUUCUAGGCUUAGCGAGCUAUUGCCGUCGCUUUGUCGAGAACUUCUCCAAAGUUGCUAAACCUCUAACCGAACUCCUCAAGAAAGAUAAGAAGUUCGAAUGGACCCCACAAUGUGAGCACAGCUUUCAGGAACUGAAAAGACGCCUGACUUCUGCUCCCGUGCUGGUACCACCAGACUUCUCCAAAGACUUUGUUAUUUACUGCGACGCCUCGCGACAAGGACUAGGUUGCAUCCUUAUGCAAGAUCGACACGUAAUUGCUUACGCUUCACGGCAAUUGGACCCACAUGAGGAGAAUUAUCCUACUCAUGAUCUAGAACUUGCAGCCGUAGUCUAUGCCCUUAAGACCUGGCGACAUUACCUCCUCGGUAAUCGUUGCGAAAUAUUCACUGAUCACCAAAGCCUGAAGUACAUUUUCACCCAACCGGAUUUGAAUCUCAGGCAAAGACGUUGGGUUGAAUUAAUCACAGACUUCGACUUAGGGAUAACCUAUACCCCAGGGAAAGCCAACGUCAUGGCUGAUGCGCUAAGUCGUAAAUCUUAUUGUAACAACCUGAUGUUACAACAAAGUCAACCGCUUCUCCAUGAGGAAUUUCGGAAGCUUAACCUUCACAUUGUACCUCAAGGUUUUCUCUCCACCUUGGUGGCAAAACCUACCCUUACGGAUCAAAUCAUCAAAGCACAGAAGGUAGAUCCGGGAAUCUCCCGCAUCAAGAGGAAUAUUCAGAAAGGAAUUGCGAAUUGUUUCUCCGUUAAUGAUCAAGGAGUCGUGUACUUCGGGGAUCGAUUAGUAGUUCCCAAAGUGCGCAACCUAAGGCGAAUAAUCCUUAAGGAAGCCCAUGAAUCUCCUCUCACCAUUCAUCCCGGUAGUACUAAAAUGUAUCAGGACCUACGCCAGAGGUUCUGGUGGACUAGGAUGAAGAGAGAAAUUGCUCAGUAUAUUGCCAAUUGCGACGUCUGUCGUCGUGUAAAAGCAGAGCAUCAACGGCCUGCUGGCACCCUUCAACCCUUAGCUAUUCCUGAAUGGAAAUGGGAUAAAAUUGGUAUGGAUUUCAUUACCGGUUUUCCCAGGACCAAAAGAGGGAAUAAUGCUAUUUUCGUCGUGGUCGAUCGUCUUUCCAAAGUAGCUCAUUUCUUACCUGUUCGUGAGAGUAUAACCGCUAGUCAGCUGGCAGAUUUGUACAUCUCCCGAAUAGUGUCUCUCCAUGGUGUUCCUUUGGAAAUCAAUUCGGAUCGAGGAAGUCUUUUCACCUCUCGAUUUUGGGAAAGUUUCCAAAAUGCUAUGGGAACCCGUCUCUCCUUUAGCACCGCUUUCCACCCUCAGUCGAGUGGUCAAGUGGAACGCGUCAAUCAGAUUCUAGAAGACAUGCUUCGAGCCUCCGUUAUCUCUUUCGGAAUGGACUGGGAGAAGUGCCUUCCAUUUGCCGAAUUCGCUUACAACAACAGCUAUCAAUCUAGCUUGGGUAAAGCCCCUUUUGAAGUUCUCUAUGGACGACGAUGUCGAACACCCCUUAACUGGUCAGAGACCGGGGAAAGACAAUUCUUUGGCCCGGAUAUGAUUCAGGAAGCAGAAGAACAAGUUCGUAUCGUUCGUGAAAAGUUGAAAACAGCCCAAUCCCGUCAAAAGAGUCAAUAUGACCGAAAACAUAAGGCUAUGACUUUCGAGGUUGAUGAGAAGGCUUAUCUUCGGGUCACCCCUCUGAAGGGAACCCAUCGCUUCGGUAUCAAAGGCAAAUUGGCUCCUCGUUACAUUGGACCUUUUCGCAUUCUUGCCAAACGAGGAGAAGUUGCCUACCAGUUGGAACUACCUCCGCACCUCUCCAGAGUUCACGAUGUCUUCCACGUUUCUCAACUCAGGCGUUGCUUCUCGGAUCCUAUCCGUGAAGUGGACCACGAAACGCUUGAUCUCCAAGAUAAUCUUACAUAUCGAGAGUACCCCAUUCGUAUCCUCGAUCAAGCCGAACGUACCACGCGACGUCAUAACAUCAAGUUUCUCAAGGUUCAAUGGUCGCACCAUUCUGAAGAUGAAGCAACUUGGGAAAGGGAGGAUCGUCUUCGACUCGAGUAUCCCACCUUCUUCUCGGAGGAACCCAAAUCUCGGGACGAGAUUCUUUUGAGUGGGGGUGAGUUGUCACACCCUAGCUAGUCAUGCAUUAGAGUGUUGCAUCAUGUUUACUCUUUCAUCAGAAACUUGAAAUGGGGAUGACAGAACCCCCAGUCCCCUCUGAUAACCAACUAGGGUUUACUAAAAUAAUUUUCAAUGAACCUGAAAUGCCCUUCUAAAAUGCCCAUCAUUUUUGCCUUGGUUCAGAACCUCUGCCAAAAAUGGUGCACACUUUUCUAGGCCAUCCUAGGGUUCUUGAGUUAAAUCAUAACUAUUUGAAUUUGGGCAUUUAAAAUAAUAUAAAAUAUUUAAAUGUUCAAAUAUCUCCAAACUAAAAUGUUUCAUGUUGGAAAUAUUCCAACUAUGGACCAGGAGUAGUUUGGUGAUUUUUGGAGUUGCCUAGGUAUUUUAUUUAAUUCAACAAAGUUGCAGAAAUAUUAAAUAAAACAGAAAACAGAAAAUAAAUAAAGGGAGAAGCUUACCUGGGCUCCUCCCUGUUCAGCCCAGCCAGCUGGCCGGCCCAGCCCAGCACUGUAGCUCCCCGUCGUCUUCCUCCCCACGCCCCGAAGCUGCUGCGUGCUCGCGCGCGCGCGGCCGCGCGGCCACCUCCUGCUUGCCGACGCCCCCCUGGCCGCGUGGACGACGCCCGUAGCCGUCCCGAUCCCCCCUGCUCUCGCUCACUCUCCCCCGUUUCUCCCUCGCUCUCUCUCGCUCUCGGCCGAACACCACCGUUGCCGCCGUCCGCCGUAGCCACUGACUCCGGCCACCCCUCGCUUCCCCGAGUAGCUCAGAAGCUCCGCCUCGACUCCCUCUUCCUCCCCACCGCUCCACGAGUCCCCGGAAGCCCUGCAUCGCCGCCACGUCGCCGUUCCCCUCUUCGGACUCCGACCACCGUCGCCGACGAAUUCGCCGUCUCCAGCGCGUCCCCGAGCCCGCUUCGACGCCCACUGCAACCGCGGUGAGCCCCCGAGCCGUUUCCCCCUCUCCUUCCCCUCGUUCCCUCACCGUAGCUGCAUCCCCACCUCGGCCGAACCUCCGCCGUCGCCAAGCUCGCCGUCGACGCAGCUCCGGUGACCAUUUGGUCACCCCGGCGAGUCCAACGCGUUCACAGAACCCAGUAGAGCAUCCCUAGCGCCUCACCUUGCUCGACUUCGAGCUCCAGCACCACUCCCGUGCACGACCGAACCCCGGCGGCCGCAUCCGAGCUCGCCGCCGUCGACUCCGGCCACCCCGACCCCAACGGACUCCGCCAAGAGCCGCGGGUCGUCCUCAGCUUCACUCCGGUGGUCGCCACGUUCCAUUUGGUGGCCGAAACGACCAAAACCACUAUCGCCGCCGCACUGUUGGUCGCCGCCGGCCAGAACUCCGGCGAGCUGACGUGGCCUAGUUGAUUAACCACUAAUCCAUCACCUACUGACGCUGACAAGUGGGCCCCAGGGGUUAGUCAAAGCUAACCAGCCCGGGGUCAACGCGGGAUUAGCACCUGGUCACUGACGUGUGGACCCCACAUGUCAGGUUUGACCCGAGCCAGCCCUGUUGACCUGCUGAUGUCAUCAUGAUGUCAGGCUGACGCAGUAAAUGAUAUUUCUGGAUUUAAUUAAAUCAGGAAAUUCCAGAAUAUUAUUUAAACUUCAAAAAUUCAUAACUUUUAUUCUGUAACUCCAAAUUGGACAAAUAAUAUAUGAAAAAUGAUCAGAAAAAUCCAAUCUAUCCAUCUGUACUAUUUUCAUGCAUGAUCAAACAAGUUAACUUGAUGUUUCAAUCAGAACAAGAAAAGGCACCUUAAAAGGCCAUAUUUGAAUUUGGAAUUUGAAUCUUUGAUUCAAAUUUGCUCAAACACUUCUGGCUUUAGUUGCAUUAGCCUAACACACUCAUAUUGCCAUGUUUCAUGCAUGCAUCAUAUUGUUGCACAUUGUUUGGUGAUGCCUGUGUAUCGUUAUCCUUUGCGACAGGAUCUGUCCCCGAGGAGUACCGUGAUUACCCUAACGAGGAAUCGUAUCCGUGCAACGAACCAUCAGGCAAGCAACCAACCAUUUGACCAUAUCGAUACAAUCCCAUGUUCUCGCUCCUGCUCUCUUUUACUGCAUUAAGACAACGCGAUUCAAACUGCUGUGUGCUACGGUAGUUGAACCCAUUUCCUCUGCAUGACCUGUCAUUGCCACAGUAACUAGAUGAAAUCCACUAGCAUGUGUAGGAGUUGAUUGAGCCCUAUGUAUGUGUUGUUCCUACCUUGCUAUGCCUGCUAUGCUUAGAGUCGUGUCAGGUCUGGUUCAUCUGGGUGAUGGACUAGAGUGAAAUGAUUAUGUCGGUAAUGAGAGUGGCGUGGUGAACACGAUUUGGUAAAGGUAUCGAUGAGAGGCCAUGUAGGAGUACAUGGUGGGUUGUUUCAUUGAAGCCGACCUUAAGCACUGAGAUCUGUAUGUGUGAUUUAAGAAUCAGCUACUACCAUGCAUUGGGCCCGAAACCAAUGGACCCUCUCGACUUCUUAUUCACCCUAGUUCUCCGUCCAGGAGUUGCAAGUAGUUUCUGGUGUUUGUAGCCUACUGGAGGCCGUGGACAGCGCUGACCGUAGGGGUGGGCUGUGAUGCGGUAGGUACGUGGCACGGUGUACCGAAUACCCGUUAGGUAUCUCGGGAACCCUGUUCACAUCGUUCGGGGCCGUAUGGGAAACCUCGGCCGGACUCCCUGCGGAUGGAACCUGAAUAGGCGAUAAACCUGGACUGGAGGCUUAGGUGAUUAGGUAGGUUGUGGCCGACACCCACGUUGGGCUUCCGCUUGAAGGUUGCCGAGUACAUGUCGUGUAAGCGACGGUAAGAGGUGAGAGCGUGUAUGAAGAAGUACACCCCUACAGGGUUAUCAUGAUCUAUUCGAAUAGCCGCGUCCGCGGUAAAGUACUACUUGGUUGCCUGUACAGUUCAUAGACAAGUAAAUGGAAACUGUUAAAAGCCUCAAGAUAAGUGUGAGUGCUGAGGAUGGCUCUUCCGUAGGAAGACGGAGGUGGAUCCUCGGUAGUGUAUUGAAGUGGUGAGUAGUGGACUCGUGUGCGCAAAACUAUUUCAAGUUGGAGUAUCGUAGGAUAGUCUAGCCAAGAGUCAAAGCUGGCUUGCUGCAAUAACUCCACCGACCCUUCUUGAUACUAUGCAUGUAUGUAGGAUCUGAUGUAAGUCUUGCUGAGUACCUUUGUACUCAUGUUGCUAUAAUCUACAUUUUUACAGAAGACGCUGCAACCCCUUCUGAUGGGUUCUAUGUAGACGUUGACAUCAACGAGUAGGCUAAAGACCCAGGUGGUGACCCUGAGCUUGUGAUGGACCACGUAGUAUAGUUAGGCUUCCAAGCCUCUUUUAUUUUACUAGUUGUCUGUACCCAGACAAAGUACUUCCGCUGUUGGUUUGUAUGACUGUAUGACUUGUAUGUGGGUCGUGAGACCCGUACCUGUGUGUAUGACAUGUAUGGCUCCCUGAGCCUUAAAUAAAGUACUUGUGUCAUAGAGUCAUGUUGUGAUGCUUCGUUGUAUUUGCACAUAUCGAGCAUAUUGUGUGUAUGAUUGAAAUGCUUGGUAUGUGUGGGAUCUGACUAUCUAGUUGUUUAUCUUUAGUAGCCUCUCUUACCGGGAAAUGUCUCCUAGUGUUACCGCUGAGCCAUGGUAGCUUGCUACUGCUCUGGAACACUUAGGCUGGCCGGCAUGUGUCCUUCUUCGUUCCUGUGUCUGUCCCUUCGGGGAAAUGUCACGCUUUGAGUACCGGAGUCCUGUUAGCCCGCUACAGCCCGGUUUACCGGAGUCCUGCUAGCCCAGUGCUACAGCCCGGACCCACUUGCUGAUGACCGACACGUUCGAAGCUGGGUCAUGGAUGCCUGUCCCUGUAAGUCUGUGCCGCUUUGGGUUUACGACUAGUCAUGUCAGCCCGGGCUCUUUAUCAUAUGGAUGCUAGCGACACUAUCAUAUACGUGAGCCAAAAGGCGCAAACGGUCCCGGGCAAAGGUAAGGCGACACCCGUGGGAAUACCGUGCGUGAGGCCGCAAAGUGAUAUGAGGUGUUACCGGCUAGAUCGAUGUGACAUCGAGUCGGGGUCCUGACAUGGAGGGCGUAGUAGGCAUCCUUCUGACCGCCAGGCGGCUGCUUGAGGCAGCAGAACUUAGUAUUGUGGGCAAACACGUGCUUGCCGUACCUACGAACUGGCCUGGUGAAGGUGCCUCCAGAUUUGGCAUAGCCGGGGAGAACAUCAUCAAGAACUUUCUUGAUAUUUGUGUAGACCGUCUUGGAGUCACGGUUCGGGUCGAAAUAUGUGGCCAUGGAAUAUUUCGGGCUUAAGAGGAUGAGUGUGCAAUGUGUGUCACUGCACAGAACACGGAAUGUUAGAAAAAAAGAACGAUCGAAAUCUAAGAAAUCAUAUGUUACGGGGCGGUUAAGGGAUGACUUACUCGGGAAAGUAAGCCACGAGGAAGUUAUCCUUAUCUAGGUUUGCCAGAAUGACACCUUCGAGGUGUGAACUCGCGACUUGGCGGUCCCCAGCGCUGCCCAAGAGCUUGGCACGCAUGUAGAAGGGGCCGAGUAUCACGAUGUCCGGGGUCUUGUCUCUAAUGAUCCGCAUCUCCAUACUCAGCGAAAAUAGCCGAACGAAGGUGUAGUGCAGCGGAUGAAGGUUAAACAUAGCAAAGAUGUCAUCAAACCGCAGGACGAUCGUACCCCCGAUGGUGCCAUCCAGAAAGCCCUUGCCCUCUGGCACCUUGGCCACGAAAACCGGGUAUGCCACAUCAUUCUCUCUGAGACGUCGCUUCUCCAAAGAAAGAACACUGUCAUGCAGACUCCGCAUAGCACCGGUUGCAGCAUUGAGCAUAUUUGUCGGUAGCAUCGCCCUACCCACCACAUGCACCCUCCUCGAGAUAUCCUUAGGUGAAGGUGGCCCGUCCUGAGCACGGAUCGUACUCGGUGCCGUCUGGCUCACACCCUUGUUACUCUUUCUUUUUCGUCCCUUCUUAUUCUAUUGUAAUGGGACCGAGUUCUGCUCACAGACCGCCUUCUUGAGUGUGUUGGGGCUGAUAAUAUUUGGCACCUCGGCUAUCUGAGGCUCGGUGAAGUCGGCAGCUGGAGGCAUCUCCUGAGAACUGAACGCCAGACGACGCCUGUUGCAACUGGGUUUCUCCACCGUACCAGCUAGACCGCGGUCGUCUUGGUUGGGUUCUUGAGAAAGAGGACCGCAUAAUUCGUCAUCGUACCCAUGUUCGGCAAAGUACUUAUCGAUGUUCCUAAAUGUACGGCCGUCGUCGUUGUCGUCGUCGUCCAGAUCCUGUGCCAUAUGCAUGUUCAGAUCCUGUGCCAUAGGGAUGUCCGGUAGCGUUGCGGCGGUCUUGCCAUGGCUUGGCGCCGGCACGACUGGCGGUGUUGUCUUUGGGGUGGUGCCCCCCGCCCCCAAACGAAUUUGGCUCUUCGGCCAAAGCAGGGGCCAGCUUAGGCAGGCGCUAAGGGUCAUCUGAUCAUCUUCGUCGGCCCCGGUGGGUUGAAUCGGAGGUAACAACUCAUCGCAGCCUGGCAGCACCCGAACCAGUUGAACCCUAUACACGGUGGGUGGCAUCGGUUUACGUUGCCCGGUUGAAUGAUUUUGCCCUUGGCGACAUCGACCAACUCGUCGUUCAUGAAGUGCAGGAGAGUGCACGAAACGUCGGCGGCGCCCUGCGAAAACAUGUAGGGCGUCAGGGAUGCCCAGUCAAAGGCAAGGAGAUGAAGUCCUCAGUCGAGAGGCUUAAUUAGUUACCGUGAUGAUGGCGUCGAGCUCGGCUAAUGUCGAGGCACCGCCAACGGUGGGCGUGCAACUGACAGAGGGGCCGCUUGCUGGCGAGGUGCCGGCCGGCGUACACCCGGGUGCAUUAAGCUCCAAUGCCGGCCGUGCUGGCGUCGGAGACACCAAUACCGCCUCCACCGGGGACACCAAUGGCGCUGCCUGCGCGUUGUGUGAGUUGCUGGCCGCGAAGCUGGGAAUCGGGGGCGGCCCCUGUUGGCCACCCGCAAUCCACGUCGUUAUCCCAUGAAUCAAGGUAGGCAUAAUGCCGGUGAGCGCCGAUCCCAAUUGUUGUUGCACUUGCUCUUGGACAAUCUCCGGAAUCCGCGCCACUUGUGCCUUCAGUGCUUCAAACUCGCGCGACUGGCUUUCCGAGCUAGUCUUUUUCUCCUUUCGCCCACCAGCGGUAUAGUAUGACGACCAUUUCGUGGACAAGCCUUUGCCGGCCACACGACCAGCUGACGACGGCUUAGUGAGCUUGUCCUUGUUUUUCAUUACGUUCAAUGGCCUAUUUAGAGUGCUGUCCCAAGCAGGGGUGCUCUGAGACGACCCCGCACUACUGCUUUCAGUCUCGUUCGCCAGAACAAGCUCAAGCACCCUGGUCUUCAGAUCUGUGAUAAGCUCCUUUGUUAUCGGGUCCUCCUUGUACCGGGCCCUGAUAUAGUUCCUGGUCUGCUGGUCACUGUUGUAUUUCUCGAAGCGGUGUGGUAGGCCUUGCUCGGCAUGCUCCGCGUCCUCCUUGUCCCAUAUAGGCUCCGCCACUCUGUAACCGUUGGGACCGAGUUUGUGUUCCCCUAAGUUCAACUCCCACAUUUCUUUCCCCCACUGACUUGAUUCGGAGGUUGCGGGGCUCUCGCACUUGAUCUUGAACUCCUUGUAGUCCUCUUCGCUGAUCGAAGGAUUUUUUGCCUUGAUCUUCUCAUAACUAUCACCUUUCUCAAUCAUUCUCUUCACCACGCUUCUCCAAGUAGACAGGACCAUGCUCAUCCUUGUGAGGGCGGCACUAUUCACUUUAUUCCCUGAGAGGUGUGUGUUUUCAAAUUCAGCGGGGAACUUGUAUCGUUCGUGCAGCUUCGUGAAGAGGAGGUUGCGCAAAUUCCCUCGGUCCUUAUGCCUAAGGUUCUCGGUGUUGAUCAAGACGGUGCUCCGGAGAAUGCACCCGAGCUGAACCGAGUACCCCUUGAAUAUAUGUUUGGGCUCCGUUGGAUGCCCGUCGGAGUCCACUUGAGUAAAUUCCUCCUUGACGGUGCGGAGCGCGUUCGGGCGCCGGUCCUUCCGUUGCUUCUUCGGUUGGCUGCCAUCUGUGCGUGCGCCACCAUCAUCAGUGGUGGCAUCCUCGGCGGCACCAUCAGUGGUGUCAUCCCCGACGCCACUAGGGGUUGUGUAGUCAGGAUCGGUGUCUUCCGCGGUGUCCUCAUAGAGGUGAGGUUGUUCCUCCAUCUCCUGGGACAGCUCCCAGAAUUGCUUGCUGCCCGAACCGCCGGCCUCAUUAUUGUGGGCCAUGUUUCUCUCUAAAUAGGAAAAAAGUUUGGUCAAAAAGUUGGUUAUUGUGAAGGAACAAGAUCAUGGUCUCAUCAUUUAGGGUUUGUCGACACCGAGGCAUCCUAAAAUCUAAGCUUUUAUCAUUUAGGGUGUGUCGACGCCGAGGCACCCUAAAAGCGUAAGCGUACAUCAUUUAGGUUCUCAUCGACACUGAGGCACCCUAUAGAAGCCAAGGUUUCAUCAUUUAGGGUUUGUCGAUGCCGAGGCACCUUAAAUGCUAAGUUAAGUUUUCAUCAUUUAGGGUUUAUCGAUGCCGAGGCACCCUAGGUUGGGCCUAAUCACUUGGCACUAAUCACUUGGCUCUAUUGCCACCUAUGCAGCAAGAAUGGCGGGGCAGUUGAUCCUACUUAACUAAGUACUAAGAUACCCCGGCCCAUGCAUUAGUCGCAAGUACCCCAUAUGUCCUAUUUUUAGCAAAGUCAUGCUAAAAUUCAUGGGAAAUUUCAGCAUGACCUUUGCUGAAAAUAGGACAUAUGGAGUACCCGAAUUUGCCGGAACGGAAGUUAAUCGACAUUCCGGCAAACUCAAGGGCCUCUCGGGGUACCUGCAAUAUCAUUAUCCCCGCGUAAUGAAGUCGCCAAUGGGUCAUUUUAGAAGAUCACAAGUAGCAUCAUCACAAGUACAACAUCAUCUAUAGCUUUAUAUUAACAAAGCAUCAACACAUAUACAAAAGAUCACUUAUGCCAACAGUAUGGUUUAUAUCAGAUUCAGAGUUAGAAACAGGAAAAACCGGUGCUUCAAAGCCUACUGGACACAAUUUACAUCUAUCAGUACGGGAUGUGCUGACUAAUUUCAAGUGUUCACAGGUGAACUUGUACCAUGGAUGAGCCUAGUGCUUCAUUAGUCAAGUGAACAGAGAUAACAGAGCAUAACACCAUACAUAAAGUGAUGAGCAUACAUACUACUGUCCAAGCAAAUUAACUGAAUAGUAUUGUGUCAAGUUCAGUUUGAAAAUUCAGUUACUGCUUGAGUGAUUUGACACUAAAAUUUACUCCCAAAAAUUACAAUGACUAUAUAUUGACUGCAUAUAUUCAUUGUACAGGACUGAAUUCAGUCAAGAAAACCUGUCAAUUUCUGUUCACUGCAUAUAUUCACUGUACAGGCUGUCAAGUUCUAUUUCAGCUGAAGAAUGACACACUCAACUUCAUUGCUUCAACCACAUGGACAACAGAGCAAAUGUUGGAAGUUGACAAUAUACUUUAGAUUCACACAUGCUCCCCUAAUUAUUUUGUCUGUAUCUUUAGAUUAUCUACUUUAGGCACAAUCAUACACAAUUCUGACUAAUUCAUCACUGUAGACCAGCAUGAAACACACUCCUCCAAAAAAGCCUAAAAUUCCACUAUUAUUGCCUAUAAAAAGGCCUAAUAUCCACUAGUAUUGCCUCUAAAAAAGACUUAAAAGUCCACUAUUGUUGACAAUCAAAAUACGAUCUGAACUAUAAGGAGUUAACUAAAAAAAUGAGUGGUUGUCGGCAUGAGGGAGUAAACUGAUUGUUGGUACAAAAAUAUUGGUUCUGCAACCAUGAAAACAGUCACAAAAGUAAUGCAGUUGGUUUGUGUUGAGUUUUUGCUUUCAGGGAUUGGUUUGUGUUGAGUUGUUAACCUAAAGGUUCGGCAGUUUGAAUCUCCUUUAGCUAGUUUGAAUCCAUGGACUACCCUGCUAGAUUGGGACUGAAGAUAGGUACCUGCUUAUCUUCCUAUUCCGUCACCAACAGUGGCUUUUCCAAGAAUAAUAUCCCUGUAUGAACAUAGGUGAGAGAUUAACUAACUGCCUCAAAGGUAUAAUCAAUGCAUCAUCUCGAAGAAAUAAUGCGAUCGACACGUCAAAACUAUGACAGAAAUGUAAAACUUGAUGGCAACUACGGCAUGGCAAGAAAGAACUCCUAUGUAGUGAUGGCAGAACGUAUGAAUUUGCCGCGGCAAAAUUUGGUUCUCCCUAAGAAAACAAAAUGGAAAAAUUGUGGUGGAACGAAUCUAAAUUUGCCAUUCACUGCAUAUUGGAAAUUGCCCUAGAAUACCCCUACCAGUUCUGAACCAGAUCAAAAACUACAUAUCACAAAAAUACCAUGGUACAGAAUGGUGGUGAAAUUUGCCAUGACAUGUCUACUAGUGCACUAGGUCAUGGCAUGUCAUCUGUACUAGUCUACUGGGUCAUGGGAUGCAAUUUGGGGUGAGAAAACUAAACACAAAAUUCGGUUGUGCCUCUACUGGGUCAUGGCACAUCAAUUUACAGAUAAUCAAACUAACAAAAAUGAAAAAAAGAUGGGGGGUUGAGGAUGUUGCCACCAGCAGUGGAAAAGGAGGAAGGAGGAGGCCCUCCCCAAUCUUGCAACCAUUGACUGCCACAGUCGAGGGGAGGGAGGGAGGGAAUGGGGAAUGGUGGAGAGAGGGAGUGUCGGUGUCAAAACCGACGGAUCUCGGGUAGGGGGUCCCGAACUGUGCGUCUAGGCCGGAUGGUAACAGGAGGCAAGGGACGCGAAGUUUACCCAGGUUCGGGCCCUCUUGAUGGAGGUAAAACCCUACGUCCUGCUUGAUCAAUAUUGAUGAUAUGGGUAGUACAAGAGUAGAUCUACCACGAGAUCGGAGAGGCUAAACCCUAGAAGCUAGCCUAUGGUAUGAUUGUUGUUCUGUAUGUUGUCCUACGGACUAAAACCCUCCGGUUUAUAUAGAUACCGGAGAGGGUUAGGGUUACACAAAGUCGGUUACAAUGGUAGGAGAUCUACAUAUCCGUAUCGCCAAGCUUGCCUUCCAUGCCAAGGAAAGUCCCUUCCGGACACGGGACGAAGUCUUCAAUCUUGUAUGUUCAUAGUCCAGGAGUCCGGCUGAAGGUAUAGUCCGGCCAUCCGGACACCCCCUAAUCCAGGACUCCCUCAGUAGCCCCUGAACCAGGCUUCAAUGACGACGAGUCCGGCGCGCAGAUUGUCUUCGGCAUUGCAAGGCGGGUUCCUCCUCCAAGUACUUCAUAGAAGAUUUUGAACACAAAGAUAGUGUCCGGCUCUGCAAAAUAAGUUUCCACAUAUUGCCAUAGAGAGAAUGAUAUUUAUACAAAUCUAAUUUGCUGACUUAUUCCGUAGUGUGAAGCACCACGGCCAAGCCUUUAUUCGAAUCGUUUUAUUGUCCCACCUCAGCGUGUCAUGCGAGGCGGUUUCCUUGGCAUGUCUUGUUAAAGAAGAUAUCGUGUCCCCUUAUUUUGGGAUUCUUAUCAAUACAGGCGUGGGUAACCCAACCGCCUCUAGGACUCCUAGACUAUAGGAAAGUCCAAACGGCCACGGAGAGGACGCUUGAUAUUCACCCUCUUUAUAAAGGGACAAGGCUUUUACUUUUUCCCCUCCCGUGCUCAAUCGAAUCCUUCCCCCACCUCAAGCUCAAACACCCAAAGUUCAGGUCAGGUGCUCCGAACCUUCAAUCAUGUCCGGAUCUAGCCUUCAAGGCUGAUGGGUGCCUUCCUCCGUCACGGAAGAAGACAUCAAAAAGUUGAGGGAGGCCAAAUAUCUGACCACCGAGGUUUUGCAUCGGCUGCCUGCCCGAGGGCAGGCCGUCCCCUCCCCCGAACCCAACGAGAACGUCGUGUUCGUCUCCCACUUCCUCCGAGGUCUAGGCCUUGCUCUGGAUCCUUUCGUCAGGGGUUUGAUGUUUUAUUACGGGCUAGAUUUCCAUGAUCUAGCUCCGGACUCCUUUCUUCAUAUCACAACAUUUAUUGUCGUGUGUGAGGCCUUCCUCCGGGUUACCCCUCACUUUGGCCUGUGGCUCUAGACCUUUGAAGUAAAGCCGAAGAUGAUAGAGGGGAACAUGCAGCGUGUGGAGGUGCCUCAAUAUGCAAGAUGACGGGAGCUCCAUGGCCCAAAGGUUCCUUUCCAGAUGUGUCUGAAUUGUGGCAACAUGAGUGGUUCUACAUCACGGCUCCUAGAAGUGCCAAGUGGGCGGCCGCCCCUGUUUUCCGCUCGGGCCCUCCACCACAGCUGAUGUGAUGGAUCAGCAGAGGUCUGAGCUGGGGUCCAGCCAAGGACGUGCCUAUACUACAAAGACACAUUCGAGAUCUCUUCAAUAGAGAUUUUAGUUUGGUUGCGGUAAUACAAGUUAUGUUGGUUCAUCAAGUCCAGCCUUGCAAACGCCGGCCCCUUCGCUUGUGGGAGUUCAAUCCCGAGGGACCGCAUGUCAUUCAAAAUUUCCUCGGCCUGACGCACGAGGAGAUGUACAAGUCAUUCUUCGGACCUCAGGUAGAGUGUCCGGAAAUCACCGAGGACGUGGGCCUGAGAAGUAACCGCGCCGCCGAACAGGUAAGGAAUCUUCCGGCCAAACAUACUAUCUCUCAUUUGUUACGAAGUUAUUUUCGAGAGUUCGCUUUUUGACCAGGACUGGCUAACAAAGGCGAAGUUGAUUCGGUGUUCGGCCCCCUCCCUAAGGGUUUGGACAAUCUGGUAUUGGAAAAGAUGCUCCAGGUCACACCUUGCCCAGAGCCCUUGAAGGAAGAUACUGGGGAGGAUAAUACGGGUGGACGCGGGCCCCCAACGCUGCCCAUUCUAACCGAGGGAGCGAGCGUCUCCAUGAAGGAAGAUGACCGGAGGAGCAAAAGGACUGCGCCUGGGGAUUCAGAAGCUGAAGCUUCCAAAUGAGAGAAGAAGUCUCCCACAGAGGGUCCUACCUUGNNNNNNNNNNNNNNNNNNNNNNNNNNNNNNNNNNNNNNNNNNNNNNNNNNNNNNNNNNNNNNNNNNNNNNNNNNNNNNNNNNNNNNNNNNNNNNNNNNNNNNNNNNNNNNNNNNNNNNNNNNNNNNNNNNNNNNNNNNNNNNNNNNNNNNNNNNNNNNNNNNNNNNNNNNNNNNNNNNNNNNNNNNNNNNNNNNNNGUGCUUUUGCCGCACAAAGUCCGCGGGGGGAUCAAUUCUCCAGCGAGUCAUAAGUGACCCGAAAUACUUUAAUAGUACAGGUAUGCCAUCCUUUUCUUCUGAGAAAAUAACCACCGCAUAUAUCUUUGCAGUUCGGACCUUAGCCCCUCUCAAAUGAGCUCGUCUUCGGGGGAUCUUCUUCCAGAGAUGAUGGAGAGCGAAACGCCUCCUCCGGACUCCUCCGCUCCGGAAGCGGGCGACCCCGAAGUGUCGUCGCGGAGGGCCUCUCCGAGUCCGGUGAGGCCAGAAGAUAAUCCCAUUGACCCCCGAAGCUCCCAGUGUCCUGCUCCCGAAGAGAGCGGACAAAAGAGUCCGACACCGUCUGGUGUGCGAUCGGAUGUUCUGAGAGAGUUGGUGGGGUGAGCGGCCAUCUCAGAUGAACACCGUGUGCUGAUGAAUACGGUGAUGGAGAGAAUCUUGUCCGCCGAAAUCGGAUUGCAUGAAGCUUUUAUGAGUCUACUGGCAGGCUUUGAGGUACGUAAAAUAAUGUAUGAUAGUCCUGCACAUGCUAGGUGUGCCCUAUGUAGAUAGUAGCCCCUGAGACUCUGGUUGUCGUCGGAAACGACGAUGAACAGAGGAUCAUAUUCCCAGGUAAUAACCAUACUGCCUCUAUGUGCAGGUGAUGAAAACUCCGGUGGCUGGCCGGACUAGCGAGUUUGCCCAUUUAAAACGGCAGUUGGAUGCGGCAGACGCCGACAUCGAGCUUGUUAACAAAAGGCUUGAUGAGGCACAGGGUAAGUGUCAUUAUCUGGUAAACGCCACAUAGUAAGAGUAGCAUGAUGCCAGUAUCUUUAAUAUGUUGUGACUGUAGAUGGAGCUGCCAUUGUUGAAGCCUUGUAGGCAGAACUUGCCCGAGCCAAGGAACAAGCGAGGUUUGGUAAUGCGGCUGCUUUGAAGGUGGGUGAAGAGUUGAAAGCCGAGAAGGCCGCGCAUGGCGAGAGCCGAGAUAAGAUGGCCAAGAUGGCCAUAGAAUUAAAAGCCGCCGCCGACCGUUGCCAGGUUCUUGAAAAGGAAAACCUAGCGAAGGCACCGGACCUUGAGAAGGCUGCUGCGACGAGAAAAGACAUCCGCUCUGCUAUGAGGGCGAAGAAGGAGGAGCUGCGGGAAGCCGGAGAUAUUGUAGCUGGGAAAUCCUUUAUGCUGCGGAGGAAGUUCGGAGAUCCACGGUAUGCCUCUCUGGAUCGGCUGUGGAGUUCGGAGGAUGUGUACAUGGAUUUGGCGGCGAGCGCUGCCGAUGCGGCCAAGUACUUCCAGGGUCAGACGGACCGUGAAGUGGACCAACUAUUUUGGACACAAUUCCAUUCUCCCGAGCGUCCGCUUUCAUUGACUGACCAAUUAGCCGAAUGGGCCGAACUGAAUAGGUUGUCCGGACUCGCCAUGAGGUCUGUUGUGGAUCAGCUAUGGCCGGAAAGGCCAAAACCGAACAGCUAUUUCAGCUUGGUGCAGCAGUUCCUUGACGUGGUGCCGCGCAUUAAUGCGAUGAAGAGGUCGGCGUGCAUAGAGGGCUCACGGAUGGCUUUUGCCCGUGUUAAAGCAUACUGGGCGGAGAUGGACGCUACCACUGUUGCAGCGCGGGAUUCGGCCAUAGGUCGAAUGGCUGCUGAGCACUACUUUGAAGAUGUUCUUGAGGGUGCUCGUUUGAUAGAGACCCAGUGCUCAAAAAAUAUUGUGUUUGAGUGACAUGUAAUCUCAUUGUAAGCGAAAUGCUUUUAUAAAUUUUUAUAAGGCUAUUUUUAUACUUUUGCCUGAAAGUAAUAUGAUGCCUCCUGGGCGGGCGUUUAUGUAUACAUGUGUAUAACCUGAAAGAUUGCAUCCGUCGGCUUCAACCCCCACGCAUAUAAUGCGGAGGUGCUCGCAAAAAACACAUGUUCACUUAACCCAACGUCUUGGUCCUAUUAAGGAGGUGAUAGCGGAGCGAGCGAGGCAACCGGACUAUAAUGCUUUAGCACUUUCACUUAGCCAUAGGAGUUUGACAGUGGGGCUACUAGAUAGCCCCUGGUGGCUCCGCACUCUCUUGAUCCUGGGGUGCGUACAUGCCUGGCCAGAAAACGGCCCCUCGUUAAGGCGGAGGAAUUCUAACAUUCCAACAGGUCAUCGAGUGGUUGACCAGUCUCACGCUAUAUCAUGACAGUCAGUUUUUGGCUUUCUCUACUGAGGUGCUCGUCCGGAUGAACCAGGGCACAAUCGCAGUAGUUCUCCUGGUGCUACCUUAGCCGGUAAAGCGGAACGUAAGGCACCAAAACACAGGAGCCGGGCAAACCCAACAUUUGACCAAAGACAAUGAUUCAGAGCUGAUGCAUAUAGGACCAAACUCGCGAUGCCGAACACUCCCUAAGGUAUUCGGUCUUUGUGGUAUAAACCGGGCCUAAAUAAUGGCCUUCGUAAGAAGCCCCUUGUGUCCAGGUACGUGCAUUGUUCUAGCGUGGCCACAUGCCAAGACGUUAGCAUCCUUCUCAACGGUGGAUAUGUAUCAAUAAGAGACAGUAAAAAAGGUUUACGCAGGAUCUUAAUCUAAAAAGAAUCCUUGGAGCGGGUCCCUGCUGCACGUCUGCGCCUGUGUCUCCGUUGUGCCGUAUCCUGGACGGGUGUAGCACGAUGAUCGUCUGUAAUAGAGAGGAAUUUAGGUGAAAAAGUUGUCGUGCAAAAAGAUAGUUUUUAAAGAAACUAUAUAUAAUUCAAGAUGAGAAGAAAUUGCCACUUGUCUGCACGCGUUGAGCCCCUUGUAUUGACAAAUAGGGAUGUGACCAUUUAUUCGGUAUAAAUAGCGGUGCCGGACUUGAUUAGUUGUGUCUGAGGUCUUGACGACCUAUUGGAUGCUUUCGCUGGUCCGGGAGCCUUUAGUGUGCGGCUGCCAAGGCAGCCGCACUCUCUUUGGCGCGCAGAGAUUGCUUGAUAUUUCCGUUCACUGAAAUGAUGCCACGUGGACCGGGCACCUUGAGUGUGAGGGAGGCGUAGUGUGGUAUUGCAUUAAAGCGAGCGAAAGCUUCGCGUCCGAGCAGUGCUUGAUAGCCACUUUGGAACGGAGCGAUGUGGAAGGUUAAAUGCUCGUGACGGAUGUUAUCAGGGGAGCCGAAUAUAACUUGUAGUAGGAGGGAGCCCGUACAACGAGCCCCUGGGCCUAGCGUUACUCCUUUAAAGGUAGUAUUGCUAUGGCGAAUUUUUGUUGGGUCUAACCCCAUCCCACGGAUUGUAUCCUGAUAUAUUAGGUUUAGAUUGCUGCCACCAUCCAUUAAGACUCGUGUGAAGUGAUAUCCGCCAAUUACUGGGUCUAAUACCAGGGCAGCCCAUCCUGCGCGUCGGAUACUUGCUGAGUACUCGCGAUGGUCGAAAGUGAUCGGUUGAGACGACCAGUGCCAGGACUUCGCGGUGACAGGCACUUGGGUAUAUUUUCCUGGGAGUGCCGCGUUGUUUUUUUCCUUGAUCACAUGUAACACGUUUACUGUUUUGACUUCUGGUGGAAAUUUCUUUUGUUCGCCAGUGUCUUGCUUGGGAGGCUCGUCCUCGUCUUCCCUUGGUGUAUCCUCCCCCUUUUGUACGGCGUUGAGCUUGCCGGACUGCUUGAAGACCCAACAUUCUCUGUGGGUAUGAUUAGCAGGUUUACCAGGGGUACUAUGGAUCUGACAUACUUGGUCCAGAAUUUUGGUGAGGCUGGACAGUUCAUCCUUGGUGCCUUUAGAGGGCGGCUUUUGACCUGGCCGAGAGCUUUUGAAUCCGACGUUUACUGCCGUGCCCUUCGUGCUAUCUUCAUUAUUCCGGCGUUUGUUAUUGCUGUUGCGCCAUGAUUUCCCGUUUCCAUCUCGAACUUCAGAUGUACUGGGGUCGUUGGUGCUGCAUCUGGCUAGCCAGCUGUCCUCACCCGCGCAAAAGCGGGUCAUGAGCCUUGUUAAUGCGGCCAUCGUUCUCGGCUUAUUUUGGCCGAGGUGUCUGGCAAGCCAUUGGUCACAGAAGCUAUGCUUAAAAUUGCCAAGGCUUCGGCGUCCGGACAGUCGACAAUCUGGUUCUUUUUAGUAAGAAACUUGUUCCAAAGCUUUCGGGCUGACUCUCCGGGCUGUUGAGUUAUAUGACUCAAAUCGUCCGCAUUCGGAGGUCAGACAUAAGUCCCUUGAAAAUUUGCCCGAAAGGCGUCUUCGAGCUCUUCCCCACUUCCAAUGGAGCUUUCGGGGAGGCCUUUAAGCCAGUGACGAGCUGGCCCUUUGAGCUUGAGGGGUAAGUACUUGAUGGCGUGGAUAUCAUCUCCUCGAGCCAUAUGGAUAUGAAGGAUGUAGUCCUCAAUCCAGACCCCAGGGUCUGUUGUUCCGUCGUAUGUCUCUAUGUUUACGGGUUUGAAUCCCUCUGGAAAUUCAUGGUCUAGCACCUCAUCGGUGAAACAUAGGGGGUGUGCGGCACCCCUGUAGCUGGGUGUACCGCGUUGUUCGGAUGUGUGUUGUGUUGCAUUGUAUGCUGGGGCGCGCUUGCGUGGUCCAUAGAUGGAUCUUGUUGCUCCGUCCUUUGGGUGCGAGCCCUCGCAUGGGCGCGUGUUGUAUUGUGAGUGGCGUUGUAUGCCGCUCUGUGUUGGUAGAGGGGUCGUCUAUCCGGCCGGGUGGCUGCUUUGAUAUUUGGUUGUGGGGGGUCUGAGGCCUCCUCAUCGAAUUCAGGUAGCAGCUUCCGCUUUGGGUGGCUCUUGGAGGGGUGAUUGUCGCCGUACCUUGCUGCUGUGUUGAGUAUUUUACUCCAUCUGAUUUGGAGUGUGUCUUGCACAGCCUUGAGCCUUUGCUUCUACUUUUUAAGACUCCUCGCAGUGGCAACAAGCCUUUUACGGGCAUUCUGCUGCUCCGGGUGCCUGUCCGGUGUUAUGUCGUCCGGACCAUUAUCCUUGAUAGAAUUUGUUUGUUCGGUUUGAUUAUCCGGAUUGCCGUUGUCCGACAGCGAUUCGCCCUGCUCCAGCGCUGGGUCUGUGUGAUCGUUAUUUCUGUCGAGGCGGGAUUUGGGGCGGCGCUUGCAUCGCCGCUUUGACUGCUUCUCGAGGGAACAAGCCUUCGGUGCGUCCUUCCGCUCCUCGUCGUCAUCUUUUGGUGCGCCCACCAUGUAUACGUCAUAUGACGAGGUGGCUUUCCAGGGCCCAAUAGACGCUGGUUCUUCAUCGUCUCUUUCAUCAGCGUCCAUACCUUCGAUGUCUUCGGAGUCGAAGUCGAGCAUGUCGGUUAAAUCGUCGACAGUGGCUACAAAGUGGGUGGUGGGUGGGCUUUGAAUUUCUUCAUUGUCCGUAUCCCAACCUUGCUGACCGUAGUCCGGCCAGGGCUCUCCUGAUAAAGAGAGAGAAUUUAGUGUCUUCAGAAUAUCGCCGAAAGGCGAGUGCUGAAAGAUGUCCGCGGUAGUAAACUCCAUGAUCGGCGCCCAAUCUGAUUCGAUUGGCAGGGGCGCAGAGGGUUCAGAGUCCGGCUCCUUGGAGUCACGAGUCUCGCGGAGCGCAGGGCUGGUGUUCGGCUCGAUCGCUAUUGGGAUCGCAGCCCCCGAGGAGGCGUCCAACCACCCAUCCUCGAUCGGCGUAGUUUUCUCCGAAUUAAGGGUCGAAGCCGAUGUGGGUGCGGCCUCCAAGGCACUGUUCGACGGCAGAGCUAUAUCAUGCUCAUCGUGACAGUGCGGCGCGCUCAGCGGUGGCUCGAAUCCGUCGAAGAUCAAGUCCCCGCGGAUGUCAUCCGUGUAGUUUAAACUUCCAAAUCUGACCUGACGGCCAGGGGCAUAGCUUUCGAUCUGCUCCAGAUGGCCAAGUGAAUUGGCCCGCAGUGCGAAGCCGCCGAAGACGAAGAUCUGUCCAGGGAGGAAGGUCUCACCCUGGACUGCAUCGCUAUUGAUGAUCGUAGGAGCCAUCAAGCCUAACGGCGACGACACAGAGGAACUCUCAAUGAAAGCACCAAUGUCGGUGUCAAAACCGGCGGAUCUCGGGUAGGGGGUCCCGAACUGUGCGUCUAGGUCGGAUGGUAACAGGAGGCAAGGGACACGAAGUUUACCCAGGUUCGGGCCCUCUCGAUGGAGGUAAAACCCUACGUCCUGCUUGAUUAAUAUUGAUGAUAUGGGUAGUACAAGAGUAGAUCUACCACGAGAUCGGAGAGGCUAAACCCUAGAAGCUAGCCUAUGGUAUGAUUGUUGUUCUGUAUUUUUUCCUACGGACUAAAACUGUAGGAUCUAGAAGUAGAUGUGUCUAGAGGGGGGUGAUUAGACACUUCAUGCUAAAGUUGCAAUUUUUUAAGCUUUUUCGGUUUAAGUGGAGUUUAGGCAUAAUUUCAACAUUCACAAUACAUAUCAAGCAAGCAUGCAAAGAGUGUAUAGGCAGCGGAAAGUAAAGCAUGCAACUUGCAAGAAUGUAAAGGGAAGGGUUUGGAGAAUUCAAAUGUAAUUGGAGACACGGAUGUUUUUCCCAUGGUUCGGGUAGGUGGUGCUAUCCUACAUCCACGUUGAUGGAGACUUCAACCCACGAUGGGUAACGGUCACGCGAGUCCACGGAGGGCUCAACCCACGAAGGGUCCACGAAGAAGCAACCUUGUCUAUCCCACCAUGGCCAUCGCCCACGAAGGACUUGCCUCACUAGCGGUAGAUCUUCACGAAGUAGGCGAUCUCCUUGCCCUUACAAACUCCUUGGUUCAACUCCACAAUCUUGUCGGAGGCUCCCAAGUGACACCUAGCCAAUCUAGGAGACACCACUCUCCAAGAAGUAACAAAUGGUGUGUAGAUGAUGAACUCCUUGCUCUUGUGCUUCAAAUGAUAGUCUCCCCAACACUCAACUCUCUCUCAUAGGAUUUGGAUCUGGUGGAGAGAAGGUUUGAGUGGAAAGCAACUUGGGGAAGGCUAGAGAUCAUGAUUCAUAUGGUAGGAAUGGAAUAUCUUGGUCUCAACACAUGAGUAGGUAGUUCUUUCUCAGAACAUAUGAGUUGGAAGUGUAGAUGUGUUCUGAUGGCUCUCUCUUCGAAUGAAGAGGAGGUGGAGGGGUAUUUAUAGCCUCCACACGAAAUCCAACCGUUACAUACAAUUUACCAAUCUCGGUGGGACCGAAUCAAAAAACUCGGUCGGACCGAAAUAGUAAACCUAGUGACCGUUAGUGAUUUUUGGUGGGACCGACUGGAUCAACUCGGUGGGACCGAUGUGCUAGGGUUAGGGUAAAUCCAAAACUCGGUUUGACCGAUUACUCAAACUCGGUGGGACCGAUUUGGGUAAUAAGCGAAACAGAGAGUUGGCCAAGCAAACUCGGUGGAACCGAUUGCACAUCUCGGUGGGACCGAAGAUAUUGCAACAGGUAACAGAGAGUUUGCAAGCCCAUCUCGGUGAGAAUGAGAUCCCAUCGGGGAGAAUGAAAUGGUUAGGGUUUCUGGCAGUGGCUAUGACAAGUGAAAAUCGGUGGCGCCGGAUAGAAAGAAUCGGUAGGACCGAGUUUGGCUUAGGGUUUAGGUCAUAUGUGGAUAUGGGAAAGUAGCUGAGGAUUUUGGAGCAUAUCAUUAAGCACUUGAGCAAGAGGCUCAUUAAGCAACACCUCAUCCCUCCUUGAUAGUAUUGGCUUUUCCUAUGGACUCAAUGUGAUCUUGGAUCACUAAAAUGUAAAAUGAAGAGUCUUGAGCUUUAAGCUUUAGCCAAUCCUUUGUCCUUAGCAUCUUGGAGAACUUCCCACAACCUUUAGUCCAUGCCACUCCAUUGUUGAACUUAUCUGAAACAUACUAGAUAGAAACGUUAGUCCAACAAGAGAUAUGUUGUCAUUAAUUACCAAAACCACCUAGGGAGCACUUGUGCUUUCAAUCUCCCCCUUUUUGGUAAUUGAUGGCAACAUUCAUCAAAGCUUUAGAUAAAGAUAUAGAGAAUAGCAAGCAAAGCUUUGGAAGGACAUGUAACAAGCAUAGGCUCCCCCUACAUGUAUGCACUCAUGUGAAUAUGAAAUAUAGAGGCAUGUGAGAGCAUAACCAUGACUGAGUAGGCAAUGUGUUACAUGUAUCUUGGCCAUAUGCAUCAGAGCAAAAGAUUAUCAAGGAAAAUACCUUCAUGCUCAUGAGUCCUUCUUGCAAACAGUAUGUACAUAAGCAAGAAUUCCUCAUUCUCAUGAUUUUGAUGCAUACACUUACCUUGUAGUCUUUGGUUGGCUUAGGAUGGAAUGAACCUGCACAAACAAAGUUUGAAAACACAGGUACAUCCACUAGCCAGAGCAAACAAAAGAAACCACAAGAAAACCAAGACUGGGAUGACAUGUAGAGAGUGAGUACUAGGUACCACAUUGGAAUAGACAUGUCCCCAAGAGUAAAGAUAUGCAAUGAAUUUGACUGAUUUCUUUCCCUUAGGUGUCUUGCUCCCCCUGAAUCUUACAUGGGAUAUUGGGAGAAGAUAGGGAACAGAAAAUCAGAGCUGACAGAUACAAAUGGAUAGAACUUAAUGCAAACAUGUCUACAUGUGACAUCUCUCCUCUUGAACAUCAAGCAUCUGGGACAUCUGGGAUCCUUGAGUAUUCUCUCCCCCUGGAAAUCUCUUUCUCCCCUUUAAUACUUUCUCUCUUGUAGGUUUGGUCCUUGAGACUUUCUCUCCCUCUUGAGCUUUGAUGUGAUCUCUCUCUCCCCCUUUGACAUCAAUUUCCAAGAAGGGCUUUCUGGAAUCCGUCGUAUAGGUUUGGUCCUUGAGACUCAGCAUAAAGCAAUGGAUAAAACUGUGAUGCUUGUAGAGGACAAGAUUCAUUGAGUAGAGCUGGAUCAGAAGAAAUACAGAACAAGUGGCAAACUGUUUUUCCUGUUGCGAAGUCAGUGGCACCGAGUGGCAUGUUUCGGUGGUACCGAAAAUAUUCGGUUGGACCGAAAAUUACAAGUCGGUGAAACUGAGUUCACACAGAGAAAAACACUUGUCACCUAAGCUCACUAGACAUGUAGGAUCUCACAAAGAUUUGCAAUGAAUUUGACUGAAGGAUUUGCAAGGAAUUGAAUGCAGAAAAUGCAGAACAAAAAAAAAA
rnacentral:lncRNA from 1 species